CAAAAAAAAAUGUUGAUUCAUUAUUUUUAAUAUAUAUAUAUAUAUAUAUAUAUAUUUAAAAAAUCACUUUUUAAGGAAGAGAUUUUCAAAUUUGUAAAGAUAAAAUAACUUUAGUUUACUUGAUAAGAAUUACUUUAAUUUUAUAAAAAAAAUUAUUUAUUAGGAAAACCAUUUCAAAUUUAUUAUUAAAAAAAUAAUUUCAUAUUUUAAGCAGAUUGGUUCCAAAUUUAUUAUAAAUAAAUAGAAAAUAAUAAUAAUUUCAAAUAAAAAAAUUUCAACAUAUUAAAAACAAACUAGAUCUUAGUUUUAUUUUAUCUACUCAAAAAAAGGUUUUAUAUUUUAGGAAAAUGACUAUGAAUUUAUUAAAAAAUAAUAAUAAUUUAUUAAAAAGAAAGAAAAGUCAACAGGUUUAUUAUUAAAAAAAGAAUUUAGUUUAUAAAAAUUAUGAAUUUCUAUUUAUUAUUUUUUUGGUACAUUAUUAUAAAUUAUUAAAAAUUUUAUUUAAAAAAAGAGUUUCAAAUUUAUUAUUAAUAUAAGAACGGUUCAUUAAAAAUAUUUUACAAACAAAAAGAUUUUUAUUUUUUUUUAACAGAUUUGCACAACAACACAAAAAUAAAAAAUAAAUAAAUAAGAAAAGUAAUUUAUGCAUGGUAAUAACAAAAAAUUCAUACUUACCAAAGAAACCAAAAAACUAAACAAAAACGAUAUUUAUAGGGAUAUUUAUCAAAACAAAUCAAAUAUGCACAACUCAAAAAACUAAUAUUUAUAUUAAUGGCAAACAAAAUAAAACCAAUAGAUACAAAUAAAUAAAUAUGAGAACAUGGAUUCAAUCUGCUCUUCCCAUAAUCAAAAUCCAGCCCUCCAUGUGUGCUCAUCUUGGGCCUCAUUUUGCAUCUCCACAACCAACUCUUGGUCAACAAUCAAGUCCAACAAAAAUGAGAGAUUAAAAUGCAACCUAAGGUCCAACAACAAAAUGAUAUCAACAUGCCAUUGAUAGCCCAAAUAACAAGUUAUGCGAGGCCCAAAAUAACAAUGAAAUAUCAAGCCCAAAUGCAAUCAGUGUCAAUCAGUCCAAUUUAAUAAUUCAAAUAAGUUAAAUUCAAUUAGGAAGAUAAACCCAAAGGAAUUGCAUGACCCAUCAAAUAAAGCAAAUGAAGCCCAAAACCAAAUAGACCAAGCAAAAACCCAAACAACAUGGCCCAAAUGAAGCCUAAAUCAAUAAGCUCAAAUCAGCCCAACCCCACAAAUGAUUACUAUUCAAAUCAAAGAAAAAAAUUACCACAUUUUUUAAACCCUAGCACGAAGAAAUGGAAUGGCAUUGAGUGGUAGUGCGCAAUGGAUUGAUGGUGGCGAUGUGGGUUUAGUGGCAAUGGGUAUGAGGGCAAUGGAAAGGAUAGAGAGAGAAGGAUAGAGGGCAAGGGAGAGUAAGGUGGCAUGACGAAGUGGUUGAUCGAUAAUGUGCAUUACCAAUCGUGGGUAAAUCAAGGGUGAAAAUAUCGGUAAUCACGGAUAUAUCGAUACUUCGAUUUUACGGAUAUAUCAGAGAUAUAUCGGUGGAUAUUUUGGAAAAAAAUAUCGAUAGGAUUAAAAUUGUUUAAAACUCAUGAAAAUGUAAGAAAAACCUCAUAAUAAUAUAAUUAGAAGUAUAAUAGACAUUUUAUAGUUAUUUUAUUGAAAAAAUUGAUAUAUGUAUAACAUGAUUUAUCAUAUUUAAUAAUAAUAUCGUAUGCAUCGAUAAAAAUAUGAAUUUUAUAAGUGUACAUUUAUUAUUAAAUUACAUCUAAUUAAUAUUAUGAUAUUUGAUUAUAAUAUAUCUAAUUUUAAAAUAUAUAUUAAUAUUAAAAUUAUGAUCCAUUUAAUUCAAUUGUAUUAAACAAUAUAAAAUAAAUUAUGAUAUAUAUAUGUGUGUAUAUAUAUAUAUAUAUAUAUAUAUAUAUAUAUAUAUAUAAUUUUUUAAUAUUUAAUUAAUUAUUAAUGAUAUUAAAAACAUUAUAAAGAAAAUUAUAUAAUUUUUAUAUUUUUGGUAAUCAAUUAAAAGAAAAUUUUGUAUUUAAUUAUAAAAUAAUUAUAAUUAAUUUGCUCUUUAAAAUAUUCUUUUAAUAUUUUCUUUAUAUAAUGAGUUUUAGUAUAUAUAAGUUUAGUGCACAAUAUAUAACAAAGGCAAGUUUGCCCGAAUGGCAAGUAGAGUGUGGGUUCAAAUCCCCUCAGAAGCAAAAGGAGAAGGCACUGUAGCACAUUGACUUCACUAUAGUGCGUUUGACUUCCAUUGACCCGUGUUGACCAUGCGAUAUAUCGGUAAAAAUCGACGAUUUAUCGCCCAAAUCUCCUAUAUAUCGCGAGAUAUCGCCGAUUUCUCGGGAUUUAUCCCGAAAUAUCAUCGAACCGAUAUUUCUCCAUGAAAUAUCGUGUCGAAACCCUCUGAUACACGAUAUAUCGCCGACAUAUCGCGAUAUUUUCCUCCUUGGGGUAGAUUAGGUGGUGGCAUAGAAGUGAGUAGAGAGAGAAGAUGAGUUUUGUGUGUGUAAGAGGGAAAAUGAGAAAAAAAAACAAAAAACAAAAAACAAAAAAAGAGGUGGGAGUGUUGUUCUUUUUACAACUAUGAACAUGAAAAGAGAAAAGAGAGGAAAAAAAUAAUACAAAAAAAAAAAAUUUUGAACAAAUUUUGAGAUUUACAACUAUGUUUUAGGAUAUAAGGUUAUUCUUUUGAAAUAGACAUGGUUCGAUGCAAACCAAAAAAAGGAAAUAAAAGAUAAUCAUAAUUUUACUAACAUCUAAUUUAGUUAUAGUUGGUAUAACAAUAAUCUUUUGUACAACAAAUGUUCUAUCUAAAUGACUACACGAAUGAUUAUAAGUGGAAAGUAGUUCAAAAAGUGAAUCAUAGAUACAUUUAAAAUGUUUGAUAGAAAAAUUAAUUUUGAUUUUACAACUUGGAGACUUUGUUGUUUUUACUCAAAGAAUUUUUUAAAGUAUCUUUUUUUCUGUGUCUCAUACUAAAUUGAACCUCUUCUUAUUCAAAAUUUUUCCUUUUUUUAUUUGAUUUUAAGCAUCUCACUCAAAAUUAGAACAUCAAACCAAACUCGGAACAACCAUUUCUAUAAGAAAUAGCUUUAGAGAAAAUUUUAUACUACCUCCACGAUGCUUAUCAAUGGAGUAUUUCUAAACAUUAGAUUUUUUUUAAAUCAACUCAUUUGAUUUUGGAAAGGAAAACCAAUUAAUGGCACAAUCGGUUUCCCUCACCUCUUUAUAUCCUACUCUCUUUGGUGUGGAUCCAUGUUCCCUCGUCAAACUUUAAUUUUAGAAAAAGGUUAUAUUCACUAGUGAUUCUUUAAAAAUAAUUCAUUAAGAAAAAUUGCCUUCUAAAAAAGUUAUAAAUCUUAAGUUAAAUUUAUAAAAAUAAAAUAAAAAUAAUUGUAAUUAUCCAAAUUUGUAUUAUAUAUAUUAGAAUUUAAAGAAAAGUAAUUUCAUAAAAUCGAAAUAAAAUUAAAAAUAAUAAAAUUUAUAAAAUUUAUUUAAUAUUCAUAUUUAUUAUUAUUUUUCUUAUAUAUAUUAAUAUAUUUUCAUUUUUUCAAUAAAUUAAAUAAUUUUUUAUUUUCUAUAAUUUUUUAAAAUAAAUUUAUUAGGUUUAUACUAAUUCAAUCUGAGGUAAAACACUUGAGAGGGGGGUGAAUUGGGCAUGGAUCAAUUUUUAUACUUAAAUGAAUAAAAAAGACAAAUAUAAAUAAUUAUGAACAAUAACAAUCAAUUAAAUGAAAAAUAAAAAUAAAAAUAAAUAGAAAGAGUGGAAGCGAAAAUGUACAUUCUAACUUAUAGUGAUUUAGCCUAAUCCCAAUUAGGGAUGACAGUUUUGCAUGCUAUUUGGGUAACCUACCCCCUCCCUAUUGGGACGAGUAUGAGAAGAUGAUGAUUGAGGAUGAGGCAGGUUUAGGAAAAUAUUCCAAACCCAAAUGGAGUUCAAGAAGGGGAUGGGUGCUUGUUAUUAAAACAACAACAAUAAUAAGAAGAACUAUUUCCAUUCCUAUGAUAUAGAGUCAAAAUAUAACCAAAAUGUGAGUUCUUAUUAUUUUAUAAUUCUUUUUUUCUUGUUUUUUGCUUUACUAUUUACAUUAUAAAUAGUUACUUUUUUCACAUUUGUCCUAGAUUAGCAACUUAUAUUCCUUAACAUAUUUGUCAUAAGGUUCACCUCCCACUAAUGAACAAUGAAGGAUAAAUAUCAUUAUUUUAAUGUCAAGAUUUAUUAUUUUUUUCUACGUGUCCCCAAAAAUUUAAAGUAGAUGAAAAUUUUGCUAAUUUGUGGUCUACCAUACAAUCUGUUAUAUAAAUAAGCAAAUGCUCAUUUCCAUUAUGUAUAGUAAUAGUAUGGCCGAUCAUUGUGGGUAUAACAAUAGAUGUUCGGGACCAAGUUACUAUUAUUUCUUUUUCCCACAUUGUGUUAAGCAUAACAAUUUUUCUUAAUAAAUUCUUUGCUAUAAAAGGGCCUUUUUUUUCUCCUCUCAUCGCUCUCCCCCAUCUCUUUAUAUUGCCCAUUUCUACUUCAAACUUUAGAAAUCCAUCUCCAAAGAUGAAUCUAAGAAGAGCAAUAAAAUCAAGCAUUAUUUGUGGAUAAAGCCUUUUUUCUUUUGCAAAUAGAAAUGGAAUCACAACGAUGAUCGACUCCAUGGCAAUAGCGAUAACUUUGAUAUUCAUCAAGAGCCAAUAGUGAUAACUUUGAUAUUCAUCAAGAGCCAAAGCCUUCAAAGCAUCCAUUUCAAGUCCUCUCCUCUUCUAAAGGGUUAGGUUUUGAUUUGGUUUUUAAUCUAAGUCAUAUUUGAGGGUCUUGGCUAGUUGGAUUGUGUAGAGAUAUUCAAUUUUGAUGGAAAUUUUGGAUCUUCUUUUCUUUCUAAUUUGAGUUUUGGUUUGAUUAAUUAUUAUUCCAAGUGUGGAUUUGUCUCAAGUCUCAAGUCUCAAAUCCUUUCAUUUUCUUUUUCCUAUAUGAAUUGAAUUUUUGGAUUUGAAAGUUGAAACUUCUCACCUUUGUGCACAUUCAAUUUUUCUUUUUUCCAACAUUUUCUUUCAAAGACCAUUGUGGUCUCUCAAAAUUUUCGUGGUCUUUUUUUUUUUUCAAAAAAGUAUAUCAAUGGCAUAAAGAUUGUGAAUUUGUUCAUCGGGGAUUUUGUGAAUUGAUGUAAUAUUAUUGGUUUUGAAAAAAUCAUUCUUCCCAUCCAAACAAAAAUAUGCAUUUAGAUUGAGACGAUGUGAGAACAAGCUUAUAUAUAUAUAUAUAUAUAUAUAUAUAUGUAUGUAUAUAUAUUGUAAACGGGGAUGGGUAUUCAUCAACAUGCCUCUUAAGUUUGGAACAAGAAUGGGAAAGGAUUAUAUAAAUGGAAUGGGGAAUGGAAUAGGGGUGCCCCAUUCCAAACCCACCCCAUUGUCAUCCCUAAUUCCAUUCUAUAUCCACUCUUCUCUAACUUCACUAAGCUUAAGGUUCACCCUCUUCAAGGCUCAAACUAAGUCUUAAUCUUGUGUUUAAAGUAUUUUCUUACACUUUCCUCUAGAGACACCUCACUCUUGAAAUCAAACCCUCGGGCGAUACCCCACACUAAAAAAAUUCUCAAAUGAUACUUCACACUUAACAAACCCAGAUGAUACCCCACACUUAGUUAAUUUCCUCUUAAGGUUUACAAAGAGACAUAAAAUUCCCAAUAAUAAAUUUUUUGGCUCAAAGAUUGCAAUUCAAACUAGGAUCAAGGAUGCACUAAAUGAAAUGCAAGUUUAGGCUAAGUUGCACUCAAUAUUUUCAUAAGACUUAAUAAAUGAUUGAAUAAUAUAUAUCUAUAUAGGAGCAACUCCUUCAAUAAAUGAAGAUAUGAGUCUUUAUAUAGGAGUUGAGAAAUUGAACUAUUUGUUAAAUAUAGUAUGAAAUUGGCAUGGGUUUUUCAUCAAACUCAAAUAUCUAUAUUGCAUUAUAUUACAUUAUGUUAUUACAUUAUAUUGUAUUAUUUUAUAUUUAUUUUAAAAGAAAUAUAAAAAGAUAUUGCAAUUUCCUUAUGAGAGAAAGAUUGUACAGAUAAUGUGAGAAAAUAUAUGAAAAAUGUAAUAAGGGGUACAGAGAACGUGAGAGGGGAUACAAAAAAUGUGAAAAAUGAUAUGAAAAAUAUGAGAAAUGGUACAAAAAAAAUAAUAAGAUAGAAUAUGACGAAUGUGAAAAGAGGUACUAAGAAUGUGAGGAAAAGUAUAAAAAAAAUAUUAGAAAUGAUAUAAAUAAUAUAAGAGAUGAUUCAAAGACUAUGUGAAAGAGUAUAAACAAUGUGAGAUAUUAAAAGUACAAGCUACAAAGAAUUUGAGAGAAUGUAUAAAGAAUGUGAGAGGAUACAAAAAAAUGUGAUUGAGGAUAUGAAGAAUGUUAGAGAGGAUAUGAAAAAUAUGAGAAGAGACAUGAAGAAUAUGAGAAAUUGUAUGAAGAAUGUGAAAAACUAUAUGAAUAAUAUGAGAAAAUGUAUGAAAAAUAUGAAAAAUGAUACGAGGAGUUGUAUCCUUUGUCACAUUUAUAGUUUCUACUCUGAUAUUUGUUUAUGUGUUUUCAUACAUUCUUCUUACAUUUUCUCACAUCCUUCAUACAAUUCAUAUAUUCUUCAUAUGUACCUCUACUCUUACACUCUUCAUGCGUUUCCUAUUCUUUAUACCCUUUUCAACAUUCCUUAUACAUCUUCUUACAUUUUUCAUAAUUUUUAUAUAACUUCUCAUAUUCUUUGUACUUCUUACAUUCUUCUUACAUUCUUGGUCUUAUGUAUUAUAUUAUUUGUACAUUUUCUCACAUUGUACUAUCUCUCAUAUUCUACAUAUUUUUUUCCACAUUGUUUGUACUCUUUUGUACAUCCUUUGUAUCUUUUCUCACACUUUUCAUCCUAUCUCUCAUUGCUCAUACCUUUUUCUCAUAUUUUUUGGUACCGUCUCUUACAUUAUCCUUUCUACAAAUAACCAUAUGGAGAUGAAUUCUUUAGUUAAUAUGCAGUUAAUGUUAGUUAGAUAAUAAGUGAAAACUAACCAAAGGUCAAGAAAUUGAAAUAUCUUAAUUGAAGAGAAUAAAUUACAAUAAGUGAAAAAUUAAUAUUGAAUUAUAAAAAAAUUUAAUUCCUAAUAAAAUUAAUAUAAAGUAUUAAACAUAUUUUUUAUGAUAGAUAUGUACUACAUCCUUUAUUAUUUUAUAUAAAUAAAAUAUUAAAAAAUUUAAUCAAAGUAAAAGUUAGAACAACAGGCUCUUUGCAUAUAUCACCAACAACUAUUUCCCUACAAAAAUACUAUCAAAAGGAAACCAUCGUGAGCACUCCCCACAAUCUAGAAUGAAUGGAUCAAUAAACUCCCCACAAUCUAGAAUGAAUGGAUCAAUAAACUUGAAUUUGUAAAUUACCUAUCAUUAAUUUUUUUACCACGUGGAUGUUUAGUAAAACUUAAUCCUUAUUAUUUAAGAAUUUAAUUUGAAUUUAAAUUAAAUUAUUAUUAAGUUAUUAGCUAAAAACUUAUUACUUAAUUUUUACUUUAAAUAUUAUGGUUGUUUAAUAAAAUUAACUUAAAAUUUAUUAUUAUUCAUCAAAUUGAUAUAUUUAUCCUCAUAUUUAUUGUCAUUAAUUUUAAGCAAUAAUUUUAUUUAUAAAACGUCUAUAUUUAAAAACAUAUAUAUAUAUAUAUAUAUAUAUAUAAAAGAUAACCAUAAAAUAUUUAUUAUAAAAAUUGAGUUAUAAAUGUAAAAUCAUAAUUUUAAAAUAUACUCUUAUGGGGUAAUGAGGCAAAAAGGAUUUGACAUUAUUCAUAAAUAAACUAUUUGGACUCGAUACUUAAAAUUAAAAUAAUUUUAAGCUAUAAUAUUAAAUUAUUUUUUUAAGCAUAAUUAAUCUAUUUAAUUAUUUAAAUUAAGUUAUUAAGUGGUAUUAAGUCAUUAAGUUAAUUCAUCAUACCUGUACAUAUAAGCAUUUUAUAACCUUGCUUUUCAUAAGCAAACUCCAAACAGGUUGCUUUUCUUGACACUUGAUAAUUCUUCUAGCUUUAUUAUUCUUUUAUUUCUGAUCUCUUUCAUUUCCUAUGGCGCCCAAUAUCAUAUGGACCAUUCUCCAUGUCCUACUGUAUUGUUUGUUUUCCAUGGAAACCUCUUUUUCAUCCAUUUAUACUCUCCCACAAUUUUUCAGUUUCGAAAGGCAGACAGGGCUACUCAGAGUCUGUGGGUAACAAUUCUAUGGGCUCUAGCACGACUUUUGGUUGAUAAAAUGUGUGGGAUGGAAUGAAGCCCAGCUUCCCAUGCGAGUUGCCUACUUCUCUUCUUGGUUUACUGGUACCAUGAAACCAGGUUUGAAAAAUCGGUUCUUUUGGCCGAAAUAUCGAUGAAAAAUCAGUUAUCGGCGGUGGUCGAAACGAUUUUGGCCACCGGUCGAGAGAAAAAUCGGCCAAAUGUCGGAGAAUCACGGGGAAAUUUCGGUUUUGGAGCAAAAUUUUGACGAAAAAUGGGGCAUGGGGCGAUGCGUGCGGUGAAGGGCGGUCUAAAAAAAAAACCGAAAAAUCGGCAAUUUUUUUUGGAUUUAUCGCCGAUUUUUUCAAAAAAACCAAUGAAAGUUUUUUUUUUUAAAUAAUAUAUAUUUAUCCUUUUUAUUUUUUAAUUACUUAUUUUUAAUUUAUGUUUUAUUUUAAAUUUAUGUUACCAUUUUAUUUUUAACUACUUCUCAUAUUUAUCUCAUUAAUCCUAUUUUAAAAAAUUACUAUCACUUCUCUCUUAAUUUUUUUAUUUAUCCUUUUAAUUUCAAAUAUUUUUAUUUUAAAAUAUUAAAAAUAUAAUUUUACUCAAAAAUUGCUACAAUAUAAAAAAAAAUUAAUGAAGUCCUAAUAUUUUAAAAAUUAAAAUUAAUUUGAUAAGAUAAAUUAUUAAUAAUUUUAAUUAUUUAAAUAAAUUAAUAUUAAUAGAAAAAGUUAUCACCACAUAUUUGUAAUAAAAUUUUAAAAAUUAAAUCUAAAACAAAAUAUUUUAUAUAAAUCAAUUUAUUUUUUAUUUAAAAUGUAAUAAAACAUGUUUUAAUAUAAAAGUAUUUUUAAAAAUUUUAAAUAAAUGAAUAUAAAUAUAUUAAAGGAAUUUAAGCUAAUUUUUUUUAUAAAAAUUUGAUAAAUAUUAUCUUUAAUCAUAUUUAUAUUAAUUACACUUACAAAAAUAACUUUAAUAUGUGUAUUUUUAUUUAUUUUAUCUUUUUUUUUUUUUAAGUUUUCUAAACAUUUUCAUGAAUUUUAAACUAUUUAUAUUUUAUCGAUAUUUUUGUCAAAAUAUUCACUGAUAUUUUUCCGAUAUAUCCAUAAAAUUCAAAUACCGACAUAUCCAUUAUGGAUAUUUCAAACCUUGCAUGAAACUGGGACUGCUUAAUCUAGUUUGAACCAUUGAAGCGAUUUUGAGAUCAUCAAAAAACCAAACCAUCCAAUGUAAAGACGAUAUUUAGUGUUGGUUAUCUAUAAGGUCGGGAUCAUCAAAGCACCACACCAAACCAUUAAAUGUAAAGACGGUUUUUAGUUCUAGUUAUCCAAUUAUAGAAGUAACCCUAUUGGCUUUUGCUUUUGCGUCUCUUAAAAAAUUACAAUCAUGGUAAAAUCUUGAUUUAUUUAAUCAUCAAAGACUUCCAAUCACAUGAUAAUUUUUCUAUGAAGCUCGUUAAAUAUACUUUCUAUUUUUUUGUUUUUAAAGAUAAGAAAUAAUAGUAAAACACUAAGUUAUAAUGAAGUGAUAAUAAAUAUAGAAGUUUCUAAAUCAUCAAAACACCAAACCAUCCAAUGUUUAGUGUUGGUUAUCUAUAAGGUCAUGAUUAACAAGACAUCAAACCAUUCAAUGUAAAGACGAUUUUUCAAUUCUAAUUAUCUAAUUACAAAAUCAAUCCCAUUUGCAUCUCUCUAAAAUUAUAAUCAUGGUAAAAUCUUGAUUUAUUUAAUCAUCAAAGACUUGCACACGAUAAUUUUUGUAAGACACUUGUUAAAUAUCCAUUCUAUUUUUUGUUUUUAAAUAUAAGAAAUAAUAGCAACUACUAUAUAAAAUACCAUUACUUUUAUACAAAAAUACAAAAAGGAGAAAAAAGAAAAAGAGAGAGAGAGGGUGGACUUCCUUAUAUUCUUAAAAUUACCGUCAAAUUUUUAAAAUUAUGAAGUAAAAAAAAUUCUUUAAUAUUUAUUUAUUUUAAAUAGUUUUGAAAAUCAUUAUUCUAUAGGAGUUCUUAUUAUUUACUAUUUUUAAAUAUAAAAAACAAUAAAUAUGUCCCAACACCACUCAAAGUUAAAAAAAAGACACCUAUAAUUAGAAAUCAAAAUAUGUUACCUACUUUAUACCUACAUAUUAUUAAUAAUUUCAAUUUUUUUAUUACAUAUAGUUUUAAUUAAAAAAAAUAGUUGUAUUUUGUAUCUAAGAGUAUGAUCAUAUAUAUUAACAUAAAAUAUAUAUAAAAAUUAUAUUAGGUCAAGUUUCAAUUGAAUUUGGAUAAACAAAACCUUGAUUAAUCUUAAAUAAAAUUAAGGUUUAUUGAUCCAAUCUUUUUUUCUUUUUUUUUUUUUUUUUGUGUUUCCUUUUUGGUGUUUUUUCAAAUUUAAUAUGAGAUACUUAGGCUUAACUCAAACUGCAGGAUUGCAUAAAAUCUAAUCCAGGCACUCUUUACCCUCAGAAUAAACCAACAUAUAUGAUUUCAUAUGUUCAGUGGGGAGAGAGAGAGAGAGAGAGAGAGAGAGAUGUGAAUUCCUUUAAAAGUGUUAUCUCUGUUGUACUUUGAUUUAUCGGCUAAUUGGAUUAACAUCGCUGCUGAAAGCAACAUGUAUCGUAUUUAAUAUGCGAUUUCCAAGUGGUGCCGCCACUCCCAUUAUCUGUGACAAUGUUACCCACCAUUUAUUAUCUAUGAGAUGUAGACGUAGGAUUUGGAGAUGAAUCCCUUUUAAGUUUUAUCACAAGGGGAUUCAUUUAAAAAUACAUUCCAUAAAGAUUGACAUGUUGUUCAAAAUUAAUGAAAUAAAAUUACUCAAAAAUACAUUCCAUAAAGAUUGACACGUAAACUUUGUUUUUUUUUCUUUUUUCAUUUCUUUUAUUUUUUUCACACUUAAUUGUUUUUCAUAUUCUUCUAAUUAUAUUUUAAAACAAAAUAGUUUCUUUAAAUAAUAAAUUAUAAAAUGAUUUUUUUCACCAAAAGUAUAUUAUGUAAAAUGAUUUUAUUAUAUUCAAUGUUUUAAUGUGAAACUCAAAACUCAAUUUUUUUUAAAUAAAAUUAUUAUUAAAAUUUUAAAAUAAACAAUAUUUAAUUGGAAUGGUUUUUUUUAAAAAUAUAUUUUUUAUUGUGUUCAAUAUGAUUUCUUUUGUAACCCAAACAAAAAUAUUGCAUAUAACUAAAGAUUGAUUAAGAAUAUGAGCAAUGUAAUAAUUAUUUGUGUAUGCGAAAUGAAGACUCAUAAAACAAAGUAUGUAAUCAAGAGCCUAAAAAAGGUCAAAACAUGGUGGGACUUAAAUUAAUAAUUUAUGUGGCUACUAUAAUGUUUUCUUACAAAAAAUUAGUAAUUUAGUAAAUAUUAUAAACAAAUAAAAGAAUUAGAAUUUUAUAAUUAUUAUAAACAAAAUUUAUUUCAUGAAGAAUUUUCUAACUAUUAUAAACGAAAAGAAAUUUAGUAACUAUUAUAAACAAUAAAAAAAUUCAAUUUUUAUAAUUAUUAUAAGAAAAAAAUUUAGCCCAACCACCGUCGUCGGUGGUCGCCGACUUCCAUCCCUGCUCCAAACCCUAAUCGUUGUCGUCGCUGUUACCUCCUAGGAUGUUGGAGCCCUAUCCAGGUCGCCCUUUUUUUUUUUUUUUUGAUAAAUAUAUAUAUAUAUCUCUUUAUAUAAAAAAAAUGAAAGUUAUAAAUUUUACCUGAAAAUAUUGAAUUUCGUCAUUUAUUAUAUUUCGUAUGUGAUUCGUAGUCUUAAUCAACUAGAAUUUAGAUUUAAUAUGUUGAGAGGAGGUUAGAGAUAGUUCUUUAUUAAAAAGGGUAUAUGUGAAAAACAAAAUAUGAUAAAAAAAGUGUUACGUUUAACAAAAGGGAUGUUGCGAAUAGUAGCCCCCAAAAAGAUUUCACCCCUAAACUAUUCAUUACAAAGCUUUCAUUCUUUUGUAAGUUUUUAUUUUUUUUUUUCCUAUAUUUACAAAAUAUUUUCUUUUCAUAAUUGAGAGAGAAGUUGUUAGCAAGAAAAAAAAACUUUGGUAACCUCAUAUAAGGGGUUUUACCAUGUAAGUUUUUUUGCCUCAUUAUUAUAAUUGGGCAAAAAUACUUGAUAAAACACCCUCACGAGAUAAAUUACAUAAAAUUACAACCUCUUUCUCAAUUAGAAGGAGAAAAAUAUUAAGAUGGAGGCCCUUUAAAUAGCCUAUAAAAAUUGUCUCCAUUACUCUCUUAACUAAUGUGUGAUGAUUUAAACCUUAGCAUUGUUUGAAAAUUAUUUUCAAAACAAUUAUAAAAAAAAUUAAAUUGUUUUAUAAUGUUUUAUAAAAUAAAAUUCUAUUUAAUUUUUUUUAACAUGUUUUCUAUAUUUUAAAUAUAAUUUUUAUUAUAAUGCUUUAUUUUCAAUUAUUAUUUAUAUUUAUGAAAUUAUUUUUUAAAAUAACUUCUAAAAAAAAGCAAAAAUAUAAAUAUGUUUAAAAAAAAAUACCCUAUUUAUGUUUUUUUUUUUAAAAAAAAAACUAUUUUUGUGUUUUGAUUACUAAAUAUGUUUUUUCUAUUUUCCUUAAAAAAAAUAGGAAAAUUUGUAUACAUACAUGAAGACAUUCUCAACCUUUUAUUUUAUUUUAUUUUUGAAAUCUGUAAGUAAAGCAAUUGGAUUUCAAGGAUACAAAAGCAUGGAGCUAAAAUAACUCAUUCCGAAUGUUUUUUAAAAUAUUAUUAUGAGUUCCUUUUUUAUUUUUUAUUUUUAUUUUUAUCUAAGUAACUACCUAAAAGAAUGGAUAAAUAAUUCAAUCUUGGUGUAUUCUAAUUUAAAAAUUUAUUUGAAUUUUCUUAGGAUGUAUUUGACGGUCAUUCUACAAAAUGUUUUUAACUUUUUUAAUACUUGAAAUUUUUUAUUUUUCAAGUAUUAGAAAGGUUAAUAACACUUAUUAGAAUCAUUAUCAAAUGCACUCAUAGUCAUCAAUUAGGACAUACAUUAUUAAAUAUACAUGAAAAAAUAACCUUUCAUUUAGACCUCUGGUAAUAAAUUUUUAAAUAGAAUAAAAUUAAUGGAAAUUUUUAGUCAAAUUAAAAAAAAAAAAUCAUAUUUUGAUGAAGUGUUGAUCUUAGUAAACACAGCAGGUAGAAAAUAUACUUUUUAAGGGCACUAGCAGCUUUAGUUAUUUGGUGGUGUCCAUUUCAUCACUUCAUUGUCUCCACUUUUCACUUCAUGCCAAAUCAUGUGAAGGCAAGUUUAAUCCAAGAACCAAAGACAUGGGCAUAGUUGUUAAUUAAUUAAUGGGAGCCACUUGCCCAUUGGAAAUAGUCAUUAAAUUUAUGGUGAUGGACUCCUCAAUGUAAUGGAAAAUGUAGUUGACUUGAUUAGGAGAUAGAGAUGAAAUUAUUUAAUUAUAUGAUGAUAUACUUCUAAUGAGUGUGACAAGCAUUUCAAUAUUUCAUUACAACAAGAUAUCUAGGAGUUGGAGAAUAAUAUAAUGGGUCAGGUUCUUGUUAACCAGCCCUACUGAGAUUGUUAUUGAUGGUGACAUGGUUAGGGAAAGGGAGAGCGAGAAAAUAAUGUUCUUAUACUUCUUAUUGUUGUCUAGUUUAUAUUAAUAAUCACUUGUGCUUAUGAGAUAAGGAUGUAUUAUUAUAUUUAUACUAUUUUAAUUUCAUUUUUUUUAUCAUAAUUUUAUUAUUUCAUUUUAUUUUUUUAAUUGUUGUGAAUGUUGUGAGUGGGUGAGUUUUAUAAGAGAAUAUGGACUUACAGUAUAAUGUAACGACGUUAUCCACUCUCUUUCUUUCAUAUUAAAAAAAUUGAGGAGUUAUACAUUAGAGAAACAACGCUGAGUUAAAUGAAAAGAAUAAUUAUAUCGUGAUAAUACUUUUAUUUUUUAUUUUUUUAUUUUAGUAAGUAAUGAUUAAAUGUUUGGUUCGUGAAAUCAAAUUUUUACAACAAUUGGAUUCUAAAGAUCGUUGUAUUUUCGGAGAAGAAUACUAAUCAACUCUGGACAGAAGAAGACUUGAUUUUUCUUAAGAGAGCACUUCAAUGCUCCUCGAUCAAGCUUUUUCUAAUCUUUAUAUUUUUCUAAUUAAUAUAAUCUUUGAUUUAUUGUUGAUAUUGGAAUUUAUGUAUAUCUAAAUAACUUUCUCUUUACUACAUCUUAAAUUGAUAUUGUCAUCUUAAGUGAACUAGUAUUUUCUUAAGGGUCCUAAUAGUCUCUAUUCGAACUCACAUUCCUAGGUGACACAUUGUUUAAAGGAAGGGCGUUUUGGUAAACAUGUAACAUUACACAAGAACUUAUGAAUGAUUUUUUAUGAUAGUACUAAUUAAUUAAUUGCAGUCUAAUGAGACUAAUUAAUAAAUUAAGACUCAAUGAACUAGAUUAAGUGACUCAAACUCAAAAUAUGUUCAAGUUACUUAAUCACAUAAGAAAGUUUAUGUAAACCCUUUCUAAGGGUUUAGAACACUAAUCAUUGUAUCUUUAAGAGAAGAACAAUGGUCAAUUCUAUAUAGAAGAGAAUAUAUUUUUUCUUAGGAUAGUGCACCUACGACCUCAAUUGAACUUUUUCUAAUGAAUUUAAUUUUGAUAUUUAAUUAUUAUUGAAUUUUAUUGGAAUAACAAUAAUUAAACAAAUUUUUUUGGAUAAUUUUUUAUAUUUACCUAGUUUUGAAUUUAGGGCAUAUAGAUAAAAAAAAAUCUGCUUAAAAUAUAUAAUAUUAAUAUUUUUAAAAUUUUAAAUUAUGAAGCAAUGAAAUAAUAACAUAUACUAUGUUAUUUCAUUUAUCUAUUUAUUUUAUUUUGUUUGAUAAAUAUUAGGAGAGAUUGCUAAUUUCAACAUACCAUCAAUUGACAAAGAUUUUUUUUUUCAUUUUUAAGGGAAAAAUAAUUUGCAAUAAUUAAGUAUGAUAUCUUGAAAAAUGUGCAAAGUUUCUAAUUCAUUUUAGUGUGAAGUUUAUUAAUAAAAAUACAAAGUGGCAAAUUGCAUGGCAUGUUAAAUAGGAGGGUAGGCAUUGAAAAAAUUAAUAAAUGUGGAUGAGGGUGCAUGUGGUGAGACUAUGUGCUCCCUAGGGAAAGUUGAUGGUUUAUUUCCAUAUAUUAUUAUGGCCAAUGUUGAAGUGCAUCUCAUGUGCUAACCAUAAGUUUACCAUUAAUUUUGUACUCAUAUCGAGUGUUCAUUAAAUCUCAUUUAAAUUUUUUAUUGUCGUCCUCGAUUUUUGAGCUAGGUUUACAAAAAAAUACAAGAUUAAAAUAAAAAUUAAAGGUAUGUUCAAGUGUUUUUCUAGCAAAUCUCUCUUAUGGCUAAGUUAACUUGGAGGAUUCAAUGGAGUAAAUUUAAGGGAAAGAAUUUUCUUACCUCCAAUUUUUGUCCUUUUAUUGUUAUAUGAAAUACAUUUUGUAAUAUCUUUUUGACCAUUAUAACCUCUUUUAAUUAGGUAACGUUGACUUGUUGAUGCUGCAUAACGAUCGACUUGCACAUAAUGGACAUUCAUUUAAGACGACUUACUAUCCGAAUAGACUUUGGUCAAACGAAACCAUUUGAAUUGACAUUACUUGAGAUGAGAUGUCUACUAAAUAUCUUACUGUUCAAGUGCCCACAAUUACAUUAUUGAAAAAAAUAAUAAAUAAAAUUAGAAUAAUUAUAUAAUGAUAAUUAUGUAAAAAAUUAUUUUUUAUUCCCUAAAUUGAAUGUAACUUCAAAGUAGUAAUAAUGACAAUAAUGUAAGCAAGAAAAUUUAGAAAAUAAAAUAAAAUGAUUAUGAAGAAUACCUAAAAAUUUAAAAGUGAAAGACACGGUACACAAAACCAAUAAACCAAAAUUAUUUGAUAUAUUCAUUAAAAGUAUUUUUUAAGUAGGGAAAAUGUAAAUCAUUGCAUAUUCUUUUACAAAAACUUCACUCUUUUCUAGGUAGCAUAUUAUAGGUGUUGAUAUUAGUGAUGCUAGGGAGAAUUUUUUUUUAAGACUUUAAAAGCAACGGUUGAAAGUGAAAAGCAACUUUCAAUAUUGUCUGGACAUAACUUUUAGUCAUAGAUUCUACACUUUAAUAAUGUGAUUUAUUGGUAAUUUUUUGUUAUCAAGCAUAAUGAAAGAAAUGAAAAUUUUUAUUUAAUUAAAAUUAUAUAAAAAUAUUAAAAUUAAUCUUAUAUGUAAUAAAAAAUAAUUUCAAAAAUCAAAAUAAAAUCUUCAAAUAAUCCACUAAUUACGAUCGAGUUUCACCCUUGUAAUCUUAUAUGCACAAAAUGCAUCAACACUCUACGAUUAAUAUGAUUUUUUUUAAUUAAUAGAUAAUUGAGUAUUAAUUUACUUCAUGGAUACAGAUAUCACAUUGAUCGUCGAAUUAUGUUAAAAUUUUCAUAUUUAUUGUAUGUGUACAUAAUUUAGUUAACACCCGAGAAAACAAUUUAAUCAUAUUAAAAGGUAAUUUGAUUACAUUUUAGAGCUAAUUUAGUCUAAGCACUUUUGUGAUUAUUAAAUCCAAUAACAAAUAUUUCAUUUUUAUUUAAUGCAAUAACUCGGCAAAUGGAAGCAUCACGCCUCCUCCACAAUAGUCUACACCCUCCACGAAAACCUAAAAUCGUAUUAAAUUAAAUAAACCCCUCUCUCUUAUCUAAUCCAGAACCACAAUCAACCCUGAAUAGGGAUGACGUGUAACAUUUGAUGGGACGGAACUUAUAGUUUGUGCAUAAAAAUUAUAAUUUAAUGAGUUGAUUAGCUUAUUAAUUCACAAAACAGACAUUAAGUUACAACUCAUCUCAAGAGUCAUGACUAAUCCUUUCACAGCCGAAAUUCCCAGAGCCAUAUACGUCACCCAGUACAUCAAAUUUCAAAAUUAAAAUUAAUGUAACAUAGCCAAGUGUCACGCCACCUAUUAGGAUUCCUAAAAAUAAAAAUUAAUUAGCAAGUUUUAAAAUAUAGGUGGGAGAGCCCUUUCCAACUUGCAUAUAAUUUGUUAAGUAGCGUUGAGCUUUUUACUUCAUUGAUUUCAAAUUUAAAAAAUAAAGCACCCUUAUAAAUUUAUUUUGUUUAUAAAAUUUAUGUUUUAGGGAGAUUUUAAAUAAAAAAAAAAUUUAGAUAUGAGUAUUUAAUAAUUUUUUAAAAACUAUAUUUUAUUUUUAAAAAUUUAAAAUUUAUAUAUAAAAAACAUUGGGGUGCUAACUGAUAACAUGUAGCUUAGUACUGGUAACAUAUAGCUUAGUGUAUUUAUAUUAAAUCUUAAGGUGUCUCAAUAAAAUUAAUCCUAAUAAUAAAAAAAGGGAAUUGAAAUGAAUUAUAAUAUUAUAUAAAACAAGAAUUGGUCCUCCCCCUUAUACAAUAGGGUCGAGACACUAAUCAUGUCAAAGUCUCCUAUCAAACAAAUUAUUGAAGUUGGUUCUAAGUCGAUUAGUGAUCCAAAAAAGGUUGUUGAACAUAGUAUCAAAGGGACACAACCUAUCAAAUGUGUUCUAAAGUCCAUGGAUAAAGAAGUUAAAGAGAUGACUUAAUUGCAGUCGAAUCAACGGAGAUUAGAGGAACAAUCCUCAUAGUCACUAAAGGUAACUAGAGCUGGUUUUUUUUUUUUUUUUUUGUUAUAAUCCCAAUAUGAUUUGAGUUUUGAUUUUUAUCAAAAUGAUUUUUUUAUCAUUAUUUUUAUAACAAGACAAAUCUAAAUAAAGUAAUAAAUGAAAAAUAAAACAAAAUUUUCAUUGCUAAGGGAAUGCUUCAAAACAUGGUACAAUAUUUUAAAUCUAGGAUAAUUAAAUUAUCAUGUUCUAUCUAUACCAUUGCAUAAAGAGAAUGGUUUUUUAUUUCACUUUGUUGAGGACAAAAAUAUGAGUUUUAGCCAAAUAGAAGAUUAAUGAAUAAAAAACGACAAACUGAAAUUUAAAAGUACAUAUUUAAAAGCAAGAUCCAAAAUGUCUAGAAAUAGAUAUCUUUUACAAAAAAUAUCUCCUAAAGGCCCACCCAAGUAAUGAUUCUCCGCUCCCAAUCUACCCUAAAAUCAUUACAAUGAUUCAUUACAAAAUCAACCAUAAUUCGCAUUUCAUGAACAAUGAACGUGAUGGCACAUGAUUUUGUUUCAUGAGGGUACGUUUGUUUCAUUUGAAGGAAAGUUAAAAAAUUUUCAUUUAUUUAACUCUCCUAUAUAAAUAUUAAAUAAUUUAAAAAUAUAUAAUUUUUUUUAAAUAAUUUUAAUUAUAUUUGAUUUUUUUUAUAUUUUUCAUAAUAAAACCAAAAUAAGAAAAUAAUUUUCUCUAACUUUUUUUUUCUUUCUCUAAUUUUUUGGGAAUCAAAUAUAGCUUUAAUAUUAUCAAGAAAAAAAAAAUAUAAAAAAAUAUAAAAUAAAGAAAAGAAAUAACUAAAAAAGAUUUUAUUACAGUACCAAUCAACCAAAUUACGAUAUUUAUGCAUUUUAGAUCCUAUUGUUUUGUAUAAAAAUUUAUUCAAUUAUUUUGUAUCUUGAUUUUAUUUAUUUGUAUUUGGUUUUACUUUAUUAAUACGAGAGUAUAUAUAUAUAUAUAUAUAUAUAUAUAUAUAUAUAUAUAUAUAUAUAUAUAUACACACACUGGGGUUCUUACUCUACCAUUUUGCAAGUAAAAAGAGGUAGUAGUGGACUAUAAAAAAGGGGAUUGGAAAAUGAUGUAUAGGUGGUUGGUGAAAAAAUGGUAUCCAACAAAUGGGUGUCUUGAAUUCCACUUUAUAGGGUGAGGAUGAGAUACCAUCCCUUCCAUCUCCCCUCCACCAUCCACUUUUACUCCACCAAACCCUGGGGUUGGAGCUCAAUAUACCUAUAUACCCACUUUCACAACAAAAAUUAAAUUAAUAAAAAAUUAAAAAAUAUAUUAUUAUAUUCUAAAAGCUUUGACUUGACUAAUAUUAUUUUCUCUGGGAUUUUAAGGAUCAAAUUAAAUUUAACUUGAAUAAAUUAUUUUUUAAUUCAAAUUAAAUUUGAGAAUGGGUAAAAGUGGCAUUUUCGCUAUCAUAGUAUCCGAUGCUACCAACCGUCUUAUGGAAACAAUCGGAAGAUAAGCGGUUCAACUAACUUUUCAUGUUGAGUUUCUACGCACUCAAAUAUUAAUAAAGAAGAUCUACCUGUAUAAAUUUUAUAAAAUACUUGAUUUUAUGGAAAAUGAUAUUAUAUUUAUUUUUAAAAAUUAAUUCUCUUAUUUAAAUUAUUUAAACACAAAUAAAAAGUGAAUAAUAUUUUAAUUAAUUAUACUUUCCAAAUAAAAUCUUGUGAGGUUUGGAGAAUCUGACAUCAAAUCUGAUCAUAAUUAAAAGAAAGAAAAACGAGAUCCAUCAAAUUACGUUUCAGAAAAAAAAAAAAAAAAAAAAAGGAAAAAAAGUAAACCGAGUCAGCAGUGGCCAGUGAGCACCACAUUAAUCAGAGUGGAGAUUCCAAUUGUUUUUCUAAACCUGGCUAUCCCAAUUUGUAAUUUUAUUUAUUUUUAUUUUAUAUAUAUAUUUUUUCUGGAGCCACUGCUGCAAGCAAGAUUUGAGUGCCAAGAGUGUGAAGAGGAAAAAGAAGAGGUGGUUGAUGUCUUCCUUGGAAAAAGAAUUCUAAGAAAAAGACAGCGGUGGUGGCCGGUGGGGGCGAUGAGCGGUUGGAAGGUUUUUGUGUGAGAGAGUGUGUGUGUGUGUUUGAGGAUGAGCAAUGGGAGUGAAGAAUUGAGGUUGCGGUGUGGUGGUGGAGCAGGGAUUGGACUGGUUGGGAGACCAUUUGCUAGGGUUUUUUCGGAGUGGAAUCUGGAGGAGAUGGUGAGAGUUUGAAUUCAAGGUUGGAGUUUCAUAAUUCUGAGGGAAAUCAGUGGGCGAAUAUGAUAUCCGGCGGGGUUAAUUUGGUGAUGACAGUGAUUGGAUUCGCGGUGAGUACGAUGUUCAUCGUUUUCGUCUGCACGCGCCUCGUUUGCGCCCGAAUCCAGUUGAACGCGUCGCGGAGAUCGUUUCCUGUUGCUUCCAGAUCUGAUCUUAGUAUUGUGAGCAUUUUUUCUUAUCUCUUUUUGUCCUCAGUGGUUCCCUGUUUGGUUACUGCAAAAGCAUGGGACUGCAGAAUGGAAAACAUAGUUUUGAAUCUUUUGUUUCCAAAUAAUUGACACCAUCUCUACCGAGCUUAUUUUUUCUUCCAAGUUUUCUUAGCGGCCAAACAGAGGAUAAUGUUUCAUUUUUUCCCCUCUGUAAUUAAAACAGAGGAUAAUGUUACAAUUGUGCCGCUAGCGCUCUUUUACCUUCUCAUCCCUUCUUUUCUUCUCUUGCUAUUAAUGUGUUUUGGCAUUUGUUUGACUAAAAUUUAAUGGUUAUGAUAUCAUUUUAGCAUUAGGAAGGGGUUUGCAUUUUUUAUCUUGUAUAUGGCCUUUCAGGUUUUUCUAUUUGAAUUACACUCGGUUUUCUCUUAAAAUAGGAAUAUCAUAAAUUAUUUAUUUAUUCCUUUGAUCUUCUGAUAUGCCCUUCUUGUGUCUCUCUGUUUUGUACUUCUAACUACCAUCACUUUGAUCUAGAUAAAUUGAUCAUAGUUUUUCUUUUUUCUUUUUUGAACCCCUUUUAGUACCUUAUACCGUUCUUUGCUGGUUUGGACUGGUAGGUAUUGAUCUAUUGCUUCUGGGUUUGGGGUUUACUUUUAUGGGCCUCGCCGGUCCUUUUGUUUGCUCUCAUGUAUUUGAAAUGCAAUAACUAGGAAGACAGUUUUAAAUACCACACAUAAGUUACCUGGCAUGCCAGUUUGGUGCAGCUCUUUAUUGUGUUUGCUAGUAGUUUUCCUAAUAAGAAAGAAAAACAAGUGAAGGAACAUGCUUUAGUAAGAGGAAAACCUUCUACUUCUUAAUGGAUAUUUGGGUAUUGGAUGUAAAUUUUUUUAGAGUAUAUGAUGCUCUAAUUUGAUGCACACCUUCUCACCUUUAGAAGAUUUGAUUUAUGUUCUCUGGAGCACUCAAUUGUUGUUCACUUUUUAUGGUACAGUUGGAGCGAGGUUUGCAUGGCCUUGAGCCUGCUGUUGUAGCCAACUUUCCAACAAAGAAGUUUGCUGAUGAGUUUUUCUCCCCUGCAGAGGAUGCUCAGUAAGUCCUUUUCCUUGUGCUAUUCUUAGUAUGCUAGCUGUUUUGCAUUGUCACUCGUCUGGACUAGACUUGUGGGGUGAGAUUCUACACAUCCUCCUUUGUAGUGAUAUUUUGAUAUAAACCAUUAAGAUAUCUGCUUCCUAUGAUAGAGAGAAGAUAAAAAAUCAAAUCAUUUGAUUUCUAUAGGAAGUUAUCCCAUUAGAAUUUUCUGUCUGUGUGGCAUUGAAGUUUGGUCUUACAUUGGAACACACACUAGUCAUUUGGAGUCAAUCAUUUGAACUGAUGGAACUGAUCAUCAGAUGCAAAACUGAGGAGACAGUAGGAGUUUUCUUUUGUGUAAACCUCUGCUAUCUCUAUUAUUUGUUGCUGUCCCAAGGGGGAAGAAUAUGAGAGGGGGACAUGGAAAAAAAAUGGAAAUUGAGCGGUACAAUUUUUUCAUUUGUUCUAAUGCAAUUUUGUCACUGCAAUAUGUUUUAUGUUAAGUUUCUGUGUGGUUGCUAAAAAUUAUAAGAUCCAAAAUUUCCCUAAACCAGUUAGAAAGAGUCAACCCAUUUCAGAAGUCUUUUCAGACUACAGAUUUUAUCUGCAUAGUUUUUGGGUAAUGCUUAUGCCCUUUUAGUGCCUUUGGAUCAACCCUUUCCGGGUAAUGUUCGCUGGAUUGUGAAACUUCAGGGCUUUCCUGAUUACUUCCUUCUGUGUUCAUCUUUGUGAUGGCUGAUUCUGGGGCCACCUGAGUUUGAGCAUAAAAAAUCUGUUUCUACUUGAAACUGUCAUAUGAUGUAUCUGGGGCUUAACAUUUGCAAAAGAAAUUAUCAAUUUUGUGAAAGUAGUAAGAUAAAUGCAUAUUUGGAGACUGACAAAAUCUUAAGGCUUCUCUUUGAGAGCUUGUCAUCAGAAUAUUAUUUCUAUGCAGAGCUUCCAUGACUGAGAGUUGGAGGGAUUGAUGUUCUUCCAAAGGCUUUUCCACGAGGUUUUCUAGGGAUAUGGAUGUUAUUUUGGUUUGGAAAAAGAAAUUAGGAUUGGAAAUUCGUGGUCAGAUCAUAUUAUUAGGUUUUUCAUGAACACAAGGGAGGGUUCUCAUGUGGUAGGCUGCUCUUGUGUUUACAAAAAAAAAGGUGGCUUUCUUAUUUUGAUUGGUGGAUAGGGAUUGAUGGAUAGGAUUGAUGCUUGAGGGUAGACAAUUUGAUCAAAUGGGAAUUGGUCUGCUCUAAAUAGAGGCAUUAAGUGAAACAGUGAAUGCAAAUCGUGGAAUUGCAAAGUGACUUUACAUUGUUAGACCUUAUUGUUCUUGCUUUUCAAUGUCCAAUGCAUUCUCCCUUGGUUGGUCUUCUGCAUUUUGUAGGCAAGGAACAAAAUCUUGAUAGUGAUGGCCAUCUGAGAAAGAUAUCAACAAUUCUUUAAUACUGGUUUCAUCUUGGAAUAAAUGACAGAAAUUAAUACCAAAAAAUGAAAUUAAAAAUAAAAUCUUCAGGAAUUGCUGAUAGAUAUGAUAAAAACAUAACACACACACAAACACAAGAUGUUUUGGUUCAGGAGAUACAAGCAUGGUAUACGAUAUGGAAAUCUUAUUUUGAUCCACUAUUAUCUUGGAUAAGAGAACAAGAUAAAUUAUCAUUGCCACAUCUAUAUCCCUUGGUUGUGGGAUAUGAAAAACAUAUUAUAUAAGGAAGAUGGGAUUUUCAUAUCCCACAAACGAAAACAUAGAGAUUUGUGACAGAACUUUUUGAUGUACUUAAGGUCUUGUUUGGAAUCCUGAUAUCAAUAUAUUAGUUUUGCUUCCACAAGGAGUCCAUCUUUAUUGAAUCUUUUCAUUAUCUAAUUGCUUUACCUGCUUUACCAAAGUGUGAGGAGCCAAUUUUGUACACUUCAUUCUUGAAACUAUUCUGUCCUCUGAAAUAUGCAAGAAGCCCAUCUUGUUUAGUCAUCCGAUUCUUUAAGUUACACCACUCUCUCAAUUUGACAGUAAGGAGUUCAUCUCUUCUCUCUAAUUAACAUCACCACAGCUUCUUGAUAAAGACUUUGACUAGCUUCCUAAUCAAAAUCCACAUGGAUGAAUGUCUCCUUUCUCAUUGUCAUCAUAUUAUUUAGAUGUUUAGUUCAAGUGUAAUCAUCAAAUGCUGAGAUUUCACUCUCUUGACCACUGAAGGAAACUAUCAAAUUCAAACCUUACUCGAACCAUUAACCAGACACUAGAAUCAGCUAUUAAACUCUUUGCAUGUCCAGAUAUAUAUAUAUAUAUAUAUAUAUAUAUAUAUAUAUAUAUAUAUAUAUAUAAUAUCCUGUAAAUAUGUAUAUCUAUCAGACUGAAUAAUCUAUAAACCAAACUUGGCCAUUGAAGUUUGUAUCAUAAGGUUUACAAGUUCAUGGAUGAAAACCCAAAAUUGCAGAAAGAAAUAUUUACUUACAAGGAAACUAAAAGGGAUUUUGUAAAUAUGAAAAGAGUGUCAGACAACAAGACUGUAGAAAGUUGCAGAUAAAAAGGGCUGCCACAAGGUGCUAAAGAAGGCUGCAUUUGGAAGCCAACAAUGCUGUUGUACUGAGAUCUUUGAGUUCAUGGCAAUAUUUCUGAGACCAGCAAUGUCAGGGGAAAGAAAAAGGUGAUGAAAAGGAAUACCAAGAUCUUGGUAGUUCUCUAUUAGAAAAGGCAUGCUUGAGACUGAGUUUUCUUACCACUUACCAAGAUAUGAGAUCUCUCCAUUCCGAAUGAGAUUUUGGUCCAUGGUUAUAUGGUUGACAGUGUUUUGGGUUGCGACCUCUUUAAAGGAAAAAGUUUAGAAGCUGUUAGGUUUUUAUGGUACACUUCUUGGGUUUUACCCAGCAUGUACAUGAGUUUUGCGACUUCUUCCCUGAUUUCUUUGUACGCAUUCUUUUUUAUCCUAAAGAGAAAAAGGAAUGGUUUACUAUUUUGCUGCAUAUGUGAUAAGUUUGCUGAAAUAUUUGUCUUCAAUGCAGGCAAGCAAGCUAUUUGACACUGUAUUUAGAUAGUCUGAUGUUUUCUGUAACUAGGUAGGUCAGAAUUAGCCACUUUGUGAUGAUGUAGAUUGGUGCAUGGAGUUAGAAUUUCUUCUUAGUAAAGUUCUUGUCCUUCUCUGUUCAAAGUUUCAAGUCAUUCUGAUUCCUCUCUUUAGUCUUAUUCAUUACCACAAUUGGACCAUGAGGGGAGGAGAUGCAUGGAUAUACCUCAUCCAUGCAUAUAUUGCCUACAUUACCUCAAUAAUGUAGGACAAUCUUGAGGUGAUUACCUACAACCAAACAAAAUGGGAUAGGAUUUCGUUUAGAAUUCAAGGAGAGGAACCUUGAUUAAAGAUUGUGGCAGCAAGGAAAGAUAAAAUAAAAAGCAGAAAAAAGAAGAAAAUAAAUGGAGAAAAGAAAAAGGGAAAUCUUUGGUGGAAGGAAAAUGUAGGAACACCAAUUUGGAGCUUUUAGAAUUUUCUGAAUAAAGUACAAAAGGUCUUCAGAAAGAGUUGAAAACACGAAGGUGAAUAGAUUACUUAACACAUUUCAUGGACCACAAUAUAAAAGAAAUAUGAAUAUUACAACUUUCUUUUUUUGUUUUUUGCAAACUGUGCUAGGUUUACACUUUUUUGUCUUUCUCUUUAUACUCACUUGAAACACCUUUUACCCAAAGCGUAAAAGGAAUGGUCAAUGAUGAUUUUGUUUAUAUUUGAAAUCAAAUACUAUCUUAGAAGUAUUAUCAUUACUUUAGGUUGUAUUGAGUAUUUUGUUUCAUUCAUUAAACUAUUUUUUAUCAUGAUUGGAUAUAUUUUGUAUUAGAGACUAAUUUACUUUAGUAGAUUAAAGUGUUUACACAACAAAUCAAUUUCUUUGUUGAUUAUAGCAUAUUAGAACCUUUACAACAAUAUUUUAAAAUAAAAAAUAAAGCUAAGAAAACGCAAUUACCUAACUGUAAUUUCAUUCUUUUCCCUAUUUUUCACCUUAGUAAAAAUUUAAUACCAAACAUGAUUUUACAGUUUCAUUUUAUAAAAACUGUGUUUUUUUCUUUCAACCAAAUGGAUUUUCAAAAAGGAAAAAAUGAGAAAUGAAAAUUGUUUUCAAAAAACAAAAUAGAAAACGAAAACUAAAAACCAUUUUGCUAACCAAAUGCAACUUGAGAGUCCCAGUAUCAGAAAUUGUAAUGUAUGAAAAAAAAAAUUGAUAAUAUUUGUCAUCAUUUGGUUCUCAACAAUUUGACUAUUUAUAGACAUUAGAAAACCCAAGAAGACCUAACAAACUAUACAAAAAGAAACCUAAUCUAUAUAUUAACUUAUUAGAACUCCUAAUUCUUUCCUAAAACUAUAAACCUUCCACUUAAAAAAAAAAAACGGAAAAUUGAAAUUUUUAGAAAAUACUUUUUUAGAAAAUGGAAGCUUCUACAAAAUAAACACUUUUAAAAACUUGCCUUAUCCUAUUGGCUUAAAGUUCUAUUAAGAAAAAAGAAACCUUUUAAUAAAAUAGAAACUUUAGAAAAGCAAAACUUUCAGAAAAUAGAAGGUUUAAAAAUAUAGAAACUUCUUUGCCUCAAAUUCUAAAUGAGACUUAAAUGACCAACUAUUUACUAAUUAUGACUAUAAAGAUCCUUAAUAAGCAGAAUUUUCCUUUGAGUGCUUUUUCCUUUUCUGAGUAAAUCUUGAAGAACCUGAUCUGUGAAUGCUUGGACUUGGUUAUAUCAAUCAAUCUUCACUAUAUAUCCUAAUGCUAAGUGUCGAAACUUCCUUGACUUUUCUUUUUAAUUAAACAAACUCCCUCAACUUUUCUAAGCCUUUUUUCAAUUAUUUUGAGGCAUGCAUUCAAUUGUGUAUGCUCCUUUUCUACUCUAAUACAUUGAGUCUUACUUAUCAAAAAAAAUAAAAAAAUAUUUCUAGAACAUUUCUUGAAGGCAAAUGGAUCUCAUAUGUAGCAUGCUCUUAGGCUUUGAAGUUUGCUUAGGUGAGGUCCAAAAUUCUCAUCAUUGAAUUGUCUUGAAGAUCAGUUUCUCUUUGUUUUAUAUUUGGUUUGUUUAAUCUAAAAUUGAGGCUCUCUCUCCUCCUCUAUAUCCUCUUCUUCCACCCCUCCCCUCCCCCCCACCCCCCCUCUCUCUCUCAUAUCUUAUGUCACUCCCUCUCUCCCUUUCUCUCUCUCUCUCUCUCUCUCUCUCUAUUUAUAGUUUAUAUUUCUGAACUUUUUAUUUUCUAAAAAAUUCUUCUUCUCUCAAGUUUCUAUUUGAAAACUUGUUAGAAACUACUAGAAAAUCUUCAUUUUUAAUUCUAAAAGGAAAGUUUCUAUUUUCUUUUGAAUUAUAUUUUUUUGAAGACUCGAGAGUUUUAGAAAAGAAAUAAGAGUAUCAUAUUAUUUCGAUGACUUGAGAGUUUUACAAAAGAAAUAAGGGUAUCAUUUUAUUUUGAAGACUUGAGAGGUUUACAAAAGAAAUAAGAGUACUAAAAAGUUUCAUAGAAGUUAGAUUUCUUUUUUCAUAAUUUUAUUCAAGUUUUAUAGUUUUCUAAAGCCCAUAAAUAAGGCUAAUUAAUAUAAAAUGAAAUUAAUUAUCGAUGAUUAAUGAUAUUAAUUUUUUUCAUACCUUGCAAUUUUCAAUGGUGAGACUCUUAUAUGGUCUUAUUGAGACUUCUAAGGUUUUUUUUAUAUUGCUUCUCUAUGUUUUCUUUUCUUAUCUUUUGUUUAUUUUAUUUCUGCUGCUAUAAUUUUAUUUUUGUUUCUUUUGUUAAAUCUUAAAAGAUUGGAAUCCUAGCCCAUCUUAUUUGAUUAUAUAAAACCAUUCUAUGGUUGAUUCUACAUCACUCUCUCCCUUUCCUCUCCCCUUCUCCCUUUCUCUCUCUCUCUCAAGCAUGCACACACAAAUAGGGGACCUCUGGGUAUGGCUAUAUCAAUAUAUAUGAAACAAUCGUUGAAGGUUUUAAUAUGUUUUUGGAACCAAAUUCUUGAGUCAAUAUGAAUUGAUACACCAUUUUGUGAUACAUGCAAACAAAUACCAUUAUAGUUUGUGGAUUGCACCUAGAUAUCACUGCCUGUAAAGUGGUAUUUUUCACUUGCGGCUUCUUGUAGCAGUGGUUUGGAUGUGGGAUUUUGCUCAUUCAUUGUUGUCAUUAUUUAUGCUUCAUGAUUUUCCUGCUAAUGGUACUGGAAAAUAUCAUAAAUGGUAGGUGCACAGUUUGCCUAGUAGAAUACCAAGCUGAAGAUAUAUUGCGUAUUCUCCCUUACUGCGGCCACUUCUUCCAUGUUACAUGCAUAGACAUAUGGCUGCAGCAGCAUUCCACAUGUCCUGUGUGUCGAAUUUCAUUGUGGGAGUUUCCUGAGAGAAAAUGCUUGAUGCAACCCAUGUUCAGUUCAGCUGUUCGAUCACAUUUUGGCAUGGAAUCCCGCAACACACAUUCAUACAACUGUUUGUCAACUGGCCGUGGGUUUUCAUCGAGAUCUCACGACAACCACAGGAUGGACCCCAUUCAAGAGGAUCAGUUUGGGCCAGGAGGUGACGGAGCUGAAGCUCAGGAGAGCACCCUCCCCUUGACCGAUGCUAAUCAGCCUGCAAAGGACUCUGAAAAUAAGCACAUAGAAAGCCCAUCAAAUCCAUGAAAUCCUUCGUUUCUUGGAAUCCUGGCUGCAUUCAUCGUGCUUUCCGAUAGAAUCAAAUUGGAAUUGAAAUUUAUUAAAACCAUCUCCUUGGAAUGCUCUUUUUUUUUUUUAAUUUAUUUUUGUGACUCACUGUAUAUAUACGCAAAAAGUUAUUCCCAGUUUUCCCCUUAGACAGUAGCUUAUUGGUGGGCAUUUUUGUUAGUUCAGUUGUAAAAUUGAAUUCCUUAAAGCUUGCUGGAGUCUCCUUAGAGGCAUGUCCCAUGCAGCAUUUCCACAUCCGUUCGGGUCCAUCCCAGAGCGAGUAUUCAUUGUGAGUUAUUAUCUAAUAAUAUGCAAAUGUACGCCUCCGGAUUCCUUACUAUUAUUUUGACUUUGUGCCCACUACUCGGUGACCAGUCCUUUUCUCAUUCCUGUCAAUGUCCAGGAAAGGAUUAGUAGUACAAGAAAAAGAAAAAGUGGGAAGGACUGAGUCAUGGAGGAAUAGCAUACAUGCAUUUAUACAGUUGGAGUAAAAAUCAGAGUGAAAAAGAGUUAUCCCUGAGGGAUGGUUUGAUUUGUACUCUUCUCCCCCGUCACCAAGGGAUGCAUUGCUACAAAUGCUUUUCUUAUGAAAUACGCAGUCAUUUCCCAGAUAGUACUUUUUACUAAAAAUAAAAAUUUAUUAAUCCUCACAGCCAUUGAAGGAGUUGUUUCCAUUUCUAUAUCGAGUCAUUGUGUGUGGACCUGUUUGGUUCGCCAUAAAUAAAACUGCAGAGAGGGUGAGGGACGAGGGAUGUCUUGCAUGUGAGGUAUUUUGAUGGACUCCCUGUGGGCCUUCAAGACAUUGGCAGUUCAAUGGACUUCAUCAAUUCAUUACAGCAACUCCACCCGCCCAACAACUUUUCUUUAUUAUACCAUGUCCUCCCCGUCACUCCCUCUCUUCUUUAUUUUCAAAUCUGUCAGAGCAUGUUGUGUUGGAGCCACAUGUUUGGGAAAUGAUAAUACUUUUUACUAAAAAUAAAAAUUUAUUACAUUCUCAUUUUCAACCUAAUAAUAAGUCUAUUUAUAAUAAACUAAUUACUAGGAUUUUCCUAUUAAACCAAAAGUCCUAAUCAAUAUAGAAAACCUAAAUAAAUAACAAUUUCUAAUAUUUUUCAAAAUUUUAAAAUUCUUCUAAUUUGACUUUAAGUCAUAUUAUAAUUUUAACAUCUUCCCUUAAUUUGAGUUGUAAAGUCAAUCAUACCAAGCAUCAUCUUAAACUUCUCAAACACAUUUGUCUUUAGUGGCUUUAUAAAUAUAUUUGUAACUUGAUCUUCUGAUUUACAAAACUCAAGUUCGAUCUCUUGAUUUUUCAUGAGUUCCUAAUAUAAUGAAAUUUGAUGUUUAUGUGUUUGCUUCUACCGUAAAACAUCAUAUUCUUUGUCAAUGUAAUAGUAGACUUAUUAUUACAUAAAAUCUUUGUAAGACCCUUUUGUUUAUAUUUCAAUUCACCAAGCAUCCUACGAAACCAAAUUGCUUGAUAUGCUACGGAAGUAACUGUCAUGUAUUCAACUUCUAUAGUUAAUAAUGCUAUAACUUGUUGCUUCUUUGAUGACUAUUAGAAUGCUCAUGUUCCAAGAUAAAAAACAUAUCUAGCAGUACUUUUUCUAAUCUCUACAUCACUUCCUUAGUUACUAUUUGUGUAGCCCAUUAAACUGAAAUUGUUUGAGUAGGAGUAGAAAAUUCCAUGAUCACAAGUACCACUUACAUACCUCAAAAUUCGUUUUGUUGCUUGCAAGUGUGAUUGAUACAGUUUUUCCAUAAAUCGACUAAUAAUUCUCACUCCUUAAACAAUAUAUGGUCUAAUAGAAGUUAAAUAACGAAGACUUCCUACUAUGCCCUUGAAAUAUGUGGGAUUUGCUAAUUUUCUAGUGUUUUUUUUUUUUUCAUCUUUAGUCGCUCUAUAAUAGGAGUAUGGAUUGUUGAUGAUGAUUCCAUCUUGAAUCACUUUAGAAUGUUUGUCAUGUACUUUUUUGUGAGAUAAAGAUACCAUCAUCUAUUUGUUGGACUUUAAUUCCAAGAAAAUAGGACAUUAAUCCCAAAUCUAUCAUUUCGAAUUGUUGUUUCAUUGCCUCAUUGAAAUCUUUAAACAUCUAUUGGCAAUUUCCUAUAAAAAUUAAAUCAUCUACAUAGACACAUACAACAAUUAUAUCACCAUUAAGAAUUUUAUUUGAUAUAAAGUGUAUGCUUAAAAGAACUCUUUUGAAAUUCAUGCCAUAAUAGAUGAGUAUCAAUCUACGUGUACCAAGCACGUGGUGCCUACUUUAACCUAUACAAUGCCUUUUUGAGUUUGUGAACUUGUUUCUGUUACCCUUCCUUAAUAUACCCUGGUGGUUGUUCAACAAAAACUUCUUAUUCAAGUACACCAUUAAGAAAAGUUGACUUCACAUCCAUUUGGUGAAUUGUCCACCUUUUUUUGAGCUUUAAGUGCAAUUAUCAUGUGAAUGGUAUCUAAUUUAGCAACUGGUGUAAAAACUUCAAAAUAAUCAAUAUCUGGCUUUUUUUUAUAGCCUUUUACAACCAAUAUUGCCUUGAAAUCGAUCAACAUUACCAUCAGGUUUAUAUUUUGUCUUAUAAGCCCAUUUAACACCUAUAGGCUUCUUUCUAACUGGAAGAGUAGUUAACUCCCAUGUAUUGUUCUUCUCUAUGGAUUGAAUUUCUUCAUUCAUUCCUUGAAUCCACUUCUCAUCGCUUGCUUCUUCAUAUAAAUAGGAUCACAAUCUACAAAUAGACAAAAGUUAACUAAACCUUCAUCGAUGAGUUUGAUAUCUUUCAUGACUUCAUAAUCCCUUAGAUGUGUAGGCAUAAUGCGAGAAUGUUUUGGGCAACCUUGUGAUUCAAUUUUUUGCCUUAUUUUUGUUUACAUUGGAGAACUUCUAAUAGGAGAAUGCAUAUUUGAAAUAGAUUUAUCUGUAAUAGAAUCCUUCAGAUUCUCGUUGUCUUCCACAAAGUUUUCUUCAAGGACAACUCUUUUUUCUUCAUUUUGUGUUUGAGUCCAUUUCCACCUCUUGUUCUCUAGGAAUUGAACAUCUCUAUUCACAAUCAACUUCCCUAUUUCUAGAUCAUAUAGUUUGUAACCUUUAGUUACAUCACUAUAACAAAUGAAAAUACACUUCUCAUUUUUAUCAUCAUUUUUUUUCUGUGCUCCUUUGGUAUAUGGGAAUAUGUAAUACAUCCAAAAAUUUGCAAAAAAGAAACUUCUAGUUUAUGACCACUCUGAGCUUUCUCAGGUGUUCUUCCAAAGACUAUUUUAGCGAGACAUUUAUUCAAUAAGAACACUACACGAGUAACAACUUUUGCCAAAAAAGUUUUUGGAAGAGACUUUGCCUUCAACAUGCUUCUUGUCAUUUCAACAAUGGUUUUGUUAUUCCUUUUAGCUAUACCAUUUUGUUAAUGUGUAUAACUAGCUGUCAAUUUUUGUUGAAUACCCUGACUUUUGCAAUAAUUAUACAACUCAUUGGAGGUGAACUCUCUAUUAGAAACCUCAGACCCCUCCAUUCUCAUGCCUUAGAUCUCAUAGGGUGCAUAAAAAUUUAUCCUAGACUCUUUAAAUCUAUUGCAACAGAAAACUAGGUAUUUAAAAACCAAUAUUGAUACUACAAAAAUCAUAGAUCUAGGAAAUAAAGCCACAUACCUUUGAUCCAGAUGUUCCCAAAUUGAUUUCAAUCGAUGUAAAUAACUCCAAAGUCCUAAUGAAUCUCGUAAACACCAUGAUCUUCUGCUUGAUGACUCUUCAUUGUGUCUAAGCAUUGGGAUAGUUGAGAUCUCGAGGGUGGAGGCUAGGGUUUUUUUUUAGACUAUAGGGAGAAAAUGGCAAGACAUGGAAACCCUAACCCUUAAGGGGGUAUUUAUAUGUUUCCUACUAAGUUUAAGUAACUUAAACCCACCAUGGUCUUGGGUCACUUAAUCAAGCCCAAAAAGGUUGCUAAUUGAUUAAUUAACCAUACAAGGUCCUAAUUAAUCAAUUAGCCUAGUCUAGAGAUACCACUCACUUAUUCUCAUGCAACCUUGUGUAAUUACCAAAACGCCUUUAUGCACAAAAGUAAACUAAAAACCCAUCAACCCUCAUAAAUCGUGCCACCAAGGAAUGAGUUCAGAGCGGGGACUAUUAAGACCCAUAAGAGUACUGGCUCCUUGAGAAUCAAAUUCUAAAACUGACUCAACAUCCCACUAUAGAGAGUCAAUUACACUCCAGUACCCUAUGUACAUUACAACGAUACACCAAGUGCUUGAGUUCGUGACCUAUUAUCCAUUGCAUGCAGACUCUUCAUGAACCGAUACCCAUAAUCUAAUAAGGUAGUUUUAUCACUUAUCAAGAUUACCUAUUAAAUCCUUGAGUUAUAGAUCUCACUUAUUAUGUUAUUAACUAACAUACUUUAUCUCUAAGGAGCAUAUAUCAAAUUACGCUAAUGGAAUUAUUGUGACCAUAAAUUUCAUGAUCACAUGUCUUUUGGAUCGACAUACUAUCGUAAUUCCAUGAGAUAUCAUGGUGUUUCCAUUGAGAAUGCCUGUUGCCACUAACCUCCAUCAAUAGUGACCCAAUCCAUAGGGAUAUAUGACCACUUUAGGGUCUCAUUUAUAGGUCAAAGUCUUGUGUUGAUUUUGAUAUAGACUCAAUAUCCUCUCAAGGUUGAGAGUCCAUGCAGUAUAAUAGUUUGGUGAAUCAUGACAAUUGAUAGCCUUGCGUCAUGAUUCACCAUAGGUUUUGUCUAGUGUGUAUUACAUACACUAGUGUACUCACUAUGGGAAACCCAUCCCAAUAGCCAAGAUAAGUCAUUCCUCCAAUUAGGAAGUUGUGCACUACAAUCUCUACUAGAUUAUCCAAAUCCAUGAAUUGACUAUGGACAACUUAUUUACUUACAAGGAACCUAUGACUUGUAUCUUCUAUGUAACUCUUAAUGCACCCAAGUCAUAUACAAUGUAAGAGAUAUGAGCUAAAUGCUCAAAUCAAUGUCAAUACACCAAAAUGAUAGCAAUGAGAUAAUUAAGUCUAAUUUUGUUACAUCAUGUCUUGCUUUUAGGGGCUCAUCCCAAUACUCUCCUCUUAUAUCAUAUCUUAAUAUCUUAAUAUUACAACCACUUUGUCUUUCAAUAGGAACUUUGAAUUCUUUAAACUUGUUAAAAGCCUUAGAUUUUUCUUUUAACAAAUAAAUCCAAUUUUUUUUUUUGUAAAACCAUCUAUAAAGGUCUGAAUAUAUUUGUUGUGACUAAGAGAUCUUUUACCACCGAGAUCACAUAUAUAUGUAUGCACCGACUCCAAAGGUUAUUUACCUCUUUUGAAUCUUCCAAUUGGAAAAGAAUUCUUAUGUUGUUUCCUAAUGAGAUAUCUUUAACAUGCAUGAUCUAGAAUAUCAAUCAUAAGUAAUCCUAUUACCAUAUUUUUUUUGCACUAACAACUUCAACCCAUGAAAAUUGAAAUGACCCAAUCGAAGAAGUAAAAGCCAAUUGCUAUUUCCACUAUUGCCUUCAAACUGAAUAAAGUUUCUGCUUGAAGAAACAUAAGAAACAUCUUAUUCUUUGUCAUCUGCAUAUUGAUUACUACUCAAAAAGUACUAUUUCAUAGCUUGUAAUUAACUCUUUUAAACACUUUUGAGUAGUAGUUAUCACCUUUUAACCCAAUUAACAUAUUAAGGACCAUUGCAAUCAAUUCUAAUCAAAUUGUGUUAAGUUUUGGUGUUUUGAUAGCUUUUUGAUCACCAAAGCAAUCCGAGAUUGAGGAGAGUUCUUUGGAAUCCUUAAGCAAAUCCAGAAUACAAGGAGUAUGGGAUCCUGCACAUUCCACCCGGGAAGGAAUUCCAUCCGGUUGCCGCCACUUUACACCCGGCUGACGCCGCCAUUCCAUCCGGCUGCCGCCACUUUCCACCUGGAUGUAUCACAUCCGAAAAUCUGCUACCACCAUUCCACCUAGAUGUUUCACAUCCGGAAUUCUGGCCGGGUGACGCUCCACAUUCUCCGGAUGUUUCACAUCCGGCAGACAUAUCUGGAUGGGAGAAUAGAGCGUUUCAACUUCCACGAUCAGGCAUAUCCGGAUCCGCCGACAGCGCUCGCCCGGAGAGUUUCGCAGCCAAUUUUGCACAGUGCCGCGGUGUUCUCCUGAAGCUUCCCAAUAUGUGCCACUGACAUUUUGAGAUAUUUUGGGAUAUUUUGAGAUAUUUUUGCUUUAGAUAUUUGUUGUCUAAAUCCCCAAAAUCUCCUUGUAACCCACCAAUUAUAGGAUUCCUUAGUUAUUAAGUUUGGAAAAAGGAUGAAUAACCUUGUAGAUAUUAUUAUUGUAAUUUUCAUAUAAAUAUAUCUCGGGAGCCUGUUCUCGAGGGGAACGCAACUUUUGUAUAGUUUUCAAAGGAAGAAAAAUACAGAGCUUUGCUCUGCUUUUACCUUCUCAUUUUGAUUGUAUUUUUCUUACUAACCAAACAACCUUUGAAGAUGUUUUCCCAGAGGAUGAGAGGCUAAACCUUUGGUUUCUUAGAGUGAAGGAAGCUGGGUGAAAAGUCUAGAUGCAAAAGUGGAAAACUCUCGUGCUUUAAAUACAGGUAGUUGGAGUUCAUAAAUGACUUUUAAAUUUAAAGUUUUGCUUUAAAUCCCUUAUAAUCACUUUGAAUGGCCAAUACAUGAUAAGCUUUUAGGUCUCUGUGGAUACUUAUUGCUAGAUCCACAUAAGACCAUUAGUUAUCAUGUACGAGCCAUUGGAAAGUGGCUCAAGGUAAAGACCCAUAGUGUCUAAAGCCAUUAAUAGAACUUGACUAUCAUUUCUAUUGACUUUUUAUGGAUUAAAUCUUCAUUGUUAAACCUAUACCGGUUCGGGAAACAACCAUCCUUUAUGUUGUUGUCCCCAAUACGAGGAGAAAAAUCCGGAAUUUCCCACUUUGCAUUCUGAACUUGAUCCUAGCAACCUUUAGCUCCGGGAGACUUUCUUUCUUCCAUUUUUACCUAGUUCUAUGUUAGUUUAGUUUCAAACACCACUUUCAAAACAAAUUUUAUUUUCUUUUAAACUUUAAGUUUUUGACAAAGGAAAUCAUUAGAUUCAAUUUCUAAUCUUGAGUCUAUCACUGGUAGAGUGAAAACCCAUCCCAGAGUUCGACCCUAGAGCUGCUAUACUAUAGUAGCUUUGCUACGCUAGUAUGAGGUCAUAGGAUUUAGAAAUAUUUUUGAUUAAAAUACCCGGCUGGGCACGAAUCACAUAUUUUCAAUCAUUUUCUUAUUUUUAUAACUAAGGGUACAACCUCCAUUAGAGAUAUUAAUGAUAUGCCAUUUUUCUUUUAAUUGUCUUAUGCUUAACAAAUUCUAAAAAAGAUCCGGAACAAAAAAUACAUUUUCUAUAUUAACAUUAGUGUCAUCUUUAGAACAUAUUUUAACAUUACCUUUGUCUAUGAUUGAAACUUUGGAUUUGUUUCCAAAAUUAACUUCAUCUCAGACUGAUUCAUUUAAUUGUGAAAACAAUUCCUUUUUAUCGCACAUGUGAUUGCUACAUCUUGCAUCAAGAUGCCAAAAAUCUUGGCAGUUUACAUUUGAUGUUGCUACAUAGCAAGCUAAUACCAAAUUUUGCUGUACCUUGGUGGUGUUUGCCUACUCAUCUUGUUCAUUAUGCAAUUUUGUUCGACAUUUUGUCUUAUAAUGUCCAUGUUUUAUACAUUUGAAACAUUGCAUAUGUGACUUGUCUUUAGAUCUAGAAGUGUUGCCUCUUCCUUUAGAAGAAUUUGUGUCACCAUCUCCAUUUUUUUUUGUUAAAGUUGUUGUGUCCUCCUUUACUUCUACCACAACCAAAGCCUUUGCCACAAGGCUUGCUCCAAAUUUGUAAAGUUGAUUCUUUAAUUCAUUCGUUGUUUGUGCAAACACAAUGGACUCAUUUUGCUUCCACUGUGAGAGUGAAAAUUUCGUUUCUUUUUUCAAUUGUUGCAAUAGCAUAGUCAAAACUUCCACUUAAAGAUCUUAUCAUUUUCUCUACUAUUCAUUGAUCAUUAAGUUUCUCACCAUUAACCUGCAUUUGGUUAACAAUGGUUUGUACAUAAUCAAAGUAACAUGAGAUGGAUUCAAAGUCAUUCAUGCGAAGAGACUCAAAUUCACCUCUUAAUGUUUGCAACUUCAUUUGCUUAACACGUUCAUCACCUUUGUAUAAUUUUUGUAGAGUAACAUAUACCUCUUUUGCCGUUUCUAACUGAGAGAUUUUCUUAAAUAUUGCAUGGAGUGAUUUUUUAUUUUUUAUUUCGAGAAUCUUUCAAUGAUUCUUUCUACUAUUUUGAUAGUACCUUAAAUUCUUUUGAAUUGAUCAUUUUGUUGUAACCACUAUUCAUUAGAUCCCAUAAAUCUUGAGAUCUAAAUAAGACACGCAUCUGAAUGCACCAAUUAUUAAAAUUCUUACCUGUGAAUUUGGGAGUUGAUGAUGAAUUAAGUUAUUGUUUAUAGCCAUAAUUUCACCAACAAAAUUGCAAAUUUCUUGUGAUUUUGCACAUUCCUUAUUAUUCUAGCUCUUAUAUGACAUUUCACUUUCCUUGAUCUUUUGGCUUUGAUACCAAUUGUUGGAGCCCACACGAUUAGGAAUUGAUAAUACUUUUGCUAAAAAUAAAAAUUUAUUCCAUUCUUAUUUUCAACAUAAUAACAAGUCUAUUUAUAAUAAACUAAUUAUAUUUGUACUAGGACUCCAAUUCCUAUUAAACCAAAAGUCUUAAUUAACAUAGGAAAGCUAAAUAAAAUAACAAUUUCUAAUAUUUCUCAAAUGACUAAAAUUUUUCAAAUUUGACAUUAAGUCGGAUUAUAAUUUCAACAUGUUGGCUAAGGGAAUACUUCUCAUUGUGAUAACAAUUUUUUAAAACAAUGGAUUAAUAUUUUCUAAAAUAAAAAUCUAUUUGAAAUCUUGAAAUAUUCUUAACUUUUUUUUUUAUAUAUUUUUAAAUAUUUCUUACAAAUAACUUUUAUGGUUAGAGUUUUAUUUUCAAUUAUUUUUCACAUUUUUACAAUUAUUUUUUAAAAUAAUCAUUAGAAAACAAAUGCUAAUAAUAAAAACAAUUAUAAUAUGUUAUCAUAAAAUAUCCUAUUUUCAAAAUAAAUUAUCAAAAAACUAUUUUCUAUCAAAAUUUAUGAAGCAUAAUUAUCCUUGGCUUUCAUAUGAAUCAAUAUAUAUAUAUAUAUAUAUAUAUAUAUUGAUUCAUAUGAAAGCCAAGGAUCAUUAGGUGAAUAUAAUUUUAUUAAUACCAAUUUUUUCUUAAUUUUUCAUCAAAAUUAAACAUGUAAAUGGAUACAUAUUUCUUCUAUUUUUUUUUCUUUUCUCAUGGAUAUUUUUGAAAUCCCAUCAAAGGCAAAAUGCUUUUAAAUUAUCAAAUUUCUAUUAUAAUUUAUUUGUGAAAUGUUUCUUACAUGCUUUUCUAGGUGCUUAAUAAUUAGUGGUUGCAACAUAAAAAUAUUUUCAUAAUGAUAUAAAGUUCUAAUGGAAACAAACGACCCCAUAUAUCCUAAAAAUAUGCAACAUAUAUUAAUAUUAUAGCACAACAAAAUAUUCCCACCAUGCGGUUGAAAUUGUUGUGACAACAACAAUUUUAAUGCAAAACAAUAUUGGUUCAAGAACACUGAUAAAAUAAUCUACAUAAACAUAAACAAAGUUUUAGCAUGGUUCAGUCAAUUAUAUUUGCAUUUACGAAUAAAAGAAAAUUAUUAUAUUAUAUUAUAGAAAAUAUUAUAUAAGAUAGAAAUAGAUACAAUUCUACAAACCCCUUACUUCAUUAGGUAUCUCCCAUUUUUCCUAACAUCUCUAUCCACUUUUACAAUUGUUACAAAUCUAUCUCCAUCUAAAAUAUUUUAUAUAAUAUUCUUUACAAAAAAAGAAAUAUAUACUAAUUUAUAAUAUUCCUUACAAAGAAGAAAUAUAUACUAAUUAGAAAUUUGUGAUACUUUCCAACAAAAACAUGUAAGAGACCACCUCAACAUUAUUUUCCCUAGAAUUUACUUUAUGGUUUAGUAAUGUACCUUUUAUGUUUAGUUGGAAUUGCAAUUUAAUUGAAUAUAAAAGGACUUAAAAAAAUUUAAGCCCAGUAAAUUACACUUCCCCUUAAAUUUUUUUUAUAAUUAUAUUUUUCAAAAGUUCCCAAAAAUAAUAUAACCUUCUUUGUUAGAGUUUUUAUCCUAAGACAUAAAAUAAAAAUUAUGAAAAGCAAAAAUUUUGUUUUAUACAUUAAACUUAUUUAUAGUGGGAAAAAAUUCAAUCAAAUAAAGCUCUUUUAAGCCUCCAACAAUGCAUUAGGAUUAACUUUUUAAAAAUUAUAAGUUAUUUUUUAAACUAUAUGUGAGUUUUCAUAUUUAUUUAACUAUUUUUUUUUAUCAAAAAAAUUAUGAUUUAAAAAAUUUUUAAUAUAAAAAAAAUAUUACUUAAAAUUCUGUUUUAACUUAUAAAAAAUUUAAUAAUAUUAAUAUUAUGUUUUUUAAACCUAUAGCUUUUAAGUAGUUUUUUUUUUAAAAAAAUUUUUUUUACUUCCAACUAGAAUUAAAAUUUUAAAAACUUUCCGAAAGAAUGUCAUAUUAUACAAUUUUUGCACACAUGAACAAAUUUAAUGUUAUCUAAUUCAAUUUUCUCAUUUAAAAAUGCAAUCAUGAGAUGACCUUUCCUAAAGGAAUUUAAAUUAAGUGAAAAAAACAUAAAAACAAAAAAAGUCAUGUUCCCAUGAUUGAACCUAUAAAAUUGAGGAAGAUAAAUGCAUCCCAUAAAUAACACUCAUUGUAGUAAACAACCAUGGUUGUGGGGCCAUACCUUAUGAUGUUGUGCUCCUCAAAUAAAUAAAUUAAAAGAAAACAUAAAAUUAAUUUUCAUGACCACAAGCACCAAAGUAAAGAAGGCAUCCAUUGAAAGUUUAGGAAAAACAAUUAUAUUUGCAUCCACAAUAAAUAUACAUUCUUGUUCUUCUUGUUCAUCAUCAUCCUCUAUUUCUUCUCUUCUAAUAUUUCUAUAAUGCUAAUAAUUUUUUCAAGAAAGUUAUGUUUAAAUAAGCUAAUAAUAAUCUCUAAUAAUAUUAAAAGUGCAUAUGUAUACUUAUUACAAUAUAUUUAUUUAUUUUUCAUUUUUUGAGCUAGAAAAAAAAGUGUUCAGAGUUGCAACGUUGAAUGAAUUACAACUAUUCAACAUUGUAUUUCUAGACAUUCUUAGAAUGACAUAAAGAAGAUAUGAGAGGAUUUUGUGGACAAAAAAUUACAAUUACUUUUACUUGUAAAAGAAGUAAAGUAUAGAGAGAUUCAAUGAAGAAUAAUAUCGAAUAUAAGAGUAAAAAGAAAGGGAAAAAAAGAUUAGGAAGGAUAAAGAAAUAUGAAUGUCAUAUACUCUUAAAGGUAUGAAGUUGCCAACAAAUGAUAAUUGGAUAUUGGUUGUUAAAUAUGGAAGACAUAAUCAUGUUGGAGCACAAUAUCUCAAAGGAUAUUUUUUUCGUGAUUAUUUAAGUCAAGAAGAAAUGAGUAUCUUAGUUAAUAUGUCAAAAAGUAACAUCAAGCCAAAAGAGAUUGAAUAGUUUGAAGCAAAGAAGUAACCUUAAUUGUAACACAUUGAGGACAAGAUACAAUGUAUAGUAUAAACACAUAAAGUAAGGGAAUAUGGUGAGAGGCCACAAAUGCAACAAUUGAUGCACAAAUUAAUGGAGUUGAAUUACAUUAAAUGACAUAGAAGGGAUGAACAAAAUGAUUGUAUUAGAGACUUGAUGUUCAUCCACCCAAGAUCCAUUGAUUAAUUUAUUGUUAGCAUUUUCACUAGUGUUAAUCAUGGAUUGCACUUACCAGCCGUAUAGUUAUAAGAUGCCUUUACUCAAAAUAGUUGGUGUAACAUCAACAUAUAGGACAUUUUCUAUUACAUUUUCAUAUCUUAAGGGUGAAAAAAAAAAUAGGCAUUACACAUGAGCCUUACAAAAUUUGAAAAGUUUGAUUCAUAAAAACUUCAUUCCAAGAGUACUUGUAAUUAAUGGAGAAUUUGCUCUUAUGAAUGAGUUACAUAAUGUGUUCUCAACCUCUUCACAUCUUCUAAGUGGCUUAUAUUGAAAAAUAUUUUCACAAAUUGUAAGAAAUGCUUUGAGUAAAAAACAAGGCGGGAGGCUUUUAUUUUCAUGUGGAAUGUUUGAUGUUUGCCAUUUAGAAAAGGCAUGUGAGUACCAUCUUACUACCUUUGACAGGCAAAACCAAAGGUACACAACAACAACUAAAUAUUGCAAAGUUCAAUAGUUAAUUUCACCUAAAGAGAAGUUUGUAGCAGUUUGGAUAGAUAAACUCAUGCAUUUUGAUAAUACAAUAAAACAUAGGUAUAAUUAUUUUUUACUUUUUUUUUUUCGAAUAAUGUGUUUUAAUAUGUAAUAUAUAUUAAGUUCAAAUUUUCUUCAAUAUUAAUCAUGGUAGAAAGUUCACAUGUCUAGUCGAAGAGACAAUUAGGCACACCUCAGAUGAUUUUGAGGGCUUUUGAUUCAAAGUCCAUGCCAUGUUAGAGUUAUAACACAUGAAAAUAAAGACAUCAUUUGAGAUGAGUGUAAUUAGUGUCCAAUACAACAUGAAAAGUCAUUUGUUUAGUGAAUUAAGGGGUAGGAUUUCCAAAUUUGCACCAAGUGUUUUGGCUGAUGAAGGAAAAUGAUUUGAAAAUGUUGGAGUGAAUGUAUUUGCAUGUGGAUGUGCAUAUAGAUAGACUCAUGGACUGUGCAUAUGAGAUCUCUUUAUAUAAAAUUAAAGCUUGACCAAUCCUUUUAGCAUCAUUAGAUCUUCAUUUGAGGAAACUCAAUUUAGUUCCUAUUAAGAAUUGAAAGACAAAGGAAAUGGGUUAUGAAACUAAUAUGGGACACUUCCAUAAAUAGUUCUUAAGCAAUAAUCCAAUUGAUAGGAAAAAAUUGCUAUAGGAGGUGAUGGAAUUAGCUACUCCAAAAAUCACAUCUAUAACAUCCCUACCCACACUAGAAGAAGAUGAGAUAAAAAAGAAGGUCAUCAUCUUCUAAGAAGAAUGAUUCAUUAACUCGUAGGGAUCCAUCUUUAUUGGAGUAUGUCUCACAAAAUGGGAUGAGAAAAUGAUUAUUGUUACUACAUCAUCAUAAUAAAAGAGAAGGUUAAAGGAGAUAAUAAGAUGAUCAUGUAGGACUAGCUACAUUUGCAGGCUAUUUGCAACCUUAUAUCAUGCAUGUAAAAGAUAUGGGAACAUAUCAUAGUUGUAGAUAUUGAGCUAGAGCUUCUACUUUAGGAAUGAGUGAUGAUGGUUGGCCACAUGAUAAGCAAGACAUGUUUUGAGAGUUUCCACUUAUCAUAUAGAGUUUGAUGAGUCGUUUUAGGGAUAACUUGCAAGUUGAUGAGCUCCUUCAUGCCUUAAAUUUCUUUUACAACCUUGUUGUGGUUAACAGAUGGAUGACCAUGACCAAUAUGAGGCACACUAUAGCUUCCAAAUACAAUGUUGUACUUGUCCAUAUAUCGAUGCAGUAGUGUCUUACCUUUUUUUUUUUUUUUUCAAUCGAUGCCAUAUCUAUACUUAUGCGAAAGAUUAUAUCAAUUAGUUUUAUUAAUGAAAAUCAUGUUGUGGAGGUAAUUUCAUGAAUACUAAUAUAUUUUAUUUACAAUACCCUAUGCUUACUUAAUGAAAUAAUUUUCCAUAUUCUAAAAUUUUUUCUAGGUUUUAAUGCAACCUAAAACCCUAAUGAAACCUAUUACUAGUAGUUUGCAUAUGAGUUGAUAUCAUUGUGCUAAGGGUUCCACAACUCCAUAUGUACCUUCCAUUAUGAUGCUUUGCUGUUGAAUUUCUAACAAUAUUAUCACAUAAGAUAUUAUAGAUUUAGGUGAUAAUUAUGAUGUAUUGUAUUAUUAAUAUGGUAUAAUGAUUUAGAUGUUUAUGUCAAUUUCAUUAUAGAUGGUAAUGCUUAUAAUACAACACCUCUAGGAAUUUGCAAUAGAUCAAUAUGUAUAAAAGGUAUCCAACACUAUACCUAUGAUAGGAUAGCCACUAACCUCGAUCUAAUUUUCUACAUAGACAAGUACGAGACCUGUCUAUGUCACUACAUAUAAUCAGGUGCACACUCUGAUGGAUAUGUCACACGAAUAGCAUUCAUUGUAGCUUGUGCACUAAAACAUUAGAUAUAGGUCCUAUAAUGAAUACAUUGUUGGAUAAACCACUAGAUCUAAUAAUAAUGAAAGCAAAAUUAUGCACUAAAACAUUAGAUAUAGGUCCUAUAAAAACCAUAUCUUUGGAUUUGGAUGUUCUUAUAUUCCACUCUAGAUGAUACAGAGAUCUAAAAAACCUUGUGAUCUUCUACCCAAUCACUCCUUUAAUUCUUGACACUUGUAUAGAGUGGCUACACACCUUAAGAGGGAACAAGAUGGAAUUUGGGGUUUUUGAAAGACAUUUGAUUUAAAAAUUAAAGUCUAACCCUAAAACUUAAGAGGUUCAUAUAAACUCUCCUAUGGGCUUAAGUGACUUAGACUAACUUAGGUUUGGGUCACUUAAUCUAACCUAAUAGGUUCUAAUUAAUCAAUUACCUUAAUAAUCUCUAACUAAUAAACUAGUCUAAUCCAAAAAACUUAAAAUAAAUAAAAGUUGUUGUGCAACCUUGCACUUUAGCACAAUGCUAUUAUGCACACAUGAUUAAAUCUUUUAUUUUUCUCAAGCCUUUGUAUCAAUAAAGAAUAUGAGCUCGAGAGGGGGCCAUUGGGACCCAUAGGAAAAUAUUGAACCCCUUAUAAUCCAAUUCUAAAGUUGAUUCAACACUUUACUGAAGAAAUUCAAUUGCACUUUAGUAGCCUAUGAAAUUACAUUAAGAUUAAAAUUGAUUAAAUUGGAUUUAAUCAAUUUCUCAAGUGCAUGACCUACUAUCAACCACAUGCAGGCUCUCCAUGAACUUGUGUAUAUAAUCUAACGAGGUAAAAGUUAUUGACCUCUCAAGAGAUAAUAUUAUAAUAGCCUCAGAUGGAUUGCCUAAGUCUAUAAAUUGUUUGUGAACAAUUCAUAAACUUGCAAAGAACCCAUGAUUUCGAUUAUUUAUAUAACUCUUAAUGCACUUAAGUCAUGUACAAGUGAUGUAAGCUUAAAUGCUAAGAUAAAAUAUUAAUGCAAACAUGGAAAAAAAGUGGAGUUAUAUGGUUUAAAUAUAUAAUAUUUUAAUCAAAUCUCAUUUUAUUACAUCAUGUUAUGAUUUUAAAGUAUCUAUCCCUUAUGGGAGCCCUGGAUUUUAUAGGUACAUGCAAUCUACCCUUGGCCUUUAGAUCUUAUGCAACGAAAGUGAAAAAUAGUAAUUUUAAUAAUCAAGGAUCUAGAUUAAAAGCUUUAGAAAAUAAUACCUUUGAUUUGGAUAUUCUUAAAUCAAAUCCUAUCAGAGAAGAUCAAAUCUGAAAGUAUUGAAGGUCUCGUACACCCAAAAUUUUCCUCCCAAUGGCUCUAACUUGAUCUUGACCCUCAAUUGGUGGGGAGGUAUGAGAUGAUGGAGGUUAUGACUUUUUUCUUCUUUGGAGGUAGAAAACAACUCUAUGGAAACCCUAAUACAUAAAGGAGUAUUUAUAAGGUUCCUUAAUUGGGCUUAAGCCAAGGGCUUAGGUCACUUAAUCUAUCCUAAAAUGGGUCCUAAUUAAUUAAUUAACCACACAAGGUCAUUUAAUUAAUCAAUUAACCCAAUCUAGAGACCUUGUUCAUUAUCCCUUAUGCAACUUUAUGUAAUUAUCAAAAUGCCCUUAUGCAUAAAAGUGAAGCCAAUUUAUCUUUUACAAACCAUGCCAUCAAGGUAUAUGAGCUCGAGCAAGGACCAUUGAGACCCAUUGGAAUACUGAUAAUUGUGGAUAUUUACCUUGCUUUAGUUUUAUAAUUGAUGAUAAAAAUUGGUUAUGACACUCAUGUUUUAGAUAUUUAAAUUUUAAAAGUCUAAAAUUUCUUUGAUACUAAGAAGAUGACUUUGUUAAUUCUCCAAAUGAGGUUUGUGAAACAUGUGUUUUGGGAAAUAAGUAUAAAUACCAUUUUCCUGUAGGAAAAUUAUGGAGAGCAAGGAAGCCUCUUGAAUUGAUUCAUUCAAAUCAAUGUUUAAUGGAGGCUCCAUCAAAGAAAGAUCACAUAUACUUUAUAAUCUUUAUUGAUGAUUUUAGUUAAAAGGUUUGGGUUUAUUUUUUAAAACAAAAGGGAGAUACAUAAAAAAAUUUCAAAAUUUUUAAAGCUUAUGUGGAAAACAAAGUGGACAUGCCAUUAAAAUUUUGAGAACAAAUAAGGGUACUAAAUAUGUUGAUUAUGAUGUUUUAUUGAAAAAAAAAAGUGGUAUUGAGCAUCAAUUGACUGCACGGUACACUCCAUAAUAAAAUGAAUUUGCAAAGAGAAAAAAAUAGAACAAUUAUGCAUAUGGUGAGGUCCAUAUUGCACUUAAGACAAUUGGCUAAAAUGUUUUAGGUCAAAGUAGUUUCUUGUGCAUUUUAUUUAUUGCAUAGGUACCCUACUAAAAGUGUUUAUGGAAAGACCCACAAGAAGCUUGACAUCAUAGGAAGCCUAAUAUCAAUCAUCUAAUUAAGGGUGUUUGGUUGCAUAUCAUAUGCUCAUGUGUUUGAUGCAUUGCGAAAAAAAAAAUUGAUGAUAAAGGUGAAAAGUGUUUAUUGGUUAUAUUCAAGUGGCAAAAGGUUAUAAAUUAUAUAAUCUACAAACCAAGAAAGUUAUUGUUAGUCGUGAUUUGAGUUUUGAUGAACAAGCAGUAUGAGAAUGGUCUUUUAAUGAAAAAUGACCAUCAAGUAUUUACAUUCAUCUUGAAGAGCAAGGUGAAGAUCAAAGUACGCAGCCUACUAGUGCACAAAUUAUGACUCCAUGUUCAAUAGCAUCACCAAGGCAUCUACAACGUCUCUAUGUUUUACUUGCACACUUACAACAUUCUAUAGUUGAUGAUGAUAGUAAUCCAACAAAUGAAGAAUUGAUUAUUUUUUCUUUAUUUACAUAUUGUGAUCUAUUAAGUUAUAAGGAAGUUGCUCAAGAUGGUUAUUGGCUUAAAGCUAUGGACAAAGAAAUUCAUACAAUUGAGAAAAAUAAUACAUAAGAUCUUACUAAUCUCCCUAAUUCUAAUAAGCCAAUUGUUGUCAAAUGAGUGUACAAACCAAGCACAAGACAAAUGGAGAAGUCAACCCCUUCAAGGCAAGAUUGGUGGCAAAAUGUUACAAGCAAAAACCAAGUAUUGAUUAUUUUAAAGUAUUUGCACUUGUUGCUAGAUUGAUACUGUUCGUAUGAUUAUCUCUCUUGCUACAUAAAACAAUUGAAAAAAAUUUCAAAUGGAUAAAUUAGCUUUCUUGAAUGACAACUAAGAGAAGAGGCUCAUGUCAAAUACCUCAAGGAUAUAUUAUAAAAGGGUUAGAAGAAAAGGUUUAUUAGCUAAAAAAUGCCCUAUAAAGCACGCACCAAGAGCAUUAUACACAUGUAUUAAUACCUAUUUCAUAAAGAAUAAAUUUUAAAUAUGUCUUUAUAAACACACUUUAUAUAUCAAAUUUAAUUUGUAAGGUGACAUUCUUAUCGUGUGUUUAUAUAUAAAUGAAUCAUUCGUAAUAAUUUGAAGAUGAUUGAAGAAUUCAAAGAAAUAAUGAUUAAUCAAUUUGAGAUGAUAGAUAUGGGAUUGAUGUCCUAUUUUUCAGGAUUGAAGUAAUUCAAGUAUAAAGGUAUCUUUAUUUUUUAGAAGAAGCAUGUAAGUGAUAUUCUUGAAAAAUUGAAGAUGGAAUCAUGCAAUCUUAUUCUAACUCCAGUUGAAGAAAUACUGAAAUAAGGAAAAGAUAACUAAGGUAAGUUAGUUGAUCUAACAAACUUUAAAAGAAUGAUUGGGAGUUUGUAAUAUUUGACUUCUAUAAAACAUGAUAUUGUAUUUAGAAUUGAACCUGUAAGUAGAUUCAUUGAGUCUCCACACCAAUCUAACUUGCAAGCAACAAAUUGUAUCUUACGAUACAUUAAAGGUACACAAAGUGAUAGUAUUUUUUAUGCAUAUGAUAACAUGAUUGAGCUUGUUGGAUACACAUAUAGUUAGUGAGUGGGUGAUGUAGAAAAGCAAAAAAAAAAAAAAAAAAAUUACUUUCAACUAUGCAUUUAAUCUUGGUUUGGAAGUUUUUUUCCUGGUCAUCAAAGAAACAACAUAUAGUUGUUUUGUCAACAACAUAAGUUGUGUCUAUUGCAGCUACUAGUGGUACAUGCUACUCAAGCGAUAUGGUUUCAUAAAAUGCCUUUUGGCUUAAAGCAUACUCAAGAAGUUCCCACAAUUUUUAUUUUUAUUUUUUAUUUUUUUUGUGAUAAUAAAUUAGCAAUAGCAUUGAUCAAGAAUCCAAUUUUUUCAUGGAAGAAUUAAACACAUUGACAUAUAAUUUCAUUAUAUUUGUGAUUUGGUGAAAGACAAAGAAAUUAUACUUGAGUUCUGUUCUUCAAAAAUCCAAGUUGCAAACAUUUUUAUAAAGUCAAUCAAGGGGAAAACAUUGCCCAAGUUGAAGAAGAUGACGAGUAUGAUGAAAUUUAAACAUUAUUGUUUUUUUUUCUUUUUUGAGAAAUUAUUUUAUGCUAGAAAGAUUAUUUUUGGUUGCUCACAGCUACUCAUGACACAAUGCCAUAUUCAAGAAAUUAUAUAUAUAUAUAUAUAUAUUAAUUUUCAUUUCUUAAAAAACUCUUUUAAAAAUUUGUUGUAAUAAAUAAAGGAAAGCCAGCGUGGCAUAGAAAACCUUUGCCUUUGCAAUCAAAAUUAUAUAUAUAUUUUCAUUCUUCCAUGUUUCUCUUAAAUCUUUCAGAGACGGAUAGAAAACAGUAAAAAUAAUUUGAUAAAUAUAAAAUAAAACUAUUAUGUUAACCAUGUUAUAAGAAGAUGAUGGUAAAGCUACCAUAUUUUGAUGUACUUAAAAGGAAAGAAAUAGAUAAAAUAAGGCUUCCUUUACACUUCUUGUAUUUUUUUUUUCAAUAACUUUUAUAUAAAUAUAUUUUUUUUUAUUUUUAUGAAAGUAUAAAUUUAUAUUAUGUGUUUAAAAAUUACUUUAAAAUUUUUUUAAAUGUCUGAAACAAUAAAUUUAUAUCAAUUUUAAAAAAUUAUCAUAUUUUCAAUGUAACCUUUUUAAGAGUUAAUUCAUAUGUAAGUUACUAUUAAUUUUUGUUUUUGAAAAAUAAAAAAAUAAUAUGUGAAUCAUAAAGAAACUAUGGACCUGUUUGGAAAUUGUUUUUUGAAACAAUUUUCUAUUCUUUAGAACAAAAAAAAAUAGAAAAAUACAUUUGAUAAUUAAAAAACUUUUUUUUAUUUUUUAUUCUUAAGAAUAGAAAAUAAGGUGUUUUCAAAGUAUAUCUUUUAGUUGUUUUCCAUUGUUUUCACUUAUUUUAAAAAAAAAAACAUUAUACAAACAUGCAGAAUGAUUAAAAAUAAAGUACUAGAUAUAAAAAUUAUUUUUAAAAUAUAUUUUAAAAUAUUAAAAACAUUUUAGGUUCCCAAAACAAAUUUUAGUUUUACAAAACAUUAGAAAAACUAUUUUUUAAAAUCAUUAAUUACCAAACAUGCCCUAAAUAUCCGUUUCGAUACAUCUCUUAUUUCUUUUUAAAUAGAAUCAUAAACAUUUAAAAGUAUAAUAUAUUGUACAAAAAAUUUGAAAAUUUGAGAUACCAAAAAGAUUUUUGUUACCUCAAAAUUUUUAAGUAGUUUUUAAAAGCAUUUUUUUUAACAUAAGUUUUUAAAAGUUUUUAUAUCUUAUAUAAAAUUUAUUAUUAGUUUCUAAUUUUAAAAAAUAAAAAACAAAAAAACAUAUCUAAACGAAACUAAAUUAAGGGUUUUUCAUUUAUAAAUUUUGAAAAGGUUAGGUGAAUUGAAGCUUAUGAGGAGUUUAGACAAACGCUCUCAUUAAUUGUUGAUAGAGGUGUUUGGUGAUUUUAAAGUUAAACCACCUAAUAUUUGUGAUUGAGAGGUUACUCCAAGGCAAUUGAAUCUUACAAAUUCCCAACCAUUAGAUUUAAGUCAUUGGCCCACAUUACCCACAUUACUGACUCCACCUCCCAGGAUUCAUAUAUGCAUUAAAUGAAGAGAGAAUUAUGUUUUGGGGGUAGAUGACCCCCGAAUUAACAAAAGGUCUAUGUAACUCUUUAAAUUGAGCUCAAGACCCAAUGAAAGUAUGAAAAUUGAGUUGAAGGAUAUCAUCCUUCAGUAUUUCCAAAAAUGUCAUUUGUUGAUUUUGAGAAAAAAAUUAAUAUUUUUGAAAAAUACUUUUAUUUAAUUUAAUAUUUUUGAUUUAAUUUAAUAUUUUUAAAAAAUACUUUUAUGUAAUUUAAUAUUUUUUAAAAUACUUUUAUUUAAUUUAAUAUUUUUUAAAAUACUUUUAUUUAAUUUAAUAUUUUUUAAAAAUAAAUUUAUUUAAUUUAAUAUUUUUUUAAAAUAAAAUUAUUUAAUUUAAUAUUUAAAAAAAUUAUUUAAUUUAAUAUUUUUUUAAAUACUUUAAUUUAAUUUAAUAUUUUUGAAAAAAAAAUUUAAUUUAAUAUUUUUGAAAAAAAAAUUAUUUAAUUUAAUAUUUUUGAAAACUACUUUUAUUUAAUUUAGUAUUUUUGAAAAAAAAAAUUAUUGAAAAACAAUUAUUUAACUUAAUUUUAUAAAAUAUUUUAUAUGUGUUUUUAAAGGGUCUUGUAGACCUCCUCAACAGCAGCAGGUUUCUUUUUUUUAGAUUAUUAUUUUAUUCCCCUUUCUUUUGCUUUGUUUUUUUCGCUCUCUUCUUCAGAACCCGAGAAUGAGCUGGGGGUGGUAGCCAAAACAGGGCGGCCAUAGGACGAGAUGGGCAGGUUUUUUUACGGCGAGAGGGGACGGGGGUACGAAGAUGGCUGGGAGGGGAAGCUAAGAAAAAAAAAAGAGGAAAAAGAGAGGAGAUAUCUCGUGAGAGGGGGGAAGCUGAGGAGAAACACGGGCCUGCAGGCUGGGAAGAGAGCCGGGGUGGGAAUUUCGGGUCCGAAGCUUGAGGAGAAGAGGUUUGAAGAAGUGACAAGAGAGAGAUUUGCGAGAUGGUAGAAAUGGGCGUCUCAAGCUGAGUUGAGGAGGAGUUUGAAGCUUAGGUCCAGGUAAGAUUUCUGCAUGUUUUAUAUACCUCAUUUUAGUUUGCUUUAUUCUAUUUCUUGUUAAUUUCGGUUCCUGCUUGGUGUUUAUUAUAUGGAUGGCGAGGCAUAUGAUGCGUUAGAGAGUGUGUGUAUUGGAUUGAGAUCAAUUAAAGGGGUGGAAAAGAUGUCUAAUUAUAUGAUUAGUAGUGGGUUUGGUCCGGAUGAGUAUUUGGGGAACAAGUUCUUGUUGAUGCAAGUAAAAUACGGGAUGAGGAUUGAUGCACAUGGACUGUUUGAUGAAAUGCCAAUAAAGAACAUUUUAUGUUUUUUUUAACACCCCUGCACAUGAUUCUCCCAUUCAUAUUAUAUUUGCUUCAAAUCCUGGAAGCGACCCCCACUAGCGACGUUGAGCCGAAGCUCCUUGCCGGCGACGACGAGGAGAAUGACAGGUUGCAAGCUUGCAUGGGGAGGUGCCUACAGCUGCUAUUGGUCUUGGAGGUUUGGGCCCCCAUGAUAGUGGAUUUGGGCCUGAGGUGAAGCCCCAAACCCAAAUAUGAUGGUGAAAAGGCUUGAGUCCUUUUGCUAACGGAUGUGGGCUUGGGAUGAAGCCCAAAUCCGAGCUUGAUGAUGGAAGGCCCCCAUGAUUUGUCCAUCCACUUUAGGACCGGCCCAUACUUAUUUCAAGCUGGCCCAUCUGGUUGUUUCCACCUUAUAUAUUUCACCUUCUCUAAAUCACUCAUUUCUCAAUAAACUCUUUAAUUUCUAAUUUCCAAGCCCAACUUACAAAAAUUCAAUCUCCAAAUGACACUUCAAAAUUCAGAUUUUUAAUGUUUAAUUCCGAUUUCCGAAUUCUCAUAUUCCCAUUAAUUUAUUUGAUCAUUAGUAUUUCAUUUAUUUAUUUCAAAGCUCCAUUCUAAAUCAAAUUCUUCUAAAACUUCUGAUUACCGAAUUAAAUUCAAAAAAUUCCAAUAUUCGCAUUAAUUUAUUAUUGUUAUUUUAUUUAUUUAUUCUAAAAUUCCAUUUUAAACAAUUCAUUAAAAUUUCCGACUUUCGAAUUAAAUUUCUAUUUCUGAAAAUUCCAAUAUUCACAUUAAUUUAUUUAAUUAUUAUUAUUUUAUUUAUUUAUUCUAAAAUUCUAUUUUAAACAAUUCAUUUAAAAUUUUCAACUUCCAAUUUUAAUUUCUAAUUCUGAAAAUUCCAAUAUUCACAUUAAUUUAUUUAAUUAUUAUUAAUUUAUUUAUUUAUUCUAAAAUUCCAUUUUAAACAAUUCAUUAAAAUUUCCACUUCCGAUUUUAAUUUCUAAUUCUGAAAAUUCCAAUAUUCACAUUAAUUUAUUUAAUUAUUAUUAUUUUAUUUAUUUAUUCUAAAAUUCUAUUUUAAACAAUUCAUUUAAAAUUNNNNNNNNNNNNNNNNNNNNNNNNNNNNNNNNNNNNNNNNNNNNNNNNNNNNNNNNNNNNNNNNNNNNNNNNNNNNNNNNNNNNNNNNNNNNNNNNNNNNNNNNCCAUUUUUAAACAAUUCAUUAAAAUUUCCACUUCCACUAAUUCCAAAAUUCCAACAUUCACAUUAACCUAUUUAAUUAUUAUUAUUUUAUUUAUUUAUUCUAAAAUUUCAUUUUAAACAAUUCAUUAAAAUUUCCGACUCUCGAUUUAAUUUCUAAUUCCAAAAUUCAUAUUAAUCUAUUUAAUUAUUAUUAUUUUAGUUAUUUAUUUUGAAAUUCCAUUUUAAACAAUUCUUCAAAAUUCCAAUUUCUGAACUUAAUUUCUGAUCUCCAAAAUUCUAAUUUCUUUCAAAUUUAAUAUCCAAAAUUCUAAUUCUUAAAUUUAAUUUUUCAAGACUCCAAUCUUCAAAUAAUUUUCGAGGCUCUAAUUUCCAAAUAAAUUUCAAAAAUCCAGUUUUCUCUCGAAUAGCUUUAAUUCCACUCCGAUUUUUAAAUAAUGUUCUAUUUCUUUUGAUUUUUACACAAGCAAGAAUGAUGAAUCUUCAUCAAUUGCCAUGUCAACUUCAUUCUAUUAGUAGAGACCCGACUUUAGGGACUUAGAGGGGUGCUACGGUCUUCACCGUACCUUCCCGAUAAGUAACCUGACCUCCGAACCCGAUCCGGUUUUUCGUAGAUCACCUUUUCCAAAUAAGGAGUCACACUUAGGGUUUUUCUUUCUUAUUUGUUUACCCUUUAAAAAUAAAACAAAAAUAAGUGGCGACUCCAAAUCAUUUUUCUUAAUCAAAUAAAAAUCAAAUUUUCAAAUAAAAAUCGAGGUCGCCAUCGAGUGGGAAACGCAUGAGCAGAAAUGCGGGGUCCACAAAAUGGCGACUCCGCUGGGGAUCUUUUAGAGGGUCAAGCUUGAACUUAAAGUGAAGCAAACGUGGCGUUUGGUGAGUCGAUCAGUGGGUACUCAUCUCUUGAUUGCACAUCGAGAGUUCCCGAGCUUUCACUUGGGACGUUGACAUGUUGAUCAUGUUGGUUGAUUAUUUUGGUUGGGGAUUCUAAUAUAGCUAGUUUCUUAAUGCUUCAUUGAUAUAUUUGUAUGAGAUAUUUGACAUGCUGAUUAUGAGAUUGAUUAUCUUGAUUGAGGAUUUUGAUUUUUUUUUUUGUGCUUCAUUGCCAUGUUUGUUGAGUACAUUGACAUGCUGAUUAUAUUGAUUGAUCAUCUUGCCUUGCUUAGCAUAGUCAUUCUGAUUUUGCCAUGUUUGUUCUGAUUACCUCACAUGUAUAGACUCACCAUUGUAUAUCAUUUGAUUUGACAUGAUUGAUUCUCUCAGUUAUAUAUUAUCUUAUCAUAGAGCAUGCUAUCAUUUGUCACAUAUUCUUCUUGAUUGGCUUGUGUGUAGAUUUGGAUGAUAUAUACCUGUUUUGCAUGACUGUCUGUUGCAUGACUCUUCUCAUCCUGAUGCGACUGCAUGAGUCGUGUGUCUAUGUGGAACACAAACUUAUCCUUUUAUUUCCAAGUCCCUAGUCUCGGUCGACAUAGUUUUCCUUGCUCUCAUAUUUGAUACGAGACUUGUUGCCUUGUNNNNNNNNNNNNNNNNNNNNNNNNNNNNNNNNNNNNNNNNNNNNNNNNNNNNNNNNNNNNNNNNNNNNNNNNNNNNNNNNNNNNNNNNNNNNNNNNNNNNCUCUCAUAUUUGAUACGAGACUUGUUGCCUUGUUUGCUCUUCGACCGAGCUAGUGAUUAGGAAUAGGGUCUAGCGACGGGCUAUAUCUAUGUUUGGGAGCAUUCUGGAGGUGGUCAACAUAUUGAUGUUGAUUGGAGUCUGAACUUUGAAGACUUGUAUAGCCCAGAGCUAGAUUUCAGGAUAUUUGUAUGGUCAGUGUGUUUUCUUUUAGUUUCUUAGGGUUUUCAGAUGCACCCACACCACCCACUGUGGACUUUAGUCGAUUACUGAGUGCUGAGAGUUGUGAGAGCUUUCACCAUAGGAAACCCCCUGGGAUGUCGAGGUAGUGCAUGUGUGGAGGUGAUGACCACCUUGCAUGGAAGCGCCCCGUCUCUUCGGAGACGUGCAGAGGGUUGCGUACCGCCGGAGGGUAUGAUCGCUUCUGCUAGGGAUCCUUUAAAGUCCACCCAUACCCAUUUAGAGCCACCUUGACUUUGUAGGUUGAGCCGUAGAUCCUUCGAUUAGGACUCCCUUCCUACACGUGGGUGCAUCUGAGGGCCUUCAGAGCCUCUUUAGUUACAGUUCGGAUCCAGUAUUCCCUCUUUUUAGUCUCCAGUUGAGAGUGCUCGAAGAUCGGUAUGGGUUUGAGUAUCGGUUGGAUCACUUUUCGUCUGAUCGCCUUAGUUUGUGUUUUUCACUUGACGAGUUUAACAUGUUUUCUCGUUAGGGUUUUCGUUCUCAUUUCUUGGCUCGACACACCCCUUCACUUUGAUUAUCACUCACUCGAUACUUUGGGAUAUGUUCAUUGAUCAUCUUUUUACACUGCACACCUAUCACGGGCUCAGUACCUCAUUCUUUGUUUGAUCCUUGGUUCGAUUUUCGACCGAUGUGAUGACAGGACCAGUCACUGUUUUUGUUUUUGUUUGUUUAGUCUUGUUUUACUUUUGACUUUUAGAGACUAUAACUCGAUUCUUGAGUAUUGUCUUUGUUAUCCUUCUUUUGCAUGAUAUACUCAUCGGUUAUCCCAUUGGAUGUCUUUUUCUUUAUGGACAUAUGCUUGUGUUUUGUGAUAUGAUGUGUUGUUCUUUUUACUUGAGGCAUCUCUUCACUUACACAUUGUGAUCUUGAGGCUUGACCUAUCAUGGAGGAUAUUGAGCCUAUUAGCCUAGAAUCAGAGAUUUGACUCAGGAAGUUCGAGACUGUGACGCAUCUUCUUAUGAUCAGAGUAGUGCCUUGCUCACUUCCCGCAAUUUGACUCUGUUUUGACCUACAUCCAUCCAUUGUGAGCUUUGCACAGCACUACCCUUGAGACCAUUAUAUGACCUUCUCAUCCUCUAUUUUUUCUAGCUUUACACAUUCCCCCUCUAGUCCGACCAGGUAGAGAACGAGGAGUUUGACCCUAGGGUUGAUCUCACAUGACGAGGGUUAGCUUAUGAUCUUUGGGUGGUUUACGAUAUGAGGAUUGGUCGAUUGCUUGAUGAGACUGUCACUUAUUUUUUCGUGAGUACAAAGGUUGAUGUUGUAUGAUGAGAGUUGGCUUAUGAUGGGCAGUCGUGCCUGAUGAGAUCACCAUUCACUUUGCUUUGAGAGGAUCAUCUUUGAGAUUAUUAUGGAGCAUUCGGAGUAUGGUUGAUACAUGAUCCUAGAGGGAAGUUCAGACCCAACUGGAGCGGACCUUAUUUCAUCAGGGAGUUGACCCCAGAGGGCGCUGCAUGGUUGAUGGAUUUAGAUGGAAACCGAUUCUCAGAGCCAACCAACAUGGAUCAGCUAAAGAGGUACUAUGUUGGAGACCAUGGUCGCAGGAUGGGUGGCCAUCAUUUCGGUUAGCCAUAUGCCUUGUUAUUCCCUUUUUUGAUAUAUAGUCUGUUGCUAGCCCAUUGAGCCUCGCAUGCGAAUUAUAGCCUUUCUUUCUUAUCGCCUUGCUCACAUUUUCACACCGGGAUAGGGGCCCUUUAAUGUAUGCAUGCAUUGUUUGGUAGUUUCAUGAGCCUUGGACCUAGGGGCAUGUUUUUCUCAUUAUCUUUUCCUAUCACUGCACCUCUGCAUUUUCAUCUCAUCUUAUUGGUUAUGUUAUUUAUCUCUUCUUCCUUAUCCUAUCUACUAUUUGUUUGUUUCAUAUUUCUCUUCACCCUGGGUGGUGAUCCUCCUCAGUUCAUCACAUGGAGGAUAGUCACAUCAUUUCCACCAUCUAUCUCGCGGACACUGGUUUAGAGAUCCUUAGUUUGAGAAGGUCAUCUUGUUAGAGAGAGUUUGUUUGUUACCUUAGUACUUGGGGGUAUGUCCAUUUGUCAUUGAUAUCAUCUUUGGGGUUCAUUUGUUCACGUUCAGGGUACGUGUAUUUGCAUAUAUGUAAAAAAAAAAAAAAAAAAAAAAAAAAAAAAAAAAAAAAAAAAAAGAGAAAGAAAAAAAAAAGAAAAAGAUCAUUAUUAUUAUUAGCACAUGUGUGUAUGUGCAUAGUGUUCUCGAUCAUUGAGUAUGUAUAUUGAUGUCUGGGGGUCAUUUUUAUCGAGUAUGUUCGUUAUUGGGAGUUCGUAUGUGAGCUCUCUGAAAUCCCNNNNNNNNNNNNNNNNNNNNNNNNNNNNNNNNNNNNNNNNNNNNNNNNNNNNNNNNNNNNNNNNNNNNNNNNNNNNNNNNNNNNNNNNNNNNNNNNNNNNAGGACUCUGAGUCAUUGUCCUUUCCAUCAUUACAUUCAUUAUUGAUGUGACUUCACUUCAUGUUUGAUCUUAGUCGAUCACCAUCUUUCUUCAUAUAUUCAUUGUUCCGGUGUCAUUUUUAUCGUCACUUGUGUUUCACCUCAUUCACUUCACGUCUUAUUCUCUCCUUACAGCAACCCAUCUCGGGUUCGAUACUCACUUCGCAUCAUCGUUACACAUAUCACCAUCAGUUCAUUUUGUUUCAUUUGUCUCCUUACCGACAUCAUAUUCACGUUAGGCAUCCUCAGGUCCAUGGCUCAUGGGAUUCACUAUACAUGUUGCAUUUCAUAUAUGAGGGCAUGUUUUUCUGAUCAUUGGGUAUUUGGGCCUAGUUUCCUUUCAUUUCUGUUACCUUAUCACCUCAGCCUACGUUACGUCCUGUGUCUUAAGACCACCUUGAGGCCGUGGGAUCAGAUGUCGUCUUUGACAGCCUCUACUUGGAUAGGUGAUUGAGAUCUGAUUGACAUUUAGAUAUCGUCAUGCUUCUUCUUCUGGGAGUCACCUCUUUGAUGUGUAGGACUGAUUCAAUUGUGUUCGGAUUACCGGGAUCGUGAGUUUGAUGAUGAUUGACUUGGUGUCACCUGAUUUUUUUUGACCUGUCGUACCUCUGGUGCCACACUGCGGCAUAUCCCAUUUCAUUUGGAGGUUUAUGGAUCCUCACAGAUUUGCACGUUCAUUAUCACUUACUGGAUGCUCAUUGAGACGUGGACAUGAUCAUUACCUUACGGAGCCCCUGAGAUCCAUCCAGCUAGUUCCGCACUUCUCGACGCUUGGAUGCCAUCAUGCCUCUCCAUCUGGGAGGACAUCUUGGAUAUGUGUGCAUGAUUCAGUUAUGGAUUCGGAUGACCAGUGUUACAUGUGCGACGAUAGAUGAUUUCAUGACAUUUGUCAUUUGGACCCGUCGCGCACUUGAUGUCAUACUGAGGCAUAUUUCCCGUUUCAGAUGUGAUUUAUGGAUCUUCACUUAUGUUGCAUGAUCGAUGAUAGAUGAUUUCGUGUCGCCCGAUUUCUGACCUGUCGCGCACUUGAUGUCAUACUGGGGCAUAUUUCCUUUUCGAUUGAGAUUUACGAAUCCUCAUGGAGUUGCACGCUCAUCCCCACUUAUGAGGUACACAUUGACAUGAUGUUUCCACCAUGAAGCCUCUCGGGAGUUACCCAGUUAGGCCUGCACUUCGCGACGCUUCGAUGUCAUCAUGCUUUCCUUCCGAGAGACGCCCCUUUGAUCUAUGGGUCUGAUUCAGUUGUACACGUGGAUGACUUGGAUCGCGCAUUCGAUGAUGGGUGAUCUGAGCUCAUUUGGUUCUUUUGACCCAUCAUGCAUUGUGUUUGAUAGCUCUUAUGUGAGCGGUACUUGGGAUUGAUUCGAGAGCAUUCUGAUUGUGAUGGACCGGGAGUUAUGGUAUGACCUUACACUGGGGCAUAGCCAUCUCAGAGAGUUUUAUUAUCGGAUGACCAUUAUGUCGAGGCAUACUCUUCUCAGUCGAUGACGGAUUUUUGAGCCAUGUCCUUUCCUGGGAGGAUAUCAGAUGUCCUUUUUCACAUUGGAGCAUGAGACAUGAUUGGCGCGUUUCAUCUGGUGUAUUUUACACAGGGGCAUACCCCUUUCGGUCCAUGAUGGUUUUUAGGCAUAGUUGUUCCUUGGAGGCGAUUAGAUUCAUUUUACAUUGGAGUAUGAGAUAUGAUUGGGUGAUAUGUUUGAUGUGAUCACAAGAGCAUAGCCUUCUCAUCAUUGUUGACAUAUUUUUUAGAUGAUUGGAUCAGGACACAGACACUUAUGAGAGCAUGCAGCGGAGUUUAGUCAUUUCAGGGUUUGCCCUAUAUUGGGGCAUAACCCUUUCAUUGGCGGUUGAUCUUAGAGAUAUCAGUUCACAUUGGGACAUGCUCUUUAUUUGGGGGAGGUUAGAUAUUCUCUUCACAUUACCACGAUGGCUUUGAUGAGCAGAUGUUCAUUUUGAUCAGAUGAUGUAUGAUUGGUUGUACUCCUCUCAUUGAUGUUUGAUUCAGAGAUGCUUACACCGGGGCAUAGCCCACUCAUCGAUGAUGAUUUUGUGAGAUGACAGUUUAGGCCAGACACAUACUUCCCAGGGUUUAUCUUGCACUGAGAACUUAUCCAUUUUGAGAUGAUGCAUUCAUACUGGGGGCGUACCUACCUUGCUGAUUUUGACAUUGAGACUCCACUUCCUGUUUAUGAUCGCUGCUCUCGAUGGAUUAUAGUCAUUGGCACCCUGGGUUCAAUCUUCUUAACGUACUUGGUCCGACUUGGGUACCCACUUUCCUUUGUUACACACCCAUCCAUCCUACAUUGAACACCGUUAUACUUGCACCCAUCUUAUCAGAGCCUUACAUCUUUUGAGCCUACAUAUUUCAUCAUCUUACCUGACUUUAUCCCUUUCUCUUGAUCAGAGGAAGGUGUAGACUAGUCUUGAGCUUUCUGGUUGAGUUUUCACAUGCCUUUGGACAUUAGGUUCAACAUCUCUUAUGAUGGUAGGACCUAUCAGAUUUGUUGAUGCNNNNNNNNNNNNNNNNNNNNNNNNNNNNNNNNNNNNNNNNNNNNNNNNNNNNNNNNNNNNNNNNNNNNNNNNNNNNNNNNNNNNNNNNNNNNNNNNNNNNNNNNNNNNNNNNNNNNNNNNNNNNNNNNNNNNNNNNNNNNNNNNNNNNNNNNNNNNNNNNNNNNNNNNNNNNNNNNNNNNNNNNNNNNNNNNNNNNNNNNNNNNNNNNNNNNNNNNNNNNNNNNNNNNNNNNNNNNNNNNNNNNNNNNNNNNNNNNNNNNNNNNNNNNNNNNNNNNNNNNNNNNNNNNNNNNNNNNNNNNNNNNNNNNNNNNNNNNNNNNNNNNNNNNNNNNNNNNNNNNNNNNNNNNNNNNNNNNNNNNNNNNNNNNNNNNNNNNNNNNNNNNNNNNNNNNNNNNNNNNNNNNNNNNNNNNNNNNNNNNNNNNNNNNNNNNNNNNNNNNNNNNNNNNNNNNNNNNNNNNNNNNNNNNNNNNNNNNNNNNNNNNNNNNNNNNNNNNNNNNNNNNNNNNNNNNNNNNNNNNNNNNNNNNNNNNNNNNNNNNNNNNNNNNNNNNNNNNNNNNNNNNNNNNNNNNNNNNNNNNNNNNNNNNNNNNNNNNNNNNNNNNNNNNNNNNNNNNNNNNNNNNNNNNNNNNNNNNNNNNNNNNNNNNNNNNNNNNNNNNNNNNNNNNNNNNNNNNNNNNNNNNNNNNNNNNNNNNNNNNNNNNNNNNNNNNNNNNNNNNNNNNNNNNNNNNNNNNNNNNNNNNNNNNNNNNNNNNNNNNNNNNNNNNNNNNNNNNNNNNNNNNNNNNNNNNNNNNNNNNNNNNNNNNNNNNNNNNNNNNNNNNNNNNNNNNNNNNNNNNNNNNNNNNNNNNNNNNNNNNNNNNNNNNNNNNNNNNNNNNNNNNNNNNNNNNNNNNNNNNNNNNNNNNNNNNNNNNNNNNNNNNNNNNNNNNNNNNNNNNNNNNNNNNNNNNNNNNNNNNNNNNNNNNNNNNNNNNNNNNNNNNNNNNNNNNNNNNNNNNNNNNNNNNNNNNNNNNNNNNNNNNNNNNNNNNNNNNNNNNNNNNNNNNNNNNNNNNNNNNNNNNNNNNNNNNNNNNNNNNNNNNNNNNNNNNNNNNNNNNNNNNNNNNNNNNNNNNNNNNNNNNNNNNNNNNNNNNNNNNNNNNNNNNNNNNNNNNNNNNNNNNNNNNNNNNNNNNNGUACUGGGGCAUACCGCCUUUAGCGCUUUUCAACUGGAGCAUACCCCCUCUCUCUUUGGGUUUACCGUGUCUCGUGUUGAUUUCAUGGUUGUCAGACCCAUUUUGUCGAUCUUUACGAGUUAUCACCUAGGGCAUUCCCCUUACCGUCAGUUUGUUUAGGGCAUCCCCCUAUUGUCGUCUCGUUUGGGGCAUCCCCCACUGUCAUUUACGUUUGGGGCAUCCCCCCACUGUCAUUUACGUUUGGGGCAUCCCCCACUGUCAUUUCGUUUGGGGCAUCCCCCCACUGUCAUUUACAUUUGGGGCAUCCCCCCACUGUCAUUUCGUUUGGGGCAUCCCCCCACUGUCAUUUACGUUUGGGGCAUCCUCCCACUGUCAUUUCGUUUGGGGCAUCCCCCCACUGUCAUUUCGUUUGGGGCAUCCCCCCAUUAUCAUUUUGUUUGGGGCAUCCCCCCACUGUCAUUUCAUUUGGGGCAUCCCCCCACUGUCAUUUACGUUUGGGGCAUUCCCCCACUGUCAUCUCGUUUGGGGCAUCCCCCCACUUUCAUCUUGGUUAGGGGGUAUUUCCAUUUUGUUUAGGGCAUCCCCCUUUAUUUUAGUUUUAUCACCACCAUGGAUUUUCAUCCUUGGGCUUUCAGUUAUUUCACCACCAUAGAUCGGACAUCUAUGGACUUUGAUCAGUUUGUCACCACCAUGGAUUUUCAUCCUUGGGCUUUCAGUUAUUUCACCACCAUAGAUCGGACAUCUAUGGGCUUUGAUAAGUUUUUCACCAUCAUAGAUUUUCAUCUAUGAGCAUUUAUUUCAGUUAUAUCACCACCAUAGAUCGGGCAUCUAUGGGAUCUAUGGGCAUUUCAGUUUUCACCACCAUGGAUUUCCAUCCUUGAACUUUCGAGAUUAUCACCACCAUGGAUUUUUAUCUGUGGGCAUUUGGGAGUUUCACUACCAUAGAUUGGCAUCUAUGGACUUUUUUUAUUGUAUCAUCGUCAUAGAUUUUUAUCUGUGGGCUUUCGAGAUUAUCACCACCUUAGAUCGGACAUCUAUGGGCAUUUUUAUUGAAUCACCACCGUGGGUCUCCACCUAUGGUCCUUCUAGUUUAGUGUUUAGAAUUAGCUUUAUGGUUUGGCUUCCAGAACUAUUAUUUUCUAGUUUAGUGUUUAGAGUUAGCUUUUCGGUUUGGCUUCCAAAGCUAUUAUUUUCUAGUUUAGUGUUUAGAAUUAGUUUAUUGGUUUGGCUUCCAAAGCUAUUAUUUUCUCAAUUUGACGUUCAGAGUCAUCAUCAUCACUUCUCAGCUUCGGCGUUCAGAGCCAUCAUCACUUUUUAGUUUCGGCGUUCAGAGCCAUCACCGUGUUUUCAGAUCGACAUUCAGAGUCGCAUCCUCGGUUUCGGCGUUCAGAUUCGUUAUCACUUCUCGGCUUGACGUUCAGAGUCAUCAUCAUCACUUCUCAGUUUCGGCGUUUAGAGCCAUCAUCACUUUUUAGUUUCGGCGUUCAGAGCCAUCACCGUGUUUUCAGUUCGGCGUUCGGCGUUCAGAGCCAUCAUCGGUUUUCAGAUCGACAUUCAGAGCCAUUCUCAUCACAUUUUCAGUCUCGGCGUUCAGAGCCAUCGUCACUCCUCAGUUUGACGUUUAGAGUCGUAUUCCUAGUUUCGGCGUUCAGAGCCAUCAUUAUCGUUUCUCAGUUUCAGCGUUCAGAGCCAUUAUUACUCCUCAGUUUGACCUUCAGAGUCGCAUUCCUGGUUUUGGCGUUUAGAGCCAUCACCGCAUCUUCGUUCGGCGUUCCGAGCCAUCACUUCUCAGUUUGGCGUUCAGAGCCAUCUUCGUUCUCAGUUUUGGCGUUCAGAGCCAUCACUAUUUUCAGUCUGGCGUUCAGAGUCGUCAUCACUUCUCAGUUUGGCGUUCAGAGUCAUCAUCGUUCUCAGUUUUGGCGUUCAGAGCCAUCACCGCAUCUUCGUUCGGCGUUCCGAGCCAUCACUUCUCAGUUUGGCAUUCAAAGCCAUCAUCGUUCUCAGUUUUGGUGUUCAGAGCCAUCAUCGCUUUUCAGUUUUGGCGUUCAGAGCCAUCACUAUUUUCAGUUUGGCGUUCAGAGCCUUCAUCACUUCUCAUUUUUGGCGUUCAAAGCCAUCAUCGCUUCUCAGUUUUGGCAUUCAUAGCCAUCAUCGCUUUUCAGUUUUGGCUUUCAGGAGCCUUCAUAGCUUUUCGGUUUCGGCGUUCAGAGCCAUCAUCAUCACUUCUCAGUUCUGCGUUCAGAGCCUUUCUCAUCGCUUCUUAGUUUCGACAUUCAAAAAUCAUCACCGUUCACAUUCAGGCGUUCAAAGCUAUCAUCCACAUUCAGAGUCACAGCUCCUAGUAUUCAUGUUCGCUAGCAUUACGCAUCCUGUCUUCACGAUUUUUACAUUCGUCCUCAUUUUCCUUACCUCGUUACCCUAUGCUCAUCGCUCAUUCAUCAUGCUCUUCUAGACCUCUCUUCCCUCUACUUUAGGGCAUCCUCUUACCUUUAUUUUGUUAGGGCUUCCCCAUACUUUUAGUUUGUUCAGGGCAUUCCCCUUUCUCGUCACUUUGUUUAGGGCAUCCCCUUACUGUCGCUUCGUUUAGGGCAUCCCCCUACUGUCGCUUUUGUUUAGGGCAUCCCCCUACCUUUAGUUCGUUUAAGGCAUCCCCCUACUUUCAGUUUGUUUAGGGCACCCCCCUUUCCUGUCGCCUUGUUUGGGGCAUCCCUCUUGUUUACUUUGUUUAAGGCAUCCGCCCACCGUAGGUCUUCACCUAUGGGCCUCCUAGUUUAGCUUUUAUAGUUAGCCUUUUGGUUUGGCUUCCAGAGCUAUUAUUUUCUAGUUUAGCGUUUAGAGUUAGCUUUUUGGUUUGGCUCCCAAAGCCGUUGUUUUUCUCAGUUUAGCGUUUAGAGUCAGUCCCAUCAUUCAGAGUUACAGCUCCUAGCAUUCAUAUUCACUGGCAUUGCACAUCUUACCUUCAAGGUUUUGCGUUCGUCCGCGGUUUUCCUCACUUCGUUACGCGGUGCUUAUCGCAUAUUCAUCUCGUACUCUAGGGUGAUUUGACCGUUACUCAUCUUUGAUAUGGUUUUUCGAGUCAUUUUUGGAGACGUCUUAGAGGGAGCCUAGGUCCUUAAUGUAGCUUUAGAGGCGCUUUGGGACAUCUUUUUCUCUGUUAGGGUUAGAGCCUUUGUGUUCAUCUGUUGGCUUGAGUGAGUUCUUAUUUUACUAGUGUCACUAUGGGGGUCUCCUUGGUUCUUCGGUAGAGUUCACUUCAUUCCACUCACUAUUCACAAUUUCUUUUCACUCUAGUGUUCAUAUUCCUUGCACUCGUGAACUCUAUCAAAGAGGGGCAUAUUUGUAGACCCCCUCAGUAGCAGCAGGUUUCUUUUUUUUAGAUUAUUAUUUUAUUCCCCUUUCUUUUGCUUUGUUUUUUUCGCUCUCUUCUUCAGAACCCGAGAAUGAGCUGGGGGUGGCAGCCAAAACAGGGCGGCCAUAGGACGAGAUGGGCAGGUUUUUUUACGGCGAGAGGGGACGGGGGUACGAAGAUGGUUGGGAGGGGAAGUUAAGAAAAAAAAAAAGAGGAAAAAGAGAGGAGAUAUCUCGUGAAAGGGGGGAAGCUGAGGAGAAACACGGGCCUGCAGGCUGGGAAGAGAGCCGGGGUGGGAAUUUCGGGUCCGAAGCUUGAGGAGAAGAGGUUUGAAGAAGUGACAAGAGAGAGAUUUGCGAGAGGGUAGAAAUGGGCGUCUCAAGCUGAGUUGAGGAGGAGUUUGAAGCUUCGGUCCAGGUAAGAUUUCUGCAUGUUUUAUAUACCUCAUUUUAGUUUGCUUUUUUCUAUUUCUUGUUAAUUUCGGUUCCUGCUUGGUGUUUAUUAUAUGGAUGGCGAGGCAUAUGAUGCGUUAGAGAGUGUGUGUAUUGGAUUGAGAUCAAUUAAAAGGGUGGAAAAGAUGUCUAAUUAUAUGAUUAGUAGUGGGUUUGGUCCGGAUGAGUAUUUGGGGAACAAGUUCUUGUUGAUGCAAGUAAAAUACGGGAUGAGGAUUGAUGCACAUGGAUUGUUUGAUGAAAUGCCAAUAAAGAACAUUUUAUGUUUUUUUUAACACCCCUGCACAUGAUUCUCCCAUUCAUAUUAUAUUUGCUUCAAAUCCCGGAAGCGACCCCCACUAGCGACGUUGAGCCGAAGCUCCUUGCCGGCGGCGACGAAGAGAAUGACAGGUUGCAAGCUUGCAUGGGGAGGUGCCUACAGCUGCUAUUGGUCUUGGAGGUUUGGGCCCCCAUGAUAGUGGAUUUGGGCCUGAGGUGAAGCCCCAAACCCAAAUAUGAUGGUGAAAAGGCUUGAGUCCUUUUGCUAACGGAUGUGGGCUUGGGAUGAAGCCCAAAUCCGAGCUUGAUGAUGGAAGGCCCCCAUGAUUUGUCCAUCCACUUUAAGACCGACCCAUACUUAUUUCAAGCUGGCCCAUCUGGUUGUUUCCACCUUAUAUAUUUCACCUUCUCUAAAUCACUCAUUUCUCAAUAAACUCUUUAAUUUCUAAUUUCCAAGCCCAACUUACAAAAAUUCAAUCUCCAAAUGACACUUCAAAAUUCAGAUUUUUAAUGUUUAAUUCCGAUUUCCGAAUUCUCAUAUUCCCAUUAAUUUAUUUGAUCAUUAGUAUUUCAUUUAUUUAUUUCAAAGCUCCAUUCUAAAUCAAAUUCUUCUAAAACUUCUGAUUACCGAAUUAAAUUCAAAAAAUUCCAAUAUUCGCAUUAAUUUAUUAUUGUUAUUUUAUUUAUUUAUUCUAAAAUUCCAUUUUAAACAAUUCAUUAAAAUUUCCGACUUUCGAAUUAAAUUUCUAUUUCUGAAAAUUCCAAUAUUCACAUUAAUUUAUUUAAUUAUUAUUAUUUUAUUUAUUUAUUCUAAAAUUCUAUUUUAAACAAUUCAUUUAAAAUUUUCAACUUCCAAUUUUAAUUUCUAAUUCUGAAAAUUCCAAUAUUCACAUUAAUUUAUUUAAUUAUUAUUAAUUUAUUUAUUUAUUCUAAAAUUCCAUUUUAAACAAUUCAUUAAAAUUUCCACUUCCGAUUUUAAUUUCUAAUUCUGAAAAUUCCAAUAUUCACAUUAAUUUAUUUAAUUAUUAUUAUUUUAUUUAUUUAUUCUAAAAUUCUAUUUUAAACAAUUCAUUUAAAAUUUUCAACUUCCAAUUUUAAUUUCUAAUUCUGAAAAUUCCAAUAUUCACAUUAAUUUAUUUAAUUAUUAUUAUUUUAUUUAUUUAUUCUAAAAUUCCAUUUUAAACAAUUCAUUAAAAUUUCCACUUCCGAUUUUAAUUUCUAAUUCCAAAAAUUCCAAUAUUCACAUUAAUCUAUUUAAUUAUUUUAUUCUAUUUAUUUAUUCUAAAAUUCCGUUUUAAACGGUUCAUUUAAAACUUUCGAUUUUCGAAUUAAAUUUCUAUUUCUGAAAAUUCUAAUAUUCACAUUAAUUUAUUUAAUUAUUAUUAUUUUAUUUAUUUAUUCUAAAAUUCCAUUUUUAAACAAUUCAUUAAAAUUUCCACUUCCACUAAUUCCAAAAUUCCAACAUUCACAUUAACCUAUUUAAUUAUUAUUAUUUUAUUUAUUUAUUCUAAAAUUUCAUUUUAAACAAUUCAUUAAAAUUUCCGACUCUCGAUUUAAUUUCUAAUUCCAAAAUUCAUAUUAAUCUAUUUAAUUAUUAUUAUUUUAGUUAUUUAUUUUGAAAUUCCAUUUUAAACAAUUCUUCAAAAUUCCAAUUUCUGAACUUAAUUUCUGAUCUCCAAAAUUCUAAUUUCUUUCAAAUUUAAUAUCCAAAAUUCUAAUUCUUAAAUUUAAUUUUUCAAGACUCCAAUCUUCAAAUAAUUUUCGAGGCUCUAAUUUCCAAAUAAAUUUCAAAAAUCCAGUUUUCUCUCGAAUAGCUUUAAUUCCACUCCGAUUUUUAAAUAAUGUUCUAUUUCUUUUGAUUUUUACACAAGCAAGAAUGAUGAAUCUUCAUAAUUCCGAAAUAAUGGGAUUCGUGAGAUUAAUUCGUGCAAUAUAAAUCGGGCUUUGGUGGGGCCCCACAUAUUUGAUUUUAUGACUGACUGAUUGAUUAAUUGAUUUAUUUACCAUGCUUGUUUGAUUUAUUUUGUUCCUUGAUAUGCACGUAAUUAUAUCUAUUCAUUGUUCACUAACCUUGUUUUAUGAUAGCGCAUGGUGGCUCACUGCCCAGGUACAUAUCUAUUCCCAUUCUGGUAUUUCUAUAUGCGUGCUUUGAUUCUCAUAUGUGCAUGAUAGUUCCGGGUAUUCAUUGAUUUCUUCAUCAAUUGCCAUGUCAACUUCAUUCUAUUAGUAGAGACCCGACUUUAGGGACUUAGAGGGGUGCUACGGUCUUCACCGUACCUUCCCGAUAAGUAACCUGACCUCCGAACCCGAUCCGGUUUUUCGUAGAUCACCUUUUCCAAAUAAGGAGUCAAACUUAGGGUUUUUCUUUCUUAUUUUGUUUACCCUUUAAAAAUAAAACAAAAAUAAGUGGCGACUCCAAAUCAUUUUUCUUAAUCAAAUAAAAAUCAAUUUUUCAAAUAAAAAUCGAGCUCGCCAUCGAGUGGGAAACGCAUGAACCGAAAUGCGGGGUCCACAGGUAUAUUUAUCCGUUACUAUUUCAUAUCCUUCAACUCAAUUUGAAGAGUUAUAGGGACCUUUUGUUAAUUUGGGGUCCAUCUACUCCAAAAGAUAAUUCUCUCUCAAAUGAAAAACCUACUUAAUAGCCCAACCCCAACCCUAGAGAGAUUUAAAACAAUCUCAUCCUUAGAUUAUGAAUAUAUAUCAACUUGAUUCUUUCACAGACAUGAAAUAAUAUUAUUUUUUUCCUUAGAAAAACAUUAUCAAUUUUUUUAUCCUCACUCCUAAUUAUUAUUUUUACAAAAUGCCCCCUUAUAUGUUUCAUUAAAUGGAAAUAACGAGAAGAAAUUAAUAAUAAGAAAUGAAUGGAAAAUUAGAGAAAAAUCAAGAAAAUCAUUUUUUUUUUAAAAGAAAAAGUUAUUAUAAAAAUACAUAGAAAGUGUUGAUGUCAUAUUAUCAGGUUCAGAGUUGUUUAUGUCACAAUGCCACUCUUCACAUGCUAUUGUUAGGUUUAUGGUUGUAGUGGCUUAUACAUGACCCAUCAAUUGACUUCGAUUUUGUUUCUUUAUUAUACCUAUAUCCUUGAAGAAAAAGUCUUAAUAGUGUGUUCCCUAUUCACUUUUCGGACGACAUGACAUGAAAUAUUAUAAUUUAUGUCAAACAACAAACAAACAAACAAGGUUAUAUUUAAAGUAUUUAAAGAGUGCAGGCUAUUUUUUUUCAAAUUCAGAAUUAACUUCAACUUCCCCACUUAACCAAAAUUUCCUGAAUAUAAAUAAAAAUUAUAAACUUGGAUAAAAAUAAAGUGAGGGUAGGAGAGGCCCCCUAAAAUUAAAGGCAGUGUCUGUGUGAGUGGUGGGCCUUGACAGCUGUGGACAUAAACAUCCUGUGAAUUUCUUGGCUGUUUUAUUGAUUAAAGAUGACCCAACUGGGGCUUGUUGGAUCACACAUUCAUUGUUUCCCAUCCUCAAUUUUUAUCACUCACCUCAUAUUCCAAAACAAAUCACAAAUCAAAAGUCAAUUCUCUUAAUGGGAUUGCCGGAUUGGACUCUCUUGUGUAAUGGUUUUCUUUUCAACCACCCAGUACUCAUUUCCAUUAUUAGCUCUUACCAAUUUUCGGGUCAUUUUUCUUCUGCUUACCCCUUCCAAAUAUUUCCAACUCAAAGUCAUGAAGAAGUCAGGACCCCUUUCUAGUUUGUCCUUGAACUUUGUCUCAGAGACAAAAAAAGAAAAUAACAAUAACAAUGUCUCUCAUAUAUUCUGAAACCUGAAAACCACCACGCAUUGAAACCCUAGUUUCACGAGGACUAUGAAGAAGAAAUAAACCAAAAAAAUAAGCAAGUGAACAUAGAUAGAUAAUACAUAUAUAUAUAUAAAGCCAUAUUAUUGCUAAUCCGCAUGCAUCAAUUUCAUACCCUAGGCUUAAUCUUGGCCCUUAGAGGGUUCUUCAUCACCACUGUGAAUUCCAACUUUUCACUAAAAUCAAUCUUACUGUUUUCAGGGUAUGCGCUCCACUCGAAGUCCUGCACCAUCCUUGCCAGCAUUAGGUUCACAUGCACGGUGGCCAUGCUCAAACCAGGGCAUAUCCUUCGCCCUACUCCGAAUGGCAUCAUUUUUACGCCGGUCACUCCGGUUAUAUCGGCGUCUUCACCGCCCAAGAAAAAGCGGUCGGGGUCGAACUUUUCGGGAUUCUUCCAUAGCUUGGGGUCCUCGGAGAUGGGUGGCAAGAAGAACUCGACAUUUGCGUCUGUGGGUAUGUCGUAGCCUGCCAACUUCGCUGGCUCUGUGACUGCAUGAGUUAGGGAAAAGUAGGUGGGAGGGUGUUUACGUAGUAGUUCUUUUGAAACUGCGUUUAGGUAAGGCAUCUUCUCCAUGUCUUUCUCUUGAACCUUACGAUCACCCACUGUUGUUUUGAUCUCUUCGUAUAGUUUUGACUGAAUCUCGGGGUUCUCGAUCAUUCGGGCAAUUGCCCACUCGACCGCCGUCCCUGUUGUGUCGGUGCCGCCAUUGAGGAACUCGGAGCAGAGUGUGACGAGCUCGGGGUUGGUUGGAGAUGAUUUACGCCCCUCGAUUUUGAGAUCGAAGAUCGUGUCGAGGUAGGAAAAUGAAGCCGCGGUUUUAUCUGAUCCUGGGUUUUCAAGCGCCGCACGCCGCCUCUCGAUGAAGGGGACAACAGUUUUGAUCUGCCUCUUCCGCACUUCCGUGGCGGCUUUCCUCUGCUUUGAGAAGAAUGGGCUUAGAAGUGGGAGAUAGUCAUCAAGUCUUGGAUCAAGAGUGAUUAGAACAGUUUUCAUCAGAUCAUCCAUCACCUCAAUGGUCUCCUCAUCCAUUUCGACUCCAAAACACAUAGACAAAAGGAUGCAAAAAACAGCAAAUCGAGCAUUCUUCAGAACCCAAACAGCUCCAUCAUUAGCCUCAGCCUCGCUCCGUAGCCUGUCAAUGAGCUUAUCCAUGGACACAUCUCUCAAAUUGCUGAACUCCCUAAUCUUGCUUGCACUGAGCAUGUUUUGCACCAUGUUCCUCCGCAGCGACCGCCAGACAGGGCCGUAGACGGCAGCGUUCACCGUGAACUUGUUGCAGCUGAACACGGUGCGCGUAGGGUUUUCUCGAGGCCUGCUAGCGAAAGACUGGCCCUUUUCGAUGAGAGCUUCGUGCGCCAAUUCUGCACUGCUUAUUAUGAUCAUGGUUCUAUUCCCCAUCUUCAAAGUGAAAAUUGGGCCAUAUUUUGGCCUAAGCUCUCUCACAUACUGAAAAAAUUGCUUCCCAGAGCGAGCAAAUUGGAAGAGGUUUCCAACAAUAGGCCAACCAGGGGGUCCCGGAGGAAGGUUUAGCUUCUUUGACUUGGUUUUACGUGACAGCAAGACGAUCAGACCUGAUAUGAGGAAGGCUAAAGCAGUGAAGAAGAUGUGGUAGUAAGGAGAAUAAGUCGAAGAAGCAGCAGCAAAAGCAGGAGCCAUGGAGAUGGUGUUGAGACAGAGAAAGAGAGAAGGCAGGAGGAGAAGAGGAGAUGAAGUAAUGGAGGAAGGUUGGAGAGGGGUAUAAAAUGGAGAGGGCGUGAAAUUGCAGGUGGGGUUCAAUUAAGGCUCUUCAAGUCUUCUACCAACGCACAACUGGUUGUGUUAAAUGCUAAAGAGAGAGAGAGAGAGAGAGAGAGAGAGAGAGAGAUGGGGUUUUGAGAAAUAUGGAAAACCAGUGACACUGACGCCCCUCAUGCAAGCAAUGUCUUUAUGGCCACAAAUUUCUUAUUGUCUCUCAAAUUUGAACUAAAAAAUUAGACUAAAUUAAGAGUUUUGGUAAGGUUGAAGAAAUUUAUGGUGGCCCUCUGAAUCUGGUGUGCCAAGCCUUUGAUUGGGAUUCAUUGAAUAAAAACGGUUCAUAAAUGAACUCUACCCUUGAGUCGGAGGCCACUACUGGAUGGAGCAUUUCACAGUAAGAAAAAAAAAACAGAAAAUAAAUGGAGUUGGGGUUGGAAAAUGGUGAGUUACAGUCUUUUAGUACUUGCAUCUACUGCUGAAACUUGACCUCAAAAGGAUUAAUUGAUUCAUGAGAGUAGGAGGUGUAGACUACAGAGUCUGUCAUGGUUCACAGUUCAAAGAGAUUGAAAUAUCGAGGAAGAGAAUGAAAAGAGAGUCAGUGAUGAGUUAGUUGAGUAGGAUCAGAGCCACCUGUACAAUAAUACCAUGUAGACCAGCACUGCGACGGGACUGAGAUUCAUCUCAUCUGUCACUAGUCAGUCAUGGUACAUUAGCUUAUUUUGAUUUAAACUGCUUUACGUGUUCCAGGUUCGUACACCAUUUUGCCUUAUUUGGAGCCCAUGGUUUGCUUUAAAGAAUUGAUUUUCUCUUUAAUUCUCCUCUUAAUAUGCCUUAAAGAGUGCCAAAAAAAUAAAAAAAAUUCACUAACCUUUUCUCUCAAAAAACGGUUUCUCAAAACAGUUUUUAAAAACAUUCUCUCAUGUUUUUUUUUGUUAACACAAAAAAUUGUCCCAAACCGAAAAUAUUCUUAAUAUAUUUUGUAUGUUUUCAUAUAUUUCUUAAAGGUAAUUAUUUUUGUUAAAGUUUGGUUAUUUGAAUUCUAUUUGAUCAAACUUGAAAAGCCCGUGGUACGAUACAUAUGAUGAAAUUAUAAUUAUGAGAUUUUUUUGGAGUUUUAUAAUAGUAAUAGAGAAAUUAAGAGAGUGUUUGAUACUAAUUCUAUGAAGUAUUUUUAAUCUUUUUAAUAUAUAAAUUUUUUUAUCUUUUAAGUAUUAAAAAAAAGUAGAAAGAUAUUCUAAAAUCAUUAUCAAACAUACUUUAAGUGUGGGAUAAUGUAAUUUUAGAAUUAUGAUGAUUAUGCUUUUUUGUAAUUGCUCCCAAUCUUAUGAUACUUUUUUGAUAUAAUGAAUUUUUUUUAUUUUGUUUAUGAUUUUUCUUGUUUAGAGUUUUUCACAUAAAUUUAUAUAUUUUUAUUCUAUUUUUAACUACCUAUUCUCAUUAUUGUGGAACAUUUUUUAUUUUUAAAAAUAAAAAAUAUAUAUAUUUUUAAAAGAAGCUCGCAAAGAGGAUUGUCAAAUUCAGUGAAAAUUGAAUUCCAAGUGGGGAGAAGGCAUCCAUCCAGCACAGUAAGAGUCCAAUAAAUGGCACCCAUGACAAAGGGCAUAGGGUCGGAAGGAUUGUGAUUGAAGAUGGGGAUUAUUUUCUUCUUUUAAAAAUAAACUGACUGACAAGAAACUCAACAGUUGCAAGUACUUCUACUACUUCUUUCCUGAAAUAUAAAAAUAGGUUUGUUUGUCUGCAUAGUUUUUUAAUUUACUGUUGAAAACAAAUUUUAAAAUUAUUUUCUGACUGAAUCAAUUUCAGAAGACUUGUCACGAUGAUUCAAAGAUUGCAAGGACUUCUACCAUUGAAACAUCCGAAAACAAUAUGAUGGUCCUUUCUCUUUUGCCUUCGAAAAUAGUUAAAGAUAUGUUAUUUUAAAAAAAAAUAAAAUUAUGUUUAUUUUCAUUGACAAAAUUAAUAGACCCAAAAUAUUAGAAUUAUUAGUAUAUACUUAUACUUGGGCAUAAGUUUUGUCCAACGAAAUGUUGAAAAAGAAUCCUCCAUGCUCACAUUAAAAUCCCAAAGAAAAUACCUCAUGAUAAGAAGAAAAUUGUUAGUUAGAUUACUUAUAAUUUUUUUUAAAAAUAAUUUUAAGAAAAAUCUUGAGGGUAAUAGAAAGGAGGGGAAAUCAUGCAACCAUCCAUUAUCUAAAAAAAAAAAAUUGCUUUUUAAUAUAGACUUCAUCGAUCACCUACAAAACUAAGCUUUAUAGCACAUACUUCAUAGUAUAUAAAGGAAAAGCUAAUCAUAUUUAAUAGAAGAGGUUGAAAGAAUUUUCCAUUUAAACAAACAUCCAAGAUAAUAUUCUCAAUUCUUGAUUCAUAAUAAGAUGGUAUAUAAUAUUAAUUAAUUUGUGAGCUUCCACAAAGAUAUUAUGUUUGUUAGUGUGUGUAUUACAUUGCCUAUGAUUAACAAUUUGAAUACAUAUAUAUCCUGAGAUCUAGUCAUUAGUGGGAUCCAUUCCUGCUAAGGUUCUAUGUAUUGCUCAUCUUGGGUUUGUUUGUGAGCUCUUGUCUAGAGUGAAGUAUAGAUUAAUUAAUACAAUUUUUUCAUAUUUUGUUUUGAAAAUAUAUUAUUUUUAAAAUUAAAUAAAGAUAUUUUUCAGUGUUUUUUUAAAGUAACGUUAUAAAGAAUAUUUUGAACAAUUUUAGAUUGUAAAUAAAUACAUUAUAGCUUUAUAGAAUGUAAGCUGAAAAUAAUAAUUUUUAUAUUUAAAUUCUCAAAUAGAAUUUUAUUCUUAAAGAUAAUUGAAAAUUGUUUUUAAAAAAUGUCUUUCAAUAUGUUUUACACACAAUUUUUUCUUCAAGAAAAAUCAUGCUCAGUGGAAUUGGAUUUUUAUUGAUUUGUAGAAUGAUAUUGGAAUAAUCUUUAAAUUUUUCAUAUUUAAAUUCUUAACAAAAUUUUAUUUCUCAAGAAAAUUGAGAAUUGUUUUUAAAUAGUGUUUUUAGAUAAUUGGUCAAGUUGGAUUUUUAUUAAUUUGAAAAAUGAUAUAGCUAGAAUUUUUAUUUUGUUCUCCAAUUCUUCAUUUCCUAGUUGUUAAUCAAGGACCAAAAAAUGUUUGAUUUAGAAUAGCUUAAACCUAAUUUAGACCUUGACUUAAUUUAAUUUUGAGUCUUGACUUAACAUAGAUUCCGACUUAAUUUGGAUAUUGAUCGAAUUCGAACCUAUGUUUAACUUAGGUUUUGGUGUAACUAGGACCUUGGCCAAACUUGAGUUUUGGCUUGACUUAAACAACAUCAAGGACUUUGAGUAGUUUGAUCUCAAAUUGUAGAAGCCUUUUGUAGAUUUUCAUUUUAAAAGUUGAAACUUAAGACUUUGAAGAUCUUAACAAUUCAAAGAUACUUUAAAAAAAAUUGAAGACUUAUAUCUCAUUUUAAUUUUGAAAUAGUGUUGAAUCUCCCAUAAAGAGUUUCCUCUAACUCUUAUCUUCUAAAUUGUCUUUAAAUUACCUUGUCAAUGCUUUGCAGUUGGUUUAAGUUACAUGGAUUAGAAAAAAUCAUAUUUAGAUCAUUUUUUAUUUUUUAUAAAUAUUAUUUCUUAAUUAAAAUAAAUAUAUAAGGAGAUUUGAAGGACUAUAUUGGAUAGUUUCAACAUUUUAAAAUAUUAUUCUUUAAAUUAAAAAUAAUAUCUAAGCUAAAUUGAAAGACUAUAUUUGAUAACAUUCAAUUUAUUUCUUAGUAAAACUUGAUAAUUAUUUUUUCGAUUAUCAAUUUACUAUUUCUAUUAAUUCUAAUAACUUUUCUUUUCUUUCGGUUUUUCUUUUUUUUUUUGGAGAUUCAUGCUAACUUUUUCAUGGAUUGAAAAUUUAUUUCAUGUGAUCACUUAUAAUUAACCACAAUAUAAAUCAAUUAUGAACAUUUGAUUUUUCUUGUGAAUUAUAAUUAACUUAAUUUGAGUAUAUAAUAAAAAGUUGUUCAUAAACACAAGUGUACACACAAAUUUUCGCGAAUUGUCUACAAUCUCUGUGAUAAUAUUCUUUACAAAAGAAUAUAUCCCUCUGGUUCUUUCACUUUGAUCACAAUUUGGAAGACGACAAUGAUGUUUUCUUGAUUUCGAAGAUCAGUUAAGGGUCAUAAGUGACUUAUUCUCGAAUGAACUUGUUGAAUGACAAAGCUCGCGUGUGUAGAACUUUUAUCGUUUCUUGAAAGGGAGAUUUUUGUGAAACCCUUUUUUUUAUGAAGCAUCUUUUCCCCUAUAGAGUAGUUUUUUGCCAAUCUAAAGAAGUCCAUACGUCGAAGGAAAUCACCCAUUUUUAUAGGUGAAAAUAGGAAAUCAAAAUUUGGAAUUCCCUAAGAUGUAGUUGCUUGAUUUUAACAACUUGUCUUCUCCAUUAAGGAAAUUUGUCAACAAGAGAAUAUAUAUAUAUAUAUAUAUAUAUAUAUAUAUUUUGACUUCAAGAGGAAUAUUUGUUUCUUUAAAAAAAAAAAAUUGUCAAUUAGAGAAUAUUUAUUUAUUUAUUUUUUAUUUUCUUUUGACAAUAAUUUGGAAGAUUUGAUUUUAUUUGGAAGACUAAAUUUUGUAGUCUUCCAAAUUGGUCCACAUGCCACCUUUUUAACAUAUGCCAAGUGUCAAAUAUGUGUAAGACCAAUCAUGUGUAGAUCCCAUAUUUUGUUGAAUCGAGGAGUCACAUUUUUUUUAAGAUCAAUUUAAUGAUAAUUUAUUUCACUAAAAAUUUUUAUGUCUACAAAUGCUCCCACUUCAAGACAUAUCACGUACAUGCCUUGCAAUGUAUAUGGUGGGUCUUGAAGUUACUCUUCAAAAUUUUUCUUUUCAAAGAAAUAUUUUUAAUAGGAAGUUUCCUAUUUAAAAUAUCUCUUUCCCACUUUUCUGAAAUAUUAUUUUAUUUCAUUUCUUUCUUUCCAUUUGGCAUCAAAGGAAGGUUUUGUGUUAAUAGGAAAGUUUCUAUUUUGACUAUCCACUUUCACUUCCCAUCCUUUCCAAUUUACCCCCUUUAUAUAUAUAUAUAUAUAAAGGGGGUAAAAAUUUGAGAAAUCCAAAUCGAACUCUCUUGAAGAAUUUUCUCAAUCUUUGGACAGUCUUCAACCCAAUUUGAAAAAUCUGACUUGAAUUCUUUCACGAGAAGUCUUUCACCUUAAGCCAAUUUCCAAACCCGUAAGUUGUAUUUUAUUUUAUUUUUAUUUUUAUUUAUUUUUACCUUUAAGGACUUCUAUCGUGGGAACGUGGAGAUUUAACAAUAGUAGUGUGGACUAGUAUCAUGUGAUGGAGUAGCAUGUUUUGGGAGUGAACGAAGACAAUAUCAUGUUGUGGGUUAUGCAGAAGCAACCAACAUAUACAUAUAUGUAUACGUACAUAUGAAUGGCUAACAGUGGGAACAAACAAAGAAAGCAAUUGAAAUAUAUAUAAAUAAAUAUAUAUAUAUAUAUAUAUAUAUAUAUAUAUAUAUAUAUAUAUAUAUAUAUAUAUAUAUAUAUAUAUAUAUAUUGGAAUCUUCCUAGAAAUUGGUUGACACGUGAUCUCCUUAUUCGUUUUUCUUUUCUUUUCCUUACUUUUUUUUCUUUUUUUUUUCUUUUUUUUUUAGGAAGGAAAAGUUCCACGAUCCCAAAGACGUGUCAAUCUCCAUCGCUUUGCAAAGAUGAAUUUGGCUUUAGAUAUUUUAUAUAUAUAUAUAUAUAUAUUUUAAUUACCUUAACACUUGAGGAAGAAUUUUUUUGGUAAACUUAAAUAUCCAUAAGAAUUUAUGAAUAUUUAAAACUUGAUCCUCAUGUAAUCAAGUUGUAGUCCUUAUGUGAAGCAGUGUUGUAUUUUGACAUUUAUAUGCUAAAGUCUUCACCCAUGCAGAUUGCCUUGACUUAAAUGUAUAGUGGUGUUCAAGUUUUAAUAUUUAAUUAAAACUAUAACAAUAUUUGACACAUGCAAACAAGUUAUGGCCCUAACAUCAUGCAAUGUUAUACUUUCGGCACUUAAUGCGGCUUAGGUGCUAAGGUUUUUACUCAUGCAGAUUGACUCGACUUGAAUGCAUAAUGGUAUUCAAGUUUUAAUAUUUAAUUAAAACCAAAAUAAUAUUUGACACCUAUGCAGACAAGUUGUCUUUAUGCUACGUGUGUUGUACUUUCAAUACUUAGUACGAGAUAAGUGUUAAGGUCUUCACUCAUGCGAAUUGGAGUAACUUGGAUGUAUAAUGGUGUUUAACUUCUAAAAAAAUUAGACCCACAUUUUAUUUUAUUUAUUUUAUUAUUAUUAUUUUUUUGCAGGAUAAUAUUCUUCAAGUAUUUCAAGGAAAAGACUGUGACCAUUCUCAAGGAUGAUAGUGAAGAUUUUUAGGAGAGAACUACCCUGUCAGUGCAUAAGUCACUUACUGACCUUCAAUCCUUGUUGGUGCUAGUGACAAAGGAUCCAUUACACAUUUCUUCUUGGUCUCGAGUAGCAUCUUGCAAGCUUACUGAUUCGUGCCCACUUGGUGUGUCAGCUGAUUCAUGUCCAGCUGGUGCUUCUUGAUUGAGGGAGUAAUCAACAAAAUUUAUAACCUAUUACACCAUGAACUAGGGUAGCAAAGACAAAGCUACUAUAGCAUAGUGGCUCUAGGAUCGUUCACUGGGAUGAGAUUUCACUCCAUAAUUGAUAUUAAUUCAAAGAUGAAUUGGUGCCUUUUCAUUUCAAGGUUAGCUUUAAAAGAAAACAUAAAGAUGUUUGAAAAAGGAUUGGUUUUAAGCUAACCAAAAAUAAUAACUGAUUUUACUUACAAAGAAAAGUGUUUCUUGGAGUUAAGAUCACUGGGUUCAGAUUCCUCAUAUAAAAAGGAGAGUUCCAGUCACUUGUUUAUUUUCCUCGCAUUGAGGAUUUAACCUAUAGUUAUUUCCCGAACCGGUGUGGUACAGAUGCUUCCCAUUAAUGGGUUCAAACACUAAAUCCCUCUCACUGAUGCAACUUGCAAUGACUCAUACCUCUCACCUAACACUUGCCAUUCAAGGUGAUCUUUAACCUUGGAUUACCCGUCAAAAGCUCGCAAGAGAUAACUAAUGGAUGUCUCCUUUAAGUCCAAAAGCUUACCAAGUGUUGGCUAUUCUAGAAAAUCCUACCUUCAAACCACCUCCCAAAGGCUCGCAAGAGAUAAACUAGUGCAUCUCAAUGGAUGGAGAUCACUUGCCUUACCAAGUGUUGGCCCAGGUGAUUUAAAGGCGUUUUAAGUUAACUAAAAAGAUAAAAACCAUUAACGAGUCACACUUUCUCUUCAUUAAAAACUAAAACAACAAAACUUCCAAUUUAUGUAUGUGGAAACUUACCCGGCUUUCUUUACUCCAAGAGACAAAGAGCCUAGCCUCUCAUCCUCUGAGAAAAAAUCCUCAGAGUUUGAUUGGCUAGAAAGAAAAAGAAUAAGAAAACAAAAAUAUAUAUGAAAAACAGAGCAAGUGCUCUGUAUUUUACUUCCUUGCAAAACUGUACAAAGGAUGCGUCUCUGAGAACAAGCUCCCAGAUUUUUCAUACCUCUAAGAACAAGCUCCCAGAGAUUACAUACAUUUUCUAAAGAAGAUUACAAACUAUCUAUAAGGGGUUAUUCACCCUUUGUUUUUACUUAAAGACUAAGGAAUCCUAUGAUAGGUGGGUUACAAGGAGACUUUGGGGAUUUAGACAUCAAAUAUCUAAAGCAAAAUAUCUCAAAAUGUCGGUCGCACAUAUCGGGAAUUUAGACAUUAAAUAUCUAAAGCAAAAUAUCUCAAAAUGUCAGUCGCACAUAUCGGGAAGCUUCAGGAGAACACAGCGGCACUGUACAAAAUGGCUGUGAAACUCUCCGGGUAAGGGCUAUCAGAUGAUCCGGAUAUGUCCAUCCGGGGAAGUUGAAACGCCCUCCUUUCCCAUCCGGCGUCAGGCGCCGGAUGUGAAACAUCCGGAGAAGGUGGCACGUCACCCGGACAUAAUUCCGGAUGUGGGAUAUCCGAAGAAGAUGGAACGUCGCAAGGGUGACCGUUCACGUGUGCAUGGUGUAGGGACCCAUCCGGAGCAACUCCAUCCGGAUUCCCCAAGAGGAUACGCAGCGCGCUCCCUUAUCCGGACUCCCUCAGGGAGAAGCACGUGGCACUCGUGAUCAUCACACCCAGAUGAUAGCAUAUCUUAUCUGGAUAUGUUGUCCGGAUCAUUGACUUAAGUGCACAAGCCUUGCUACGUCAUUCCGACAGCCUGCCACAGCCCAUGUUUCGCCGCCCUCUGAUGAUGUGUCCGAAUGCCCAUACUCCUUGCAUUCCGGAUUUGCUUAUGGCAAAGGACUUCAAAGCUUCGGCUCUUCAUGUUUCUGAGCUUUCCUUUGCUUUGCCAUGGAUUCCAAAGAAUUCUCCUCAAUCUCGAAUUUGAUUUGGUGAUCAAAAAGCUAUCAAAACACCAAAACUUAACACAAUUUGAUUAGAAUUGAUUGCAAGGGUCCUUAAUAUGUUAAUUGGGUUAAAAGGUGAUAACUACUACUCAAAAGUGUUUAAAAGAGUUAAUUACAAGCUAUGAAAUAGCACUUUUUGAGUAGUAAUCACUUACAAACAUUAAUAAUUCAAAAUUCAACAAAGUAAAACUUGUUUCUAAUGUUAUACUAUUGAAUUCUUCUCACCUAACCACUACUGAAACUCAAAGUGAAUUUGGAUUGUUGGGAUCUCAUGUUCAUGAUGGAGAAGUCGAAUGAGGAACCUCCUUUAAGGUGCUUGGGGAAUCUUUUUUUAUUGAAGGAUAUUGGGAAUGGGUAGAAGAUAUGUUUGGUUAACAGAGAAAACUUCUUAAAGAAAACAAACUUUACGAAGAUAUAUUUGCUUCUUUGUUUAGCUAUGAUCAUCAUACUUCUAUUAUCAGAGUUUUUUUGCAAACAUUGAUGUCCUUCAACUAAUACCUUGCAUAAUUCUAUUGGAGAGGUUUUCAUCUCCCUUUGGGACUUAUAUCGCAUUGUUGGGCUACAUAUCAUUGGAUAUUUUUAUGAUGAAAUGGUAUUGACUACAGAAAGGCUAUCAAAGUCCUCACUCUCACCAAGUUGUCAAAACUUGUUCCUUGCAUAUCAUCAAAUUUGCUUUGAGAUGAAGAGGAAGUUUUUAGUUAAGAUAGCCUCUUGGGUGUUGUUUUGGUUCAAAGACUCUAUGAAGUAUGCAAAAUCCCUAAAGAAUAGUACAAGGAACAAGACACAGAGACUUAAGGAGACUCAUAAUCCUUUUGGGAAUGUUGAUCCUCUUGAAUCUUAUAAUUAGUCAGAGAUGAAGGUGUUUGACGACCUUGGUAUGGCUAAGGUAAAUAUUGAGGAAACCUAUUUUACGAUACGACUUUCCUUGUAUGUUGGUUAUGCAAGUUUGUUCUUCUUAGGGAGGGUGUGAAUUUGAUUCGUCAUGGAGUCUUCAAGGAAGCUAGUAGAAUGGCUCAAGGUGAGACAUUAACCUUGUUAUUCCGGUGUUAGCAAGCAUUUACAAUGGCUUGAAUGAAAUUGUUUGUUCCUCAAAGCCUAGGACUAAUGCAUCUAUUUUCCUUAUUCACUAUUUAUAUGGAUAGUUAGGCGAAAAUUUUGAUACCCAUUUCUUCUUUUCUUCUUGGAAUCAUUCUCCACGGAUGACUUGUUAUGUCAAUGAGUUUUUUGCUAAGUCUUUUGAAGAUUCACAAGCGUGGGCUUUGAUAAUAUCUUGCAAAGGUGUAAAGUUGAACCACUUGGUAUUGCAGUACAAAGAGCACAUGUAUUGGAUUGAUAAUGAGUCUAUUACUACUACCCAAACUUCUUAUCUCUUAAGUCUUCGCUUUACCUAUUUAUCUUUACGAAAAGGUAACCAUUGAGUAAUUCAACUGUAUUAUCCUCGCCGAUUUUGUAGACAAUUUGGGCAUCCUCAAGAUGUUCCUAGGGGUUUACUAGAGGUUUUUCGCACUAGAACUUUAGAGGUGGUGUAUAAACAUUGGAAGUCAUGCACUAGGCUUGGCACCCACUCCAAAAUUACUAUGCCAAAUUAUCAUAGUCUUGACGAGUUCUCAAUCACCAAGGCUUAUGCAGAUUGGUGGAUUGGAAUGUGUAAUCUUGAGAAGAACAUGCUUACUAUUACUUGUAUAGAGCCCCCUCAUGUUCUUCUCUACAAAUACCCUCAAAAUCUUUGGAGAGUAGAACAUGCAAGAUCAACCCAAGUGUUUCUACUAAGAGCAAUGUUGGGGACAACAUUGAGGGAAACUUUGAUAAUUUACCUAAUGACUUAAGAGUUUCUUCUAAGCACUCAAUGGGUGGUCAUCAAACUAAUGUUUUCACACACUUGGAACAUGAAGGAAUUAUCUUUUAUGGUGGUAAUGCUCACUAUCACCAAACUUUUAAGCAAAUCAACAAUGCAGAGGUUCUUCAUGUAUCUAGUGACGGCUCCAAGGAUAUAAGUGAAUGUCAUUUCAAACAUCGAAAGACUAGACCCUCCCUUAUGUACUAUGAUGAGACUAACUCUCAUGCAGAUGUUUUCUUUGCUGAUGCUCCAUCUUCUACUCAACCAAUGGAACUUAGUGGUGAAAAAGGUUUUUUGUUUUUGUUUUUUUUUUUUAACACGUCGAUGUUAACAAAAAAAAAAAAAAAUCGCCUUAGGAUGAAGAUGACAAUCAGCUUAUCGGUGAGGAUAAUGAUUCUUUUCUUAAAGGCCAGUUUGAAAAUGUUGAUAGCACUAAGGUUCUAUGUAUUGCACAUCUUGGGUUUGUUUGUGAGCUCUUGUCUAGAGUGAAGUAUAGAUUAAUUAAUACAAUUUUUUCAUAUUUUGUUUUGAAAAUAUAUUAUUUUUAAAUUAAAUAAAGAUAUUUUUGAGUGUUUUUUUAAGUAAUGUUUUGAACAAUUUUAGAUUGUACAUGAAUACAUUAUAGCUUUAUAAAGUGUAAACUGAAAAUAAUAAUUUUUAUAUUUAAAUUCUCAAAUAGAAUUUUAUUCUUAAAGAUAACUAAAAAUUGUUUUUAAAAAAUGUCUUUCAAUAUGUUUUACAUACAAUUUUUUCUUCAAGAAAAAUCAGGCUCAGUGGAAUUGGACUUUUAUUGAUUUGUAGAAUGAUAUUGGAAUAAUCUUUAUAUUUUUCAUAUUUAAAUUCUUAACAAAAUUUUAUUCCUCAAGAAAAUUGAGAAUUAUUUUUAAAUAGUGUUUUUAGAUAAUUGGUCAAGUUGGAUUUUUAUUAAUUUGAAAAAUGAUAUAGCUAGAAUUUUUAUUUUGUUCUCCAAUUAUUCCUUUCCUAGUUGUUAAUCAAGGACCUAAAAAAGUUUGAUUUAGAAUAGCUUAAACCUAAUUUAGACCUUGACUUAAUUUAAUUUUGAGUCUUGACUUAACAUAGAUUCCGACUUAAUUUGGAUAUUGAUCUUAUUUGAAUCUUGGUUCAACUUAGGUUUUGGUGUAACUAGGACCUUGGCCAAACUUGAGUUUUGGCUUGACUUAAACAACUUUGAUCUCAAAUUGUAGAAGCCUUCUUCAGAUUUUCAUUUUAAAAGUUGAAACCUAAGACUUUGAAGAUCUUAACAAUUCAAAGAUACUUUAAAAAAAAUUGAAGACUUAUAUCUCAUUUUAAAAUUUGAAAUCGUGUUGAAUCUCCCAUAAAGAGUUUCCUCUAACUCUUAUCUUCUAAAUUGUCUUUAAAUUACCUUGUCAAUGCUUUGCAGUUGGUUUAAGUUACAUGGAUUAGAAAAAUCAUAUUUAGAUCAUUUUUUGAUUUUUUAUAAAUAUUAUUUAUUAAUUAAAAUAUAUAUAUAUAUAUAUAUAUAUAUAUAUAUAAGGAGAUUUGAAGGAUUAUAUUGGAUAGUUUUAACAUUUUAAAAUAUUAUUCUUUAAAUUAAAAAUAUUAUCUAAGCCUAGGACUAAUGCAUCUAUUUUCCCUAUUCACUAUUUAUAUGGAUGGUUAGGAGAAAAUUUUGAUACCAAUUUCCUCUCUCCUUCCUAGAAUCAUUCUCCACGGAUGACUUAUUAUGUCGAUGAGUUUUCUGCUAAGUCUUUUGAAGAUUCACAAGUGCGGGCUUUGAUAAUGUCUUGCAAAGGUGUAAAGUUGACCACUUGGUAUUACAGUACAAAGAGCGCAUGUAUUGGAUUGAUAAUGAGUCUAUUACUACUACCUAAGCCUUUUAUCUCUUAAGUCUUUGCUUUACCUAUUUAUCUUUACGACAAGGUAACCAUCGAGUAAUCCAACCAUAUUAUCCUCAUUGAUUUUGUAGACAAUUUGGGUAUCCUCAAGAUGUUCUCGGGGGUUUACCAGAGGUUUUUGCACUAGAACUUUAGAGGCGGUGUAUAAACAUUGGAAGUCAUGCUCUAGGCUUGGCACCCACUCCAAAAUUACUAUGCCAAAUUAUCAUAGUCUUGAAGAGUUCUCAAUCACCAAGGCUUAUGCAAAUUGGUGGAUUGGAGUGUGUAAUCUUAAGAAGAACAUGCUUAGUAUUGCUUGUAUAGAGCCCCCUCAUGAUUCUUCUCUACAAAUACCCUCAAAAUCUUUGGAGAGUAGAACAUGCAAGAUCAACCCAAGUGUUUCUACUAAGAGCAAUGUUGGGGACAACAUUGAGGGAAACUUUGAUAAUUUACCUAAUGACUCAAGAGUUUCUUCUAAGCGCUCAAUGGAUGGUCAUCAAACUAAUGUUUUCACACACUUAGAACAUGAAGGUACUAUCUAUUAUGGUGGUAAUGAUCACUAUCACCAAACUUUUAAGCAAAUCAACAAUGCAUAGGUUCUUCAUGUAUCUAAUGAUGGCUCCAAGGAUAUAAGUGAAUGUCAUUUCAAACAUCGAAAGACUAGACCCUCCCUUAUGUACUAUGAUGAGACUAACUCUCAUGCAGACGUUUUCUUUGCUGAUGCUCCAUCUUCUACUCAACCAAUGGAACUUAGUGGUGAAAAGGUUUUUUGUGUUUGUUUUUUUUUUUAAAACAUCGAUGUUAACAAAAAAAAAAAUCGCCUUAGGAUGAAGAUGACAAUCGACUUAUUGGUGAUGGCGAUGAUACUUUUCUUAAAGGCCAGUUUGAAAAUGUUGAUAGGACUAAGGGGUUGACGUCCUUCAACUAAACUAUCCAAUGAGAAGAUCAUUUUAUCAUUCCAACACCCUUACCCCAUUUUCAUUUGGGUGAUGAAGGUAUUACUAACAUUUCAAGUAAUGUUUUGAUUGAAUCUUGAUGUUAAGAGGCCACCAUUGAAAAUACCAUAUAUGAUGAAUUGACACUUUUAACUAUUGCAGGUUUAAUUGCUAAACAACAAUCCCCAUACUCUGAUACACCUCCUAUGGCCCCUUCUGAUUUUAUUCACAUAUUUGAUAUGGAAUAAAUUGUCUUUGAUGCACAAUGUUAAGCAACACGCAUGAUAAGAGAGAGCAUUAAGAAAAUGAUUCUAAAAAAUUCCAUUGAUCAUUUCUCAUUACUGAAAGGAAAAAUUGAUGAGCUUUUUAGGGCUAUUAUGAAGACCGACGUAGACUCUUCACCAUUAAAGUCUUAGAUUCAGAAGUACAUGAAAAGUAUAGAUCACUUUGUUGCAGUGCAAUGUGCCAACUCUACUAAGAUAUCAUUUGAAGUAAAAAACGAGCGUUUGAUUAUUAUUGCAUCUCAGAUUGCUAAUGCUUUAAACUCUGAAACUGUGGAGGCAAGGCAUUGUGAAUUAUUAAAGACUGACUUAGUUACUCUUGAUGCUAAGCAAGACGCGCUUAAGAAGGAGUUGGAACAACUAGGUAUACAAAGAGAGUGCCUUUAUAACUCAAUUUUGGAGACUGAUGAGAAUUUAGUCAAUAAGUAGAAUGAUAUUUCUCGUUUGAGGCAAGAACACGUUGCUAUCGCCCAAAACCCUUGUGCUUACUGAUGUCGAUGUCAAGACCUUAGAGACACUUUAAGAAACCUUAAAAACUCAACGUGAUGAGCUCGAAUGCUUGGUGUGGGUGUGAUUGUUGUGCCUUUAGUUCCACCAUCCAUUUUCUUCUUUCAUUUUUAUUGAAAUGUAAUAAGUUUAGCAUUUGCUAUCCAAACUUAUUUAUAAAAUGAGGUUUUUUUUUGUUUUUUUUUUUUGUUUAAGUGAUUCAACUUAGGUAGUUUCCCCAAGUUGCCUACGUAACCUUCAAAGAGAAGAGAUCAAGUCAAAUGUAGUUCAUUUUAUUAUUAUUAUUAUUAUUAUUACGCUUUAACUUUUGAUAAGACUAAAAGAGAGUUUUAAUCUUGCGAGCAUCUGUCUUAACUUUUGCCUAAGUCACCUUUUCAGGUUUUCAACUUAGCGGACCUUUUUUUUUUUUUUUUAUUGUGUCGUAUGUAGUUUAAGUUCAUGUAGAGUAGGAAUAACACUUGUCUUGAGUUUGAUCGAAGGGUGAUAAAUUCAUGUCCUUGGAAAAAAAUUUAAUUGAGGGUCAAAGAGGACUUAUUCUCAACCAAACUUGUGAAAACCUUUCUUAAGCAUUUCAGAGAACAAAAUAAGGUCAUUUUGAAUUCAUGUUGAUUUUUUUCAACCUUAAACGUGGAUGAAUGGCAGUUUCGUAUUGUGUUUGAUAUUCUUCCAUAGGCUUGUUGAAGAAUGUGUUGAGCUUGGACUUGAUUUUAAUUUAAGAGUGAUAAACACGUGUUAUUGGAGCAAAGUUUAAUUGAGGGUCAAUGAUGACUUGAUUUCAAGUAAACUUAUCAAUAAUUUCAUUAACUGUUUUGAGAAACCUAACCUUGUUUUCUUUAGCUUUGAAGGUGGAUGAAUGACCCUUUUGUUUGUAUUUGGUAUUCUUCCACGAGCUUGUUGAAGAAUGUUUGGAAUUUGAUCUUAACUUUUAAAGCUCCAUUUUUGGAUUUAGCUUCUAGGUUGCAUAUUUCUUUUGAGAGCGCUUCAUGCUGAAAGAUAAUAACACUUGUAUUUAGAGAAGUUAGAGAUUUUAGUUUAGAAUCUCCGAAUUUGACUUUUUUUAAUACAAAGAGUUUGUUCCUUAGUUUAAGAAGUUUGGCAAUAUAUAUAUAUAUAUAUAUAUAUAUAUAUAUAUAUAUAUAUAUUUGCAUAAGUUUGAUUUGUUUUUUUUUUGUUACUACAAUUUAAGCUCUUUUAGGAUAGAAGAAUAUGCAGUUCAAGCUCAUGCUUUAAGAAGCAUCAGCGGAGUGCUGAGGUUUGAAAAUAAUUAUAAUAAAAUUUGAUGUCACACUCUCUUCAUUGUCACUGGUGAAAAUGAUGGUUGCACAACAAGUCACACAAUUGUGGCCUUUGUCCCUAAAUUGUUUUGCCCCUUUUAUUUUUAUGGCAUAGGGUGAUGAAUUCUUAAGUGCUUGAAUCAAUGCAAUUCAUGUUUCCUUAGGAAGUUGUAACAUUUCAUGGAUAUUGAAGAGUGAGGGUAAGCAUUAUAGGUUUGCUACUACCUCAUCAUCUUUCUUGGUUUUGCUCAACUAUUCACCAAUAGCAUUUUCUUCAUCUUUCUUAGGUCAUCUUCUUUUGAAGUCUCAAGAUAAGAGAUCAUAUGAGUUGAUGUCACUAUCCCUCUAUUAAAAACUCUGGAAUGAAGUAUUCUCCUAAAGUGAUAGAGGUGAUGAGCUUUUGUACCAAAAUGUCAUCAACCUGUAUAAUCAUUUGUUUUUUUCGAGUUUGUUUUCUUCUUUCUUCUUCAAAUGUCGAUAGAUAUUUUGCUUAUGUUGCUCUUUCAUAGGAAGAUUUGGGUAUGAAUGAGAUUUUUUAUUCUUGUGAGGUUUCUUUUAUGUUACCAAUGUCCAACUAUCUUCACUAUAUGACAUUGAUUCAUUAUCAAAGCAAAGGUAAAGAAGGCUAUCUUGACAUGAAACUUGUGCUUGCUUUGGUUUCAAUGACUCACAUUGAAUAGUAUUGGUGCAUGCCCCCAGUUUUGUAGGUGGAACAUGUAACAAAACAGGAUUGAAUGACCCAAAUGUGACCAUAGUAUGAUUUGACUUUACCACUUCAUCCAAAUCCAAAUAAAUUUUUCCUUGUUUUGCAAGUUUCAUUAUGAGAUCUUUUAAGAUGAAACAUUUAUUCAUCGAGUGACUGACGAUUCAAUGGUAAUGAUAGUAGUUUGGAUCAUUAAUACGACCCAUUUCUUUUACACGCUUACACUUAAUUAGCUCAAUAACAUUUUUUCUAGAGCAGAUCUUCCAACAUGUUAGGCACAUCAAAGUUAGGAAAAAGAUACUUCUUCUCCUCCAGUUCCUUUAAGGUGAAUCGACGCCUCUCAUUUUCCUGGGUUAGUUCGGUCUUUUUUACUUUUUAUUUUUAUUUUUUAUCUCUUGCUAAGAUUUUGAUAAGACCUGUAUUUACCAUCAUUGACUCCUGGAUGGGUUUUAUUGAGGUUUUAUCACUUGUUUUCCCAUCGUGUCUCUCUAUUUGUCAGUCAACGAUAAGGUCAUUCUUAGCACCAUGGUUGGCUAAGUUGAGCUAACUCUUCAAAGGUGCGAGAUCGUACCUCUUGAAGGAUAUACAAAAGACCCCAAUGCAUUCCUUGUAUGCACAUCUCCACAGCUAACACCUCGAAUAAUCUAUCUUUACAGUCCAAGUUUAAGGAACACCAAUGAUUGAUGUAGUCUACGACUGGCUCAUCUUUCCAUUGUUUAGUAUUAGUAAACUCUAUCAUGCGUACAAUUCGUUGGGUGCUACAGAAAUGGUUGAAGAAUUUGCGCUCCAUUUAGUCCCAACUAUUGAUACACUCAAGUGCAAGAUCUUGGUACCAAUCGAAAGCAUUCCCUCGGAGAGAAAAAACGAAUUGUUUGACUAACAAGUCACUAUAUGUGCCUGUAUUAUUACAAGUUUCAACGAAAUGGGCAACAUGUUGUUUUGGAUUUUUCUUCCCGUCAAAUGAUUGAAACUUUGGAGGUUGAUAACCCACAUACAUACGUAGGUGAUUAAUCCUCUUAGUGUAAGGUUUAGAGUACAUGAGGGUAUUCUAUGAGGGUCCACCAUACUGUGCUCUAAUGGUGUUAGUUAUCAUGUCUUGAAGUUGCUGGACAGAUAAUGACACCACUGAUUACUACUCAAAAAGUGCUAUUUGAUAGCUUAUAAUUAAUCCUUUUAAACACUUUUGAGUAGUAGUUUUGGCCUUUUAACUCAAUUGGCAUGUUAAGGACCCUUGAAAGCAAUUUUAAUCACUUUGUAUAAGUUUUGGUGUUUUUGUUAGUAAUUUGAUCACCAAAGCAAUUCAAGAUUGAGGAGAAUUAUGAGGAAUCUUGGGCAAAUCUUGGAAGUCAUUUGCCAAGAGUAAAUCCGGAAUGCAAGGAGAAAAAGUAAAGAGAAUCUGCCAUGAAGCAUAUUCUUGAUGACAGUCGUAGCAGCCACUUUUGGAGCACUUUCUGGAGUCCAAUUGAUGCAUGUUAUAUACCAUUUCAAAGCUCAGGAAUUCAAAAAUCCAAUGCUUCAAACGGUGCGCAAUUCGGAGUUGAAACGAAGAAGUUGCAGCCAUUGCAAGCCAAUCACUCCAAGCUGAAGGAAGCAUUUUACAAAGUGUUGCGAAAUCACCCUUUUGUUGCGAAAUGAUUUCGCAGCCUUUUUGUACAGUAGGGUGUAUUUCCUUCUGAAGUUGCCCAAUAUAUGCCGCAAGCUGGAAGCUGAGAACAUCAAGGUGGAAGCCAACUUCACAGCCCUGCGAGAAUAGCUUUUUGCUGCGAAGUGAUUUCGCAGCCCUUCUUGAGUGUCUGCGAAAUCUCGCAGACACCAUUUUCUCUUACGAAAUGGUUCCUGGAGCAUCCCGAUAUUUGCUACCGACAUUGGGAGAUAUUUUGCAUCGGAUUUUUGUUGUCUAAAUCCCAAAAUACUCCUUGUAAGCCACCAAUUACAAGAUUCCUUAGCUUUUAAGUUAGUAAAAAGAGAAAAUAUCCAUGUAAUAAUUAGUUUUAUAUUAUGUUCAUAUAAAGACCUCUUGGGAGCCUGGUAUCAGAGGAGAUCCUUUUGUAAAGUUUUGGGAAAGCAAGUAAAGUUCAGGCCCUUUGUUUUGCCUUACCUUCUCACUUUGUAUUUUUUUUUUCUUACUAAGUUAUGAACUCUCUGAGGAGUUUUCCCCAGAGAAUGAGUAACUAAACCUCUAAUUCCUUGGAGUUAAGGUUGUCGGGGAAGGUUCCAAGUGUAAGAAUGCAAAGCUUUGUGGUUUUAGCAAGUAAUGAAGAGGAAGUGAAAUCCUUUAGUGAUUUCUAUGUUUUUAGUUAACUUAAAACACCUUAGAGUCACCUGGGCCAACACUUGGUAAGGCAAGUGAUUUCCAACCAUGGAGAUGCACUAGUUUACCCCUUACGAGCCUCUGGGAGGUGACUUUAAGGUAGGAUUUUCUGGAAUUGCCAACACUUGGUAAGCUUUUGGACUCCAAGGAGACAUCCAUUAGUUAUCUCUUGCGAGCUUGAGAAGGGAAGUCCAAGGUUAAAGAUCACCUUGAAUGGUUAAGGCUUAGUGAGAGGCUUAAACCAUUGCAAGUUGCAUCAGUGAGAGAAUUAAAGUUGAAAUCUAAUUAAAGGAUGUAUCUGUACAACGCCGGUUAGAGAAUUGACUAUAUGUUGAAUCUCUAACACGAGGAAAUGAACCAUCUGACCGGAGCUAUGUCUUUUGCAUGAGGAACCACCCCAGUGAACCUGACUCUCCAAGGAAUGCUUUUCUUCCUAAGUAAUUCCCAUUGCUUGUUUUGUUGGUUAAUUCAAAUCUAAAUCUUUACCAAUCAAAGUUUGUGUUUUAUUUCUUAAGCUAACCUUGAAAUGAAAUAAGACCAAUUCACUUUGAAUUGGUAUCAUUGAUAGCUUGCUAAUCCUUCCCAGUGAACGAUCCUAGAGCCGUUAUAUUAUAGUAGCUUUUUCUUUGCUACCCUAGUAUAUGGUGUUAUAGGUUAUAAAUUUUGUUGAUUACUCCCUCAAUCAAGGAGCACUAGCUGGACAUGAAUAAGCUGAGACACCAAUUGGGCAUGAAUCAAAUGGCGCCAUUGCCGAGGAUCGAACCCGGGUCACCCGCGUGAUAGGCGGGAAUACUCACCACUAUACUACAACAACGAGGUAGAUUUCGUUGUUUGUCUUUCGACUUGCACUGUCCUAGAUGCAUGUGGUGCAUCAUCAAGAGGAGAUGCAACAUUCAGAAGAUGGUUGAGUCAUUGACUUGACUCACCCAUAUUUUGUACUUGUGCCUCAACCUUGUUUAUGAGGAUGACUAUCUGCAUAUCCUUCUUCUCGAUUGUCUUGGUGAGUUUAGCGACGACAUAAGCCAUCUCUGUCGAUUGUUCCUUUACAAAUGUAAUGCCAAUUUCCAUUACUGACAUAAUCAUUAAGAAGUGAAAAGUAAAAGAGUCGAAACAAUUGGAGUAGUUUUCCUCAUUUGACAUUCCAGUUGGCAAUUCGAAGUGUGAGCCAGUGUUGGAUUUGGUAUCGGUAAUAGAGCAAGAUGACUUAUCCCUAAAGUCCUGUAGUGUUGAAGGAAGUUUUCCUUUGCUACGAGGACUAUGGUUUUUUACCUCCAGAGAAGCUAAAGUGAUGCAUGAUUGGUGCUCAUUAUGUGUCCUUAUCGGUUUUAACAAACAAGUAGACUCACUUAUUUGUUUUGUUGAAAGUGAAGAUGUUGAUUUCGCUUUGCUACGAGUCAUGAGGCCUAUAGCGGUGUUGUGUGUCAAUUACGCAAUGACGAUCUAGUCAUUGCCUUUGUUGACAUCUACAACUUGAGUUCUUUUGGAUGUCAUCGACGUAGUGGUGAUCAAUUUUUUAAUGAAAGAGAUGAGAGACAAAGAGGUCCCACCGGGCAUGUCAGAAAUUUGUACACACAAAUUUCGCGAAUAGUCCUACGAUGUAAGCAAAACUAUAGGAAAAAAUAAUGUGAAACAAAAUAUUUUAUUAAAAUUAAAAAUAUUGUGGGCUGCAAUCUUUGUGGUAAUAUUUUUUUACAAAAGAAUAUAUUUCUCUUAUUCUUUCACUUUGAUCACAAUUUGGAAGACAACGAUGAUGUUGUCAUGAUUUCGAAGAUCAGUCGAGGGCCAUAAGUGACUUAUUCUCAAAUGAACUCAUUGAAUGACAAAGAUUGGGUGUAUAGAACUUUUAUUGUUUCUUGGACUUGUAGGGAGAUUUUUGUGAAACCGUUUUUUUUGUGAAGCCGAUAUUCCCUUGUAGAGUAGUUUUUUGCCAAUCCGAAGAAGUCCCCCCCCGUUGGAGGAAGUCACCCACAUUUAUAGGUGAAAAUAGGAAAUCAAAUUUUGGAAUUCCCUAAGAUGUAGAUACUUGAUUUUAGCAACUUAUCUUCUCCAUUAAGGAAAUUUGUCUAUUAAAGUAUUUAUUUAUUUAUUUUCUUUUGACAAUAAUUUGGAAGAUUUGAUUUUAUUUGGAAGACUAAAUUUUGUAGUCUUCCAAAUUUGGCCACGUGUCACCUUUUUAACAUAUGCCACGUGUUAAAUGUGCGUAGGACCAAUCAUGUGUCGAUCCCAAAUUUUGUCGAAUCGAGGAGUCACAUUUUUUUAAAGGCCAAUUUAAUGAUAAUUUAUUUCACUAAAAAUUUUGAUGUCUACAACAGGUUAAAUAUAUAGAGUAAACAAUUUGAUGGGAGUAGAUUACUAUUCCCUUGUACCAAUAAGAUUAAAGAAAUAAUGGAAUUCUUAACUAAAGAGUUAACUUUGCAAAAGAGUUGUGUAGCUUGUACUUUUCUUAGGGUCAUGAGACCAAAUUUUAUCUAAAAUGUGGCAAAUUUGAUGGGAGUAGAUUAUGAACAUUUAACUCCUUGUUUGCUAAAUGAACUUUUCUUAAUCUCCAUAUAUUUUAAAUCUUUAAUUUGAUAAAGAGAGAGAUAAGAGGUAAAGAUGGUCCCAUUGGGCAUGCUAAAAAAUUGUGCAUACAAAUUUUCCUUGAAGAUGAAUUAUUUGUGAUUAAAUUAGAAUUUUAUUGAUUUGAAGAAUAAUGUAAUUGUAACUUUUAUUUUUCAUUUAAUUCUUCUUUUCUAGUUCUUAAUCAAGGACUUAAAAGAAGUUUGGUCUUAAAUGACUUGAGUUUAAUUUGAACCUUUUUGAUUUAGUCUUGGAUCUUGAGUCAUGGCGUAACUUCGACCUUACUAUGACUUGAGCUUUGAUUUGAUUUGGAUCUUGAUUUGAUUUAAAUAACAUUGAUUGAUGGCUUGAGUAGCUUAAUUUUAUAUCAAAUAGGUUUUUGGUUUCUUUUUUCCUUUUAUAUAUUUUAAUCUUAAAAAGUUGAAACUUAAGGUUCUAAAGAUCUUAUCAAUUAGAAGAUACUUUAGAAGAAAUUGAAAAUUGGUUAGUCUCAUUUUAAGAUUGAAGAAAGAUUGAAUCUUCUUUAAAGAGUUAUCCUUAGGGAUCAUAAUGGAAUAGCCCGAAUCAUCCCCAUCUCAACCCAUUCAAUUUAUUUACAAAGGAUAAGAUUGGUGUAAGAAAUUCUCAUGCUUGCUCUAUCUUGCCUCGUUUAAUUUUGUUCAAUUUUUUUCUAUAAAAGUUUUAAAUUCUAUACAAAAUAAAUACAAUUUAUAAAUAAAUAAAUAUUCACAAUUUAUUUUUAUAAAAAAUAUUUAUAUACAUUUAAAAAAUUAAAAAACCAAUUAAAAUAAUUUUUUGUUGAAUAUAACAUAUAAUUAGGAUAGAUGAGUUGGGACAAAACAAAGUCAUUUCUGAACUAACCUGAACUUGUUUAUAUUUAUCCAAAACCCAUCCCAUUAGGAGUAGGUAUAAAAAAAAAACUUGUUUUCUUAUCAUCCCUAACUCGUCUAUUUUCUUCUAAUCUUUUGAAUUAUCUCAUAUUAUUUUAAAAAAAAAAACGUGUCUUAAAAGCUUUGGAAUUAACAUGUCUUAUAAGAAUUGGAAGCAUCAUAUUUGUUGGGUUUCCCCUUAUGUGAGGGAAUCGGCCCCAUAUGCUUGGGGACCAAGUUAGUUGCAUUGGAAAAAAACAAUGAAUCAAGAAAAAAAAACUGAGAGAAGAGAAAAGAAAUAGAAAAAAAAAAACGCAUCUCACUGUCUAGAUUUCAUCAACGAGUUGAUCCUAUUUCAUAUGUGGUCCGAUCGAGUUGAAAUUUGGAGGAAAGGUUUGAAACUCAAGUAACUACAAUCUGAAAGAUGGAUAUCGGAUUUUAAGCUCGGGAACUGAUGUUACUACCCAUAAACUGUAACAGCGUUUUUUAUAUACUUUCUUUAAUUUUCUUUGUUUUUGCCAAGAGAGAUUGUAUAAUCCAAGACUAUAUGUGUUCUUGAUGUAUUUGGCAACCUCUAGAGAUUAUUCUAGAAAAAAAAAAAGUGUAACCCAUUAUUGUUGAUAGUGGAAGUUUGAACUAGACUAGGUCCUGUGGUUUUUUCCUUUGCAUUAAGGGUUUUUCACGUAAAAAUUCUGGUGUCUGAUUUAUUUUCUGUUGCAUGACUUUAUUUAUUUAUUAUUGCUAGUUGAUAUUACCUAUUUAGUUUUGCACAAAGAAAAUGUAGAAAAAUUAUGGCGUUUGUUGGAAUAUUGUGAAUUCACCCUAACAAGUGGUAUUAGAGCCAGAUUGAUUAUCAGUGGGAUCUCUUGUGUAAAUUAAAUGAAGGAGGCUGACAGUAGAAUGAUUAAACUCAUAGUUUCCAAUUAUUCAAUUUGGAAUACUAGGAUGGAGAUAUUCUAUGUUGCAAAGAGUUGUUUGAGCCCAUUGAAUGCAGAGGUUACAAGCCAAUUACUAUGAUUGAGGAUGAGUGAAAUAAAUUAAAUAGGAAAACCAUUAGACAUAUUAGGCAGUGGAUUGAUCAGAGUGUCUUCCAUUAUGUAGCCAAGAAAGUUGAUGCAUAUAGCCUUUGGCAUAAAUUAGAGUCUUUAUGAAAGAAAGACUACACAGAACAAAACCUUUAUGAUAAGAAGGCUUGUGAAUUUAAAGUACAAUGAUGGUAGUAGUGUUGCAAAGUAUCUUAGUAAUUUUCAAGGACAAUUGAAUGAAUUGUCUACCAUGAAGCUUGAGCUAGAUGAUGAGGUACAGACUUUACUAUUAUUGAGUUCCUUACCAGACAAUUGGGAAACUUUAGUGGCAUCCUUGAGUAAUUCAGCCCCAAAUGGUGUGACAACUGUCAAUAUGGUAAAAGACAGCAUGUUUAAUGAAGAGACAAGAAGAAAAGAGUUAAGUAUUUCCUUUAAUACAAAAACACUUGUUAUAGAGAAGUGGGAGAGAAGUAAAAAUAGAAAACCUUCCAGUGAUUAUAACCAUGACAAGUCAAGAGGAAAGUCAAAGUCCAGAAAAGAGAUAAAGCGUUUUUAUUGUGGCAAACCAAGGCACAUUGAGAGAGUGUAGAAAAUUCAGAAGAGAACAGUUUAAAGGAAAAGGUGAAGAACAAGAAAAAGGACAAAGACAUUGCAACAAUUGCAUUUGAUGGUGAUACAAUCAUUGUUUGUGAUGAUGCAUGUGUAAACCUUGCAUGCUAGGAUUCUACUAGGGUGGUUGAUACAGCAACGUCGUUUCAUAUCACUACACAUAAAGAUUUCUUCUCUUCCUACACCAGUGGCAGUUUUGGUUAGGUUAAGAUGAGAAAUGAAGCAAAAUGUGAAAUUGUUGGCAUAGGAGAUGUAAAGCUAGAAACUAGCAUUGGGUGCAAAUUGGUUCUGAAAGAUGUCAGACAUAUUCUUGAAAUGCGCUUUAGUUUGAUCUCUGUUGGGAAGCUUGAUGAUGAGGGCUACCAUAGUCACCUUGGAGAGGGUAAGUGGAAGCUUACUAAGGGUUCUCUUGUUUUAGCUAGGGGAAAGAAAAACAAUACUCUCUACAAAACAGAAGUGAGACUAGUUAAGGGAGAGGUGAACAUUGUUACGAAUGAAGCCUCUACUGAGCUAUGACAUAAGCGGCUUAGUCACAUAAGUGAAAAAGGACUUCAAGUUCUUGCUUGAAAGAAGCUUCUACCAAUUAAAGGUACGUCACUAUUACCUUGUACACAUUUUAUGUCUGAAAAGCAAAAUAGAGAUGUAUUUCGUAGAUUUCCUUCACGUAGAAAACCAGAUAUUCUUGAUUUAGUUCACACUGAUGUUUGUACUAUGCAAAGUAAUACUCUUGGUGGUAUACUUUAUUAUGUGACUUUUAUUGAUGAUCAUUCAAGAAAGGUGUGGGCAUAUGCUUUGAAAUCCAAAGACCAAGUACUUGAUGUAUUCAAAUAUUUUCAUGUGAAGGUUGAGAGGAAAAUUGACAAGUAGUUAGAAUAUGUCAAAGUAGACAAUGGUGGUGAAUAUAGGGGGUCAUUUAAGCAAUACUACAGAAGUCAUGGCAUCAGGCUUGAGAAGACGAUUCCUAAGACCUCGUAGCAAAAUGGUGUAGUUGAGAGAAUGAAUAGAACCAUAUGUGAUAGAAUCGGGUGUAUGCUCUCUCAUGCAAAAUUGCCUAAGUCUUUUUGAGGUGAGGCCAUGAGAACAAUCGUUGAUUUGAUUAAUCUGUCUCCAUCAUAUCCUUUAGAGGGUGAUAUUCUAGAGAGGGUUUGGACAGGAAAAUGUGUUUCCUUUGAGCACUUGAGAGUGUUUGGUUCUAGGAUAUUUGUUCAUGUUCCUAGAGAUGAGUAAUCCAAGCUUGACAGCAAGACUAAACAGUGUAUCUUCUGAUUCGUGCCCAGUCGGGUAUUUUAAUAAAAAAUAUUUAUAAAUCCUAUGAUCUUAUACUAGCGUAGCAAAGCUACUAUAGUAUAGCAGCUCUAGGGUCGAACUCUGGGAUGGGUUUUCACUCUACCAGUGAUAGACUCAAGAUUAGAAAUUGAAUCUGAUGAUUUCCUUUGUCAAAAACUUAAAGUUUAAAAGAAAAUGAAAUUUGUUUUGAAAGUGGUGUUUGAAACUAAACUAACAUAGAACUAGGUAAAAAUGGAAGAAAGAAAGUCUCCCGGAGCUAAAGGUUGCUAGGAUCAAGUUCAGAAUGCAAAGUGGGAAAUUCCGGAUUUUUCUCCUCGUAUUGGGGACAACAACAUAAAGGAUGGUUGUUUCCCGAACUGAUAUAGGUUUAACAAUGAAGAUUUAAUCCAUAAAAAGUCAAUAGAAAUGGUAGUCAAGUUCCAUUAAUGGCUUUAGACACUAUGGGUCUUCACCUUAAGCCACUUUCCAAUGGCUCGUACAUGAUAACUAAUGGUCUUAAGUGGAUCUAGCAAUAAGUAUCUACAGAGAUCUAAAAGCUUAUCAUGUAUUGGUCAUUCAAAGUGAUUCUAAGGGAUUUAAAGCAAAACUUUAUAUUUAAAAGCCAUUUAUGAACUCCAACUACCUGUAUUUAAAGCACGAGAGUUUUCCACUUUUGCAUCUGGACUUUUCACCUAACUUCCUUCACUCCAAGAAACCAAAGGUUUAGCCUCUCAUCCUCUGGGAAAACAUCCUCAGAGGUUGUUUGGCUUCCAAGAAAAAUACAAUCAAAAUGAGAAGGUAAAAGCAGAGCAGAACUCUGUAUUUUUCUUCCUUUGAAAACUAUACAAAAGUUGCGUCCCCUCGAGAACAAGCUCCUGAGAGAUAUUUAUAUGAAAAUUACAAUAAUAAUAUCUACAAGGUUAUUCAUCCUUUUUCCUAACUUAAUAACUAAGGAAUCCUAUAAUUGAUGGGUUACAAGGAGAGUUUGGGGAUUUAGACAUCAAAUAUCUAAAGCAAAAUAUCUAAAGAUAAAUAUCUAAAGAAAAAUAUCUAAAGAUGUCUGUCGCACAUAUCGGGAAGCUUCAGGAGAACACUGCGGCACUGUGCAAAAUUGCUGCGAAAUCCUCCGGGUGAGCGCUAUCGGCGGAUCCGGAUAUGUCUGAUCGUGGAAGUUGAAACGCUCUCCUCUCCUAUCAGGCGUCAUAAUUCCGGAUGCAAUACAUCCGGGUGGAAUGGUGGCAGCAGAUUUCCAGAUGUAAUACAUCCGGGUGGAAGCGGCGACAGCCGGAUGUAAAGUGGCGGCAGCCGGAUGUAAAGUGGAGGCAUAGCCGAGUGGAAAGUGGCCGCAGUCGGGUGGAAUUCCUACCCGGGUGGAAUGUGCAGGAUCCCAUACUCCUUGUAUUCUGGAUUUGCUUAAGGAUUCCAAAGAACUCUUCUCAAUCUCGGAUUGCUUUGGUGAUCAAAAAGCUAUCAAAACACCAAAACUUAACACAAUUUGAUUAGAAUUGAUUGUAAGGGUCCUUAAUAUGUUAAUUGGGUUAAAAGGUGAUAACUACUACUCAAAAGUGUUUAAAAGAGUUAAUUACAAGCUAUGAAAUAGUACUUUUUGAGUAGUAAUCAUCUUCCUAGGUUAUUCAAAUGAAAAGUUUAGGUACAAGUUAUGAGAUCUAGCUACCAAAAAAAUUAUAAAAAGUAGAGAUGUUGUCUUCUUCGAAGAUCAAACCAUUGAAGACUUGGAUCAAGUUAAGAAGUUAAAGCCUUUUAGUGAAGAACAUGUUGAUUUGGGUCCAGUCUCUCCUAACUCUGUGAGACAUAAUGAACAUAAGGAAGUUGUGCAAGAAGAACAUGUUGAUACAGUUGAUAGAAAUGAUGAGUCUACAGUUGAUGAUGUAAAGAAAAUUCUAUAGUUGAGAAUGAUGACCUAGAACAGCAACAAGAACAAGCUACUUCAGAGUUGCCUACUAAAACACAAUUAAGAAGAUCUACUAGAGAGCGUCAACCUUCUAGAAGGUAUACUAGUGAUGAGUAUUUGUUGCUUUCUGACGGGAGAGAGCCAGAAAAUUAUCAAGAGGUUUUACUACAUGACGAGAAAAAAAGUGGUUGAGAGCUAUGCAUGAAGAAAUGAAAUCCUUGCAUAAGAACAACACUUAAUGAAUUGAUGGAGUUGCCUAAGGGUAAGAGAGCAUUGAAGAAUAGAUGGGUACUGAAAAGGAAGCCUGAACCAAACAAAUCAUAGCCAAGGUACAAGGCAAGAUUAGUUGUGAAGGGUUUUAGUCUGAAGAAAGGCAUUGACUUUGAAGAGAUUUUCUCGCUUGUGGUUAAGAUGUCUUCGAUUCGAGUUGUGUUAGGCUUGGCUGCCAGUAUGAAUCUAAAGAUUGAACAACUUAAUGUGAAGAUUGCUUCCCUCCAUGGCGACUUAGUGGAGGAAAUAUAUAUGGAGCAUCCAGAAAGGUUUACAAUCAAAGGCAAGGAAUACUUAGUGUGUCGACUGAAUAAGAGCUUAUAUAGUCUCAAGCAUGCAUCGAGACAUUGGUACAAGAAGUUUGAUUCCUUCAUGGUUGAGCAUGGUUAUGAUAGAAAUGCUUCUGACCAUUGUGUGUUUGUGAAGAAAUUCUCUUAUGGAAAAUUUAUUAUUCUCUUGCAUAUAUGGAUGAUAUGCUGAUUGUUGGUCGUGAUAUUGGUAAAAUUGAUAAGCUGAAAAAGGAGUUGAGCAAGUGCUUUGAAAUGAAGGACUUGAGGUUUGCAAGUCAGAUUCUUGGUAUAAAGAUUUCUUGAGAUAUGACAAAUGGAAAAUUGUGGCUAUCUCAAGAAAGCUAUAUGAAGAAGGUUUUAGACAAGUUCAACACAGGCAAGGCAAAACUAGUGAGCUGUCCACUUGGAAGUCAUCUAAAGCUAAGUUCCAAACAAAGUCCUUCAAGUGAGAAAGAAAAAGAAGAAAUGCAAAAGGUGCCUUAUGCAUCAGUCGUGGGUAGCUUGAUGUAUGUCAUGGUGUGCACGAGGCAUGAUAUUGCUCAUGUGUUGGAGUUGUCAGCAGGUUCCUUUCUAAUCCUAAUAAAGAACAUUGGGCUACAGUGAAAUGAAUUCUCAGGUAUCUGAGGGGUACUUCUAAUACAUGUUUAUGUUUUAGGACUAACAAACCUGUGCUUGUAGGAUGCACAAAUGCAAAUAUGACUGGGGAUGUUGAUUCUAAAAAUUCUACUUCUGGUUAUUUGAUCACUUUUUUAGGGGAAGUAGUGUCAUGACAAUCAAGGUUGCAUAAAUGUGUUGCUUUGUUGACCACAGAGGUUGAGUAUAUUGUUAUCACUGUAGCUAACAAGGAGUUAUUGUGGAUGAAGAAGUUCCUACAAGAAUUGGGUCUACAACAAGAAAGGUAUCUACUCUACUGUGAUAGUCAAAGUGCUAUUCAUCUCAGUAAGAAUCCAACUUUUCACUCUAGAUCCAAGCAUAUUGAUGUGAUAUAUCAUUUGGAUUCGUGAUGCACUAGAUAUGAAAUUGUUUUGUCUUGAGAAAAUCCAUAUUGAUGAGAAUGGAUCAAAUAUGAUGACAAAACCAAUAUUUACAGAAAAGCUACAAUUUUGUAGAAAGCAAGUGGGCUUAGUAAAGCCUCUCACAUAGUCAGAAGAGGGCCCCAUAUGCUUGGGGACCAAGUCAGUUGCAUUGAAAAAAAAAAAAAGGAAUCGGGAAAAAAAAUAGAGAAAAGAGAAGAAAGAGAGAGAAAAAACGCAUCUCACUACCUAGAUUUCAUCAAUGAGCCGUUAUCACUUCAUCUAUGGUCCGAUUGAGUUGAAAUUUGGAGAAGAGGUUUGAAACUCAAGUAGCUACAAUCUGAACGGUGGAGAUCAAAUUUUAAGCUUAGGAACUGAUAUUACUGCCCAUGAACAAAAACAACAUUUUUUAUAUACUUUCUCUAAUUUUCUUUGUUUUUGCCAAGAGAGAUUGUAUAAUCCAAGACUAUAUGUGUUUUUUUUUAUUUAUGUAUUUGGUAGCCUCUAGAAAUUAUUCUAAAAAAAAAUAGGUGUAACCUAUUAUUGUUGAUAGUGAAAGUUUGAACUGAACUAGAUCCCGUGGUUUUUCCUUUCACAUUAGGGGUUUUCCACGUAAAAAUUCUGGUGUCUAGUUUAUUUUUCUGUUGUAUGAGUUUAUUUAUUUAUUGUUGCUAGUUGAUAUUACCUAUUUGAUUUUGCACAAAAAAAUGAUAGAAAAAUUUUAGUGUUUGUUGGAAUAUUAUGAAUUCAUCCAAACAAGUCAUAUUACAUAUAAUAUUAUUUUAAUAAUAAAACAUUUAUGUCAUGUGAUUGUUUUUAAUUCAUCAUAAUUUAAAUUAAAUAUAAAAAAUUUAUUUUUAAUUAAUUAUUAUAAGAGUAUAUAAUAAAUCGUAAAAGUUAAAAAUUUGAAUUUUACCUCUCAACAAACUGUGGUCAAAGUCGUUCCCAAAUAGACCUAUAGGCUCCUAUUUCUCUUUAUUAUGUUAGGUACAACAGCCACAUAGUGCGGACAUUCGCCCACGGCAAUGGCACGAAAAUGGUUGCCACUUGUGGUUGAUCUUGAGACUUUGAGACUUGAGAGGAGCCCUCCGUCCCUCUCUAGGCAAAUAUUUUGGCAUUAUGAAUAAAGCAGAGAAGUUAGCUCUGACACUCUAAUUAAGGUGACGACAGAUUGUAUCCUAGGUACGUUUCGUAAUUGUUUAGAAAAUAGCUUUAAAAUCCAAUUUUUUAAAAUAAUUUUUAUAUAAUACUUUAUUUUUAAUCAUUUUUAAUAUUUUUAUAAUUCUUUCUUUAAAACAAUAAUAUAAAUAUAUAUUUUUACUUUUAAUUAUUAAAUACCCAUUUAAUCAUAUUUUUUAAAAAUUUGUUUUUAAAAACUAUUUUUUAUUUUUUAACUUAAAAAUAAGUUUUAAAAAAAUAUAAACCAAUGAGUAUAUGUUUUGUUUUUGUUUUUAAAAAUGAGUAAAAACAACUUUUAUUUAUUUUUAAAAAUACUUUAUUUGUAAAAAUUAUUUCCAAAAAUAAGAAAUUAUUACCAAACAUUUUCUUCUCCCCCUUAUGAAUAGAAAACACCCAUCAAAACAUUUAUUAGAGUAAAAUGUUUAGAUACACCAUCACAAGAAGUAUACCUACUUCCUCCGUUGCCUUACAUAUGCCUCAAUGCCUAGAUGUUUCACAUUGCAUAUGAGCUUGAGUUGGACCAUGGUCCUAAAAAGUUCAAUUGGGUUGCUUGUAUAUUUCAGUCAUCUCAUUUUUAAUAGACUGCGACCUCACCAUCAACAUUUACAUCAUAUACCAUGCAGCACACCCCUAUUUUUACUGCUAAUUUACCAUGCUUUUUGAUGGCUAAAUGUAAAGAAAAAUAUAUCAAAUUAUAUUAGGUAUAAAAUAUAUUUUUGUUCAUUCAAUCUCGAGUCACAACUUGUAUCUACAAAAAGGUAAUAAAAAAAAAAAUUAUUUGUUAAUAGAAUUAAAUGCAGUAGCAAUGCAUACCAGGCAACUAUCAACCACCUUGUCAACAACCACAUGUUUGUGUUUUUUUUUUGGUUAAUUUUUAUAACAUUGGGCAUGGCUUCGAGCCUUCAACUACCUGAUUCAAAGGAUUCACAGUCUAUAUUCCCAAAAUCAUCAAAACCCAUACUAGGAAACCCCCUCAAAGUCUUGGCCCAACUUUAUGGCUAUAAUAAAUACGAAGGCAGUCUAUUUAUAAGCAUAGUAUCAAACACCUCAUCUUCGUAAAACUUCAAAUUCUUUGUAGGCAACAACUUGAGUCACAAGGCUGCGAUUUCCAUGCAUGUUGAAAAGUCCCAAUAUGUUAACUCAAUUAAUUUGUGUGUCCUUUUUGGUGUUGCACUUGGAUCGGCUGCCUAAUUUUGUUGGCUUGGCUAUUAACUUUAGUUCUAGAUGUGUUCUAUGUGAUUACUUUGCAUUUAUUUUAAAGUUUCUUUUCCAUGCUAUUAUGAUCACCCACUUGUGUCUUUUGCAAACCAAUUUACACAAGUAGGAUGUAUUAGCAAUAUCAAGUUGGUAUCAUUUGUAUAUUCAUAUAUACAUGUAACAUAAGUAGAAUGUCUUAGCAUCAUAAAAUGUGAUAUUUUAUUUAUUAAAUAAAGGAAUAAAAUAAGUUAUUUUAUUUACUACAUUGGCACAGUAUUUCUAUUCAAAGUGUUUUUAAUAAAAGUAUUUUCCCUAAAAAUAUUUUUAAGAAAAUUACAUAUAAAAUGUUUUUCUAAAAAACUCUAUACAUGAUUUUUCAAUAUCAUAAGUGAUUUUUUAAAUUUUUAAAAGUGUUUCAUAAAAGUAGUCAAACACUUAAUUUUUUUAAAAACACUUUUUAAAAUAAAAACACUUCCUAAAAUUAUUGUUAAAUGAACUCAAAGUGUUCUUAGAAAAAUCAUUUAUAAAGUGUUUCUCCAUAAAAUAUUAUCAGAGCUCGUUUUAUAGUGAUUCUAGAAAGUACUUUUAAUAUUUCUAAUAUUUUAAAAUUUUAUCAUUUAAGUAUUAGAAAUAUUAAAAACAUUUUUUAGAAUCACUCCCAAACAUACUUUAUUAUAAGUGAAUUUUCGGAUUUUUAAAAAUAUUUCCCAAAUUUUGCUAUGCACCUAAUUUUUUUUUUUUUAACAAAAAUUCAAGUUGAAAGGACUUCCUAAAUUUUUAAACAUUGUCAAAUGAGAAAUAAAAUAAUAUUGCUAUUUAUUAAAUUAAUAGUCGUGUUUAAUCAUAUUAUUUAUCUAAAUGACAUUCUAAGAUGUCGUAAUUUUUACUUGAAGUUAUGUUAUUUUUCGUUUUACUUUUAUCAUAUUAUUCUAGUAUCUACUUAAUUACAAAAUAAAUAAUAAUUACAACUCAAAACAUUUCCGUAUUUAAUACAAAAUAACAAAUUUUUAAUACAUUUUCACUAUCUCUUCACUUGGUAAAAGAGUACAAAAAAAAAAAUAAUGAGAAAAUUAUUUUUACUUGGAGUAGUGGUUUUUUUUUUUUACUAUUUUUAUCUUAUUUUUUAGGACCUAUUUACGAAAUAAAUAUUUAUUGAAACUUAAAACAUUUUUUGUAUUAAUUUGAUACAUAUUAAUCAUUUUCUAGUACAUUUUCAUUUGUUACGUGUACUUAGGGAAAGAAUGUGAUAAAAAAGGUAUUGAGAAAAAUACUAUUAUUGUUUUAUUUGAUUUGGACAAAUGUGAUGUGGUGUGUCAAGUCGUGAUUGAUGGUUACGUUUAGUUACGACAAAGUACUCAAAAAUAAAUAAAAAAUAUUAAAAAAUUAUUUCCUUAUAUUUAAUUUUAUUAUAAAAAAAAUGAUUAAAAUUAAUAAGAAAUUUAUAUAUUUUUAAUUUUUUUUAAAAAUUAAAUAAAUAAAAUGAAUUUAAAAUAAUAUAUAAAAUUAAUUUAAUAAUUUUAAAUCUAUUUUUCUUUUUAUCUGUCUUUUUCAAAUCACAAUCCGAGUGAGUUUGAAUACAUUUAUUUCUUCAUUGUGAAACAACCUAUGAUUGAAGAAUGCGUGGAGUGACAAGUAUUUAUAAAAUAUUUUCUCCAUGGAAUUAAAUAUGAAUGGACCAAAUUGGAAAAAGUGUAGCAUCACUUUCGUUUUCAAAUUUCCUCUGCCGGGUUUCAUAAUCAUAGUUUAUGAGCCGAAAGUGGGCUAAGUCUCUUUUCAACCUUAACUAAAAUCCUGUCUGCCACGUGACCUCGGGGAGACAUAUUAUUAUAUUUUGAGAAAAUGAUAAAAAAAAUAUAUAUAUAUAUAUAUAUAUUAAUCAGAGAGAUUAUCAAUUUUCUAAAAAAAAUAUUAAUUAUUUAACCUUUUUUUUAAAAAAAUCACCUUCUUAGGUGGGAGGAAAUUAAAUUAAUAAAUAAACUUUAUAUUUGAGUAGGCCAAUGGAUACGUUCUUAACCAGGCCAUUUAAAAGACAGAUUGUUAUGGUUUGAUUUUGGGCUGGAUUUAAGCCCACAUCUACAAAUUGGCCGGCCCAUUUUAUGGGCCAGCAGUAUGGAAAUAAAGCCCAUAGAUCCUACUCUGCCCAAAACACACUCACAAGUAUCUCAAUGCUUUACAGGCGAUGAUUAGGGUUGCAAUUCAAGCCAAGCCCAAUCUUAUUUCUUUGUCAAAUGGGUUUAGGUGGAUAAGUAAUUAAUUAUCUUUUAAUUUAUAUCCUUAAAAUUAACUACUACAUUAUUUAUAAAGAUGAUUAAUUAAGUAUGCCUAAAAAAAUAUAGUAUAGUAUGUUUUCCAAGAUUAGAAAUAUUUAAUCAACAUAGUGAAAAAAUGGAAUAGAAAAAACUUAAUGGAAAUUACGAAUUCUUAUCAUGUUUGUGUUCAAUACCGACAUUGCUCCAUUUUUUAUUUUAAAUUUUGUGUUAUUCACUUUAUUUUUUAAUUAAUAUAUUGGUUGCAUUAGAAGUAAAGGCAAUGCACUUGUAUGAAUCUCACUUGAAUGGGAUAGAAUGUGAAGAAUUUGAUAUUUGAAAGCAAGUGUAAAACUUCAAUUAUGGUAAAAAUAGAAUAAAAGUAUUUUAUAUAUUUAUAAUUAAUUUAUUAAGUCAAAAUCACUUGAUAUGUAAUUUAUAGCUUUAAAUAAUUUUUAUCACUAGAAUUUAUGGGACUGAAUAUAAUUAUCCAUUUUGCACAUGUGUUUGUAGGGAAGAUAUUGCUAAGAGCUAUAUUGACAUUGUAUCUUGGAGUGACUAUUAAUUAUCAGUACCCAUGUAUAGGGAUAUGAUAAUAGCUUUAAAACAAUGUAUCUGCAUGUGCAUUUCCAAAAUAGGUUAACUUUCUUAUCUCUAGUUAUAUUAUUUAUUUUCAAUAUUGAUUUAUCAUUUUAUUUGUGUGAGUUAAAAAAUUUGUGUUUUUUAUAUUUUCUCUCUCUCUCUCUCUCUCUCUCUCCCUUUUCCUCUCUCUCUUUCACACCAUACCCCUGACUCCCACACCACUAUCACCAUCCAUGGUGAAGCUCACCACAAGUGACUAUUGUCAGCUCAACGUCACCAAUGACAUUUCUCCACCAUGACACCCAUUCCUUCCAUUGUCAUUUCAAAAGUUUAAAAAAUGGUAAGUCUUCCAUUUUUUUUCUUUCUUUAAAUAUUCAUAGUGCAUUGUUUGGAGACUUGGGUAUUGUCUAUUGGGCUUUGGAUUUUGUUUAUGGGCUUUGAAAAUAUUAGGCUUGCAUGGUUGUUGAUUUUGGCUGCUAAUUUGUGUGAUUCGGGUUUGUGUAUUUAUUGGAUAUUAAAUUAGGCUUGAGUUGUUGGAUAUUGUUGUUGGGCCUACUUGAAUUUAUUUGAUCUUUGUUGAUGGGGUUUGCUUAUAUUUGGGCUGAUUUGGCAUUGCAUCAAGGAUAGGAAGAGGCAAAUUUGGUGCAUAGUGUAUUAGUUAGAGGCGGUUAGAGUAAUUGGAGACAAGGUAUGGACAUGGGCAAAAAGAUGGUGGGACUUGAUUUGGGAUAAAAAGAGGGAUUAAAGCAAGAGGAAGAGAUGAAGGACAACCUUUUAGAUUUUUCUCUACUCUCUUUGUAUUUUCUAUGAGUUUUUUUUGUGAGAGAUUGAGAUGUUUUUAGCAUUUCUGGCUUUUUUUGGGAACCUAUGGAGAGCUAGUAGACUUGGGAUUGCAUUGUAAAAGGUACAACUGUUUAUCCUUGUUCUUAUUUUAAGUGUAUUUGUUUUGUUAUUCAUUAUCUUGUACAUAUGUUAUUUCAUUUAUUUUGAUAUCCAAUAAAUAUACGUCAUCUAUUAGUUUUGUUGUUGUUGAUGCCUUUAUUUAUAUAAUCUAUUUUUUUGUUUGUGGAAUGAACCUAUAAUAAAAUAUUGUUUCAAAAGUUAUUUUUUAAUAAACGUUUUUUUUAAUAAACCACAAUUUCUUUUUGGAAUGAAAAUUUAUUUAUUUUUUUAAUAAAUGGAUUUUUUUUUUUGUUUUUUUGUUUUUUGUUUUUGUUUAGAAUUAUCUUGUUUUAUGAUAUGAUUUUUUUUUAUUUGAUUUGAUUUUCUUUUUCCUUUUUUGGGUAAGAUCAUUUUAUUUAUUUAUUAUUUAUUAUUAUUAUUAUUUAUUUCUUUAUACACAAAUAAAGAACUUUUUAAAACAAAUUGUAAAACCAUUUUUUUAUAUAAAAGUAAAAAAGAAACAUUUUUAUAAUACAAUUGAAAAGAAAAAAUUAUUUUAAAAAUAUUUUUUUCUAAUAAAAUGGAAUUUCUAUUUUUUAAGAAAUUGAGAUUAUCUUUUAAUAAAUUUCUUUAAAUUUUUUUUUUAAAAAUAAAAUCUAUUAUCAUGUUGUUAACAAAUUUGAAAAUUUUUUUAAUAUAAUAAAAAUGUGUUAGAGAGUAAUUUUAGAAAAUGUUUCUAGCAUUUUUAACACUUAAAUGAUAACAAAUUUUAGGUGUUAGAAAUGUUAAAAACGUUUUUUAAAAUCACUACCAAAUAGGCUCUAAGUUUGAAAUAAUUAAAUAAGUAUUUUCUAAUUAUAUGAAAUAAAAAUCACUAUUUUUUCACAAUAAAAAGUGCAUCUCGUCGUUCAAGUGGGGAGACACGUGAAAAUGCAGGUCCAUAAAAUGUUGACUCCAUUAGGGAUGUUUAAAGGUCAAGUUUGAAGUCGAGUUGAGGGAAAUGCGGCGUUUGAUUAAUCGAUUAGUAGAUAUCUUCUCAUGAUGCCUUUGUAAUAUAUUUGUAUAUUUUAGGGCACAUGAGGGUUGACAUAAUGAUUAUUUUGUGUAUAUGUUGCCUGUGCCUUACUAUGUAUUGAUUAUUGUUAUCAUGUGUAUUUGUAUAUAUCUGUUUUGCAUGUUUGUGCUAUAUGACCACCCUUUUUCUGCAUGAUGCAUACUUGGUUGUUAUGUUCAUUUGCGAUAUUAAUAUGUUGAUUACAUCGAUUGAUUCUCUUGCCAUGAUUGCCCUGCUCACUUUGACAUGUUUAUUCUCAUUCGUCUCGAUGUGAUUGAUUCUCUUUAUUGUAUAUUAUUUUGUCCAUCUCAACAGAUUGUCUAUCUUUGUUGUAUACUCAUCUUGUUUAUCCUAUUUCCUUAGCUUGUUUUUAGAUUUGAAUGAUAUACCUACUCUUUGUAUGACUGUAUGUUGCAUGACUACUCUUCUUCUACUUGAUGCAUGUAUCUCUUGUCAAUGUGGGACACACAUGUGUCCCUUUAUCUCCAAUCCCCUAGUCUCAAUCAACCAUGUUUCCCUUGAUCUCAUAUUUGGUAUGAGACUUGUUGCUUUGUUUGCUCUCUGAUCGAGUUGGUGAUUCGAAGUAGGGUCUAGCGAUGGACUAUAUCUAUGUUUAGGAGCAUUUUGGAGGAGGCCGACACAUUGAUCCUGACUGGAGUCCGAUCAUUGGACUUGUAUAGCUUAGAGCUAGAUUUCAUGGAUAUUCAUGUGACCAAUGUGUUUUCUUUCUUGUUUUAACUUUAUAGGUUUAUCAAAUGCACUUAUACCACUCACUAUGCACCUUAGAUCGUUGCUAAUGACCAGAGUUGUGAGAUGCACCAACAAUUAGGAGAUACUACACCAUAGAAAGCCCCUUGGGAUGCGAGAUAGUGCUUGUGUGGAGGUGAUGACCACCUUGCAUGGAAGCGCCCUAUCUGGUCGAAGGCGUGUAGGAGGUUGCAUAUUGUUGAAGGGUGUGAUCGGUUUUUCUAGAGAUCCUUUAAAGUCCACCCCUACACCCCACGUGUGAGCCUUAAAUCCCUUUAUUAAGAUUCAUUUCUCACACGUGGGUGCAUCUGAGAGCCUUUGGGGCUACUUUAGUCAUAGCAUGGAUCUAGUACUCAUUUUUUUGGUCUCCAGUUGAGUAUGCUCAAAGAUUAGUGCAAGUUUGUGUAUUAGUUGGACCAUUAUUUGUCAUGUUGCAUUAGAUUCUUUAUUUCGCUUGUUGAGUUUGACAUGUUUUCUCUCUAAGGCUUUAGUUAGUCUUACUUUCUUAUCUUAACACAUUUUUUCAAUUUGUUAUUGCAUUGUUUGCUUGAUACUUUAGGAUAAGUUCAUCGAUCAUGAUCACCUUUUUGCAAUGUACACUUGUCAUGGUCAAGGUACCACAUUCUUUAUUUGAUGCUUGAUUCCAUUUUCACCUCGAUGCUCAUAUUUUCAUUACAAAAAGGUGAAGAACAUGUUUUCACAUUCACACUUUUUUUUAGAGAUUCUCCUUUAUCAUCUUAUGAUUUUCCUUUAUAGAGCUCAAUUUGGAAGUUGAGUCAGGUGGAUCCUAUUAUAGAUGGAGCAUUGAUUUUGUGAUAGCACUGUUCUACACAUCUCUUAUAUCUUAGAUUAUUGAUAUGAAUUCUCUAGUCACAUUUGUAGCCAUCUCAUAGAGGACACCUUUAUGACUCUUUAGCUCCUAUCAUACAUCUAGAUUUUGCAUUUCCACCUUAGGAGCAUGUGUUUGCAUGUCACAUUGUUGCCUUUAGAGUCUUCUUUUGUGUCCCAUGUCCAUUUUGAUUAUUUUGCAUUGUAGGGAAUCAACCUAGGAGUUGGUUGAGUAUGAAAUUGUAGCCUUGGAGGAGGGUUGGAGGCCAAUUGAUCAUAUCAGAUUCAUAUCAAAGUUCAGAUAGUUCACUUGAGAUGUCAGACGAGUUAGCUUCUACACUUGCUUCUAUUCAAGAGUUCAUGGCUAGGAUGAGUAAAUGUUUAGAUCAAAUAGAGAGAUCACGCUAGAAUUACCAGCUAAUGGCAUGGGUACAAAUGAGACAACUUCUCAUGCAUCUCAAACAACAUAGGUUCUUCCACCCAGGGCUUCACAUGGCAUUCCAUUCCAUUUAUCAGAUCAUUGUGAGACUACUCCACCAUCCGAUGUCAUAAUGUCGCCUCCUAUUGUACUUGUUAUUGAUGACAUUGAUUAGUUGAGCAGGAGGGCAAGAUUGAGAGGCUUGAGUCCAGGAUGAGAUAGAUCAAAUUGUAGAAUGGAGGUUUGACCUAGAAUGACAGAGAUGACAUAUUGGCGGCUAGCUUGCCCACCAAGUUUCGCAUGCAAGACAUCGAUCACUACAGUAGAGUUGGUUGUCCAAAGAUCCAUCUGACUCUCUACAGCACAAUCAUGAGAGCACACAGGUUAGAUGAUGCACAAUUAAUGGCUUUCUUCUUCAUGUCACUUAGUGGGGCAACUCAGAUAUGGUUUGCCUUAGUUGAGCCUUCAAGACUUUGCACUUGGGAGGAUAAGACUCAUGAGUUCUUGACUCAGUUCGCCUCCAGUGCCGACAAUGAUGUCUCCAAACGAAAGCUAGGGGCUUAAAUAGAAACCAAAAGAUUUUAUUUCUUCAUUUGUUAGUCGUUAGGGGGCAAAUGUGGUUGGUAUGGUAGAUUGGCCUAAGGAGCAAGAUCAUAUUGAUAUGGUUCUUCAGAACCUACAUUUGAGGUUUGUUAGAUGCCUCAUGAGCAUUCUAUUCCAAGAUCUCAAGAGUUUGGUUUAGACUAUUUUCAGUGUUGAGGAGGCCAUUGCUUGAGAAUUAUGGAUAAAUAUUGUUUUUUCCCCUGACAGUAAGGAGAAGAAGUCGAUUGGAUCAUCUGGGAAGACUGGAGAGGUUAACACCAUUAGUUGUUAGCAUCAGAGGCCUACUUGCCACUCAUAUUAUAGGUUUCCUACAACUAGAGCUCAUUUCUAUCAUCCGUAAUAUCAAUAUCAAUCGGUUUAUGUUCAACAACCUUUCAUUACUCAAGCUAGUGUACAGUUGUGACAUCACCUCUAAGAGCUACUACUCGCCAGCUACCUAGACUAUAUGAAUAGAGGCAUGUGAGACAAUUCACUCCAUUAGGCAUGACUUUGACUAGAGCUUUUGAGAAGCUUAGAAACGUUGGCUUAAUUGUUCCUUUGGCACUAUGCCCCUUGCCACAUCCUAUUCCUCCUUACUUUCACCUACAUAAGCACUGUGUGUUUCAUCAGACUUAGGGACAUGCUACUGAUUAUUGCUCAACACAUUGCAACUUGUCAAGACCAAGUGUGAUCACCAAUUCCUUGCCUACACAUUUUGUACAUGUUAUUCCCUCACCUUCUAGUCUUUAAUAGAGCAUUGUGGAUGUUGAUGAUAUUCGGGGAUCGCCUGCCACUUUGAGAUUUUUCUUAGUUGAGGCUUUCUUUCAAUUGAUAUGGGUGCAUCACUUUAUAGAGUUUUAGUAUAAAGUGUACAUUGGUUUGGUUGUGGAAGUCAUUAGAGUCUUUUUUUUUUUUUUUUGUUUAGUCUAGUUUUUGUUCAAAGUCACAAUUUAUAGUUCAUGUUAAGAGUUUAGUUGUUCGUAGUCUUUUACGUUACACACAUAAUGUAUUCAUUGGUUCAUUUAGUGAUAUGAUCUUUUUAUUAUGAGUAUAUUUUCUUUUCUUUCUUAUGAGUAUAUUUUACAUUUUUUGUAUUGAUGUGUUGCGUUGUUUAUAUGCGACAUUUUUCACUUGCAUAUCAUGGUUACUUGGGCCAAAUUUAUCAUGAUGGAUAUUAAGCUUUCUUACCUAGGUGUGGACCCCGCAUUUUGAUCGAUGCGUUCCCACUCGAUGGCGAAAACUCGUUUUUUUUUUUAUUAUGCUUAAUAAACAAUAGAUUGUAUAAAGAAAAAGAGAUGAAGAACACCACCUAUGAGAUACGAUAGAAUGCAAUAAUGUGAUGGUAGGAAAAAAUGAUGAGAGAAAGAUGCACCUGUAGGUCCAAGACUCACGAGACUCGCAAACAAUGCGUGCAUACACUAAAGGGCCCCUAUCCCGGUGUAGAAAUAUGAACAAGGCUAUCACAAAAGAAAUGCUAUAAUACNNNNNNNNNNNNNNNNNNNNNNNNNNNNNNNNNNNNNNNNNNNNNNNNNNNNNNNNNNNNNNNNNNNNNNNNNNNNNNNNNNNNNNNNNNNNNNNNNNNNUUUUCUUUUUCUAUUUUGUCUGGUGACAAUCUGAUUUUUAGAAAAAAACUCGGAGUCGCCACUUAUUUUUAUUUUAUUUCUAAAGGGAAAAACAAAAUAAGAAAGAAAAACCCUAAGUGUGACUCCAAGUAUUUUUCUAAAAAUCAAAUUUUCACCAAACAAAAUAAAAAAGCUAGUUUUCGCCAUCGAAUGGGAAUGCAUCGAGCAAAAUACGGGGUCCACAAAAUGGUGACUCCACUACGGAUUUUUAGAGGGUCAAACUUGAACUCGAGUUGAGGGGAAUGUGGCGUUUGAUUGGUCGAUCAAUGGAUACCCCUCUCUAUGUGUCUUGGUAUGAUUGUUUGUUGAUUACACGUUGAGAGCUUUGAUAUGUUUGUCUAUAAUAUAUGUUUGGCUAUUAUGUUCGUUUGUGAUGUUGACAUGUUGAUUACAUCGAUUGAUUCUCUUGCCUACUUUAGCAUAGUGACUUUUCUUGUUAUAUGAUUAUUUUGCUUUCCUGGACAUGUAUAUUCUCAUUUUUGUAUAUCUUAUUCAUCUUGGCAUGAUUGAUUCUAUUCGUUGUAUAUUAUCUUGACAUAUUGUCUAUUCUUGUUAUAUUCCUAUCUUACUUAUCAUAUUUUUGCCUAGCUUGUGUGUAGAUAUGAGUUAUAUACUUGUUCUUUGCAUGACUGCUUGGUGCAUGACUGCUCUUCCUCUGUGUGAUGCAUGUAUUGUUUGUCUGUGUGAGAUACACAUCUAUCCCCUUACCUCCAACUCCCUAGUUUCGGUCGACCUUGUUUUCCUUGAUCUCGUAUUUGAUAUGAGAUUUGUUGCUUUGUUUGCUCUUCAACUGAGCUAGCGAUUAGGAGUAGGGUCUAGCGAUGGGCUAUAUCGAUGUUUGGGAGCAUUCUGGAGGAGGCCAACACGUUGAUGCUAAUUGGAGUCUGAUCUUUGAAGACUUGUAUAGCCCAGAGCUAGGUUUCAUGGAUAUUUAUGUGAUCAGUGUGUUUCUUUUUCCACUUUAGCUUCAUAGGAUUUUUGGAUGCACCCACACCACUCAUCGUGCACUUUAGUCGACUACUGAGUGUUGAGAGUUUUGAGAUGUUUCACCAUAGGAAACCCCCUAGAAUGUCGAGGUAGUGCAUGUGUGGAGGUGAUGAUCACCUUGCAUGGAAGCACCCCGUCUCUUCGGGGGAGUGCAGAGGGUUGCGUACCGCCGGAGGGUAUGAUCGUUUCUGCUAGGGAUCUUUUAAAGUCCACCCAUAUCCAUUUAAAGCCACCUUGACCUCGUAGGUUGAGCCGUAGAUUCUUCUAUUAGGACUUCCUACCUAUACGUGGGUGCAUUUGAGGGCCUUCAGAGCCUCUUUGGUCAUAGUUGGGAUUCAGUAUUCCCUCUUUUAGUCUCCAAUUGAGAGUGCACAGAGAUCAGUACGGGUUUGAGUACGGUCGGACAAUCCGUUUUCGUUUUUUAUGCCUUGCUCAUUCUAGUUCAUACUAGCAUUUCUUCCAUGUUUUCUCUGUUUUCCCUGUGGCUACCAUUCUCAUGCUUCAUGCUCUUUAGGAUUGGUUCUUCAUUCUCAGUGUGGAUUUGUCAUCUUAGAUCAGAGUAGAGGGAGACUUAGUUCGCUUUUCUGAGAGAUUAGACAUGGAUCAACGGGUUGUCACAGUUGAUUAGUUCACGACCGCUAUGGCUUCUAUUUAGGAGGCUUUGUCCAGUCUCAGACAGGAGAUAGACAGUCAGCAGAGUAAACAGCUUGUAGUUCAGGAUGAGACGCCUUAUGAUUCAUUGCCACCUUAUCUAUUACAUGGUCAUUCUGAGGUUGCCUCACCUGUAGUAGUACAUACCAAAGUCCUUGAGGAUACGCAUGCAUGGAUCGUACUGAGCAGCGUAUCAGGCAAUUGAGGGUAUUUGACAGUUCAUCAGCUUGGGAUGAUCUUGAUAGUAUACUAGUGGCUAAUCUACCAGCCAAGUUUAGGAUUCUUGACAUUGAGAGGUACACGAGCGUUGGCUGUCUAUGUAUUCAUCUUCGACUCUACAGUACUGUGAUGAGGGCCCAUGGGUUAGACAAGUCAUAGAUGAUCACCAUGUUUCCUUUAUCUUUGAGUGGUGCAGUCCACCAUUAGUUUGCAUCUUUGGAGUCUUCGCGACGCAGGAUAUGGGAUGACCUAGCUUAGGAGUUUCUGUGAUAAUUUUCAUUUAGUACUGUUGUAGAUGUGUCGAGGAGAGAGCUUGAGGGUUUCAGAUGGAGAUCAGAUGAUUCCAUGUCUUCCUUCCUCUCCCGCUGGUAGGGGAAGAUAGCAGAGAUUGUUGAUUGACCAUUAUAGAGAGGUGACUUAGUCUUGAGGGUCAUCGGAGGAUUGAUUAGAGAUCCUAGAGGGAAGUUCAGACCUAGCUAGAGUGGACCUUAUUUCAUUAGGGAGUUAACUCCAGAGGGUGUCGCAUGGUUGAUGGAUCUAGAUGGAAACCGAUUCUCAAAGCCGACCAAUGUGGAUUAGCUAAAGAGGUACUAUGUUUGAGACCAUGGUCGUAGGAUAGGUGACCAUCAUUUUGGUUAGCCAUAUACCCUUUCACCCUUUUGAUACAUAGACCGUUGCUAGCCCAUUGAGUCUCGCAUGUGUAUUAUAGCAUUUCUUUCUUAUAGCCUUGCUCAUAUUUCUACACCGGGAUAGGGGCCCUUUAGUGUAUGCACGCAUUGUUUGCGAGUCUCGUGAGUCUUGGACCUACAGGUGCAUCUUUCUCUCAUCAUUUUUUCCUACCAUCACAUUAUUGCAUUCUAUCGUAUCUCAUUGGUUGUGUUCUUCAUCUCUUUUUCUUUAUUCAAUCUGUUGCUUAUUUUGCUUCAUAUUCUUUCCACCCUAAGUAGUGAUCCUCCUCAGUUCAUUAUAUGGGGGAUAGUCACAUCAUUUCCACUAUCUAUCCUACGAACAUUGAUUUAGAGAUCCUUAGUUUGAGAAGGUCAUCUUAUCAGAGAGAGUUUGUUUGUUACCUUAGCACUUGGGAGUGUGUCUAUUUUUUAUUGAUAUCAUUUUUGGGGUUCAUUUGUUUAUGUUCAGGGUAUGUGUAUUUGUAUAUAUGUAAAAAAAAAAAAAAAAAAAAAAAAAAAAAAAAAAAAAAAAAAAAAAAAAAAAAAAAAAAAAAAAAAAAAAAAAAAAAAAAAAAAAUUCUUUAUUACUAUUAUUACCACAUGUGUGUAUGUGCAUAGUGUUCCCAAUCAUUGGGUAUGUAUAUCAAUGUCGGGGGGUCAUUUUUAUCAAGUAUGUUCUUUAUUGGAAUUUCGUAUGUGACCUCCCUAAAAUCCCAUGUUAUUUGUAUUGCUUCCCCAAAUCUAUUUGGGAAAAAAAUAAGUGACCUUCCCCUAAGGACCCCAAGUCAUUGUCCUUUCCAUCAUUACGUUCAUUAUUGAUGUGACUUCAUUUCAUGUUUGAUCUAGGUCAAUCACCACUUUUCUUCACGUAUUCAUUGUAUCCCCAUCGUUUUUAUCGUUGCUUGGGAUUCAUCUCAUUCCCUUCCCAUCUUAUUCUCUCCUUACAGCGACCCAUCUCAGGUUCAAUGCUCAUUUCGCAUCAUCAUUACACAUAUCACUAUCAGUUCAUCCCGUUUCAUUUGUCUCCUUAUCGAUAUCAUAUUCACUUUAGGCAUCCUCAGGUCCAUGGCUCAUGGGGUUCACUAUACAUGUUGCAUUUCAUAUAUGAGGGCAUGGUUUUCUAAUCAUCGGGNNNNNNNNNNNNNNNNNNNNNNNNNNNNNNNNNNNNNNNNNNNNNNNNNNNNGUUCAUUUUUAUUGUAUAUUUUGAGAGCGAGAUGAGUGAUUUAGGAUUUUUCUUUCUUAUUUUGUUUUUCCUUUUAAAAAUAAAACAAAAAUAAGUAGCGACUCCAAGUUUUUUUCUAAAAAUCAAAUUUUCACCAAACAAAAUAAAAAAGAAAGUUUUCGCCAUCGAGUGAGAACGCAUCGAGAAAAAUACAGGGUCAACACUAGGAUUAGGAGGUCAACUGAGGGAGUUUGAGAUUGUGACACAUUUUACCAAUGUUUUAAAAACCGGACCUAACCGGGCGGUCCGACCAGUCGGGCUAUCGACCGGUGACCUUUUUAGUUCAGUUCCUUCUUUUGGGCCGACUAUCAAUUGGACCGGUGUUGAACCGCUUGAGCCGAUUGUUGAACCGUCGAAUUGCUUAGAUCGGGCGAUUCUAGGAAAACUGAACGAUUCAACACCCUCGGCCUUUUUUGACUAAGUGGGCCACUCCUUCACGACCCAACAAUAAUAGUCUACCAUUUUAUUUUUUAUUUUUACAAAAUGGGUUUCUCUCCAUGGCUCAACAUUAAAUACCCCCCCAAUCUUGCAAAAUGGGCCCCCUUACUCAAGUAUCAUGCAAUAAGGCCCACCAACCACUUCGCUUAACCACCUAGCUUCAAUUAGAUGGGAAAAGGUUUAUAAAACACUCUAUUUUUUUUUUCUUACUUUUGAUGUGGGAUAAGGUAAAGGGAUUUAAAAGCAAAAAUCAACUUUGCUCCAAGCUGCAACAAGAGGGUUUGAACCACGAACCACAAGCUCAUAAUGGCAUAACCCCUCUACUAUGUUGUAUCUUUGUUUGUGUUAAUAUUUAACAGAAAAUAACUACAUAGGCUAUUUCAAAAAAUAAUAUAUAUAUAUAUAUAUACAUAUCACUUUUUUUUUCAUUUUCAAUUUGUUUUCAUAUUUAAAUACAAUUUUUUUUAUCAUUUUGAAUAUAUUUUCAUAUUUAAAUAUUGUUAUAUUUUGUUUAAUAAAUUUAAACCAUUAAUACAUUUAUAUAAAAAUGAAUAAAUAAUAUUAUAAACAUUAUUUAAUUUUUAAUUAUAUAAUUUAAAUAUUUUAUAAUUAUUUUUAAUUUUAAUAAAAUGUAAAAUAUAGAUUUAUGACAUUGCUGGUUCGACUAUGAACCGUGAACCAAUAAUUUUUUUGAUUCAAUAUCCGAUCCGGUUCUGAAAACAUUGCAUUUUACCUUCUGAUCAGAGUAGCAUCUUAUACAUAUCCAUACCUUGACUUUUUAGUCUUGAUGACCUACCCAUGUUGAGCCUGGUAUGACACCACCCAUUGGUACCACUAUAUGAUCUUGCAAUCUUUGUCCAUCUUAUCUUAGUAUAGUACCAUUGCGUAUUCUUUUCAUCAUUUCUUUGAUCUGACAAAGUAAAAUCUAAGAUGAUUGGACCUGAGCUGAGCUUUGCAUCUUGAUCAAUGAAUUAUGAUGAGAAAGUGGUUUGACUGCUUGAUGACAUUGUUGACUAUUACAUGGUUGAGAUAGGCAUAGAGUUUUAUUGUAGAGUAUCCAUAUUGAGCUUUGACACAUGCCUUCAGAGGAUAAGCAUGACUUUAGAGGUUUAGCAUGACGAGAGAUAUUGAUUUUAUGAGAUGAUGACGAGUGGCUUGUGUUGAUAGAGUGGGUUGAUUGUCAGAUGACAUUGAUGAUUAUUAUAAAGUAUCAAGAGUUGGAGCUUUCACAUGAUUUCAGUGGAGUUGAUGUGGCUAUGUUAAAUGGAUACUAGUCUUUAGUGUUGAUCAUGUGAGAUCUUGAGAGCACGAUGUUCGAGGUUGUGGUUCAAGGAUGAGUAGCCAUUAUUUCAUGAUCCUAUUUACUUUAUCACUCUCACAUAUAGAGUUACCUAUUGUUGGCCCUUCGAGCCUCACAUGAAUAUUUUAGUUUUUUUUGUCUUAUCACAUCAUUUACUUUUUUUUACCACGUUAGGGACCUUAUCGUGCUUACAUGAUUUGAUAGGAGCCUCAUGAGUUUUGACUUGACAAACGUAUUCAAGUCUUAUCUCUCACUCUUCAUUGUGAUAUUUUCUUCCACUUUGACAUCACCCUCAUCAAUUUUUUUUUUUGCUGAUAUCACAUAUCACCACUUGAGAUAUUCACUCUAUUUCUUUUCCCUCAUCAUUGUCUACUUGACAUUAUCCUUGUUUCACCUUGAUUAGUGGUUUUCCACACAUUGCUACAUGGAAAGGGUCUAACUAUUUAUCUUUAUCCCCAUUUUGCAUGUAUUUGUUUUAUUAUUCAAUACCUUUAACAUAUGUUAUUUCAUUUAUUUUGAUAUCUGUGAACAUGUAUCAUCUAUUAAUUUUGUUGUUGAUGCAUUUAUUUAUAUAAUGUUCAAUUUUUCUGAUUAUGGAACGACCCAUAAUAAUUUUUUUUUCAAAAAUUAUUUUUUAAUAAACUAUUUUGUUUGGAAUGAAAAUUUAAUCUUUUUUAAAAAUAAAUGAUUAUUUUUUAGAACUGUAACUAUUUUGUUUAAUGAUUUGAUUUGAUUUUUUUUGGGUAAGAUCUUUUUAUUUUUUAUUUAUUUAUUUACAAAUAAAGACUUUUUUUAAACAAAUCAUAAAACAAUUUAUAUAUAUAUAUAUAUAUAUAUAUAUAUAUAUAUAUGAAAGUUAAAAAGAAACAUUUUUAGAAUACAAUUGGAAAGAAAAAAAAUAUUUUUAAUUUUUUUUAAUAAAAUAAAUUUUCUCUUUUUUAAGAAAUUGAGAUUUUCUUUUAAUAAAUUUCUUUUUUUAAUAAAUUAUUAUUUUUUUUUAUAAAUAUAUUAUCAUGUUGUUAAAAAAUUUGAACUUUAUAUAUAUAUAUAGAAUAAGUUUGAAAUAAUUAAAUAAGUAUUUUCUAAUUAAAUGAAAUAAAAAAAAUCACUUUUUGGUAAAUAAAUUUGAAUUGGACUGUUAUUGCAAAUAAAAAUGAAAAAAAAAAAUCUUGUUUUUAAUAAAAGACAAGAAAAACUCUAUUUUUAGAUAAAUUUAUUAAAAUCUUCUUCUUCUUUUUUCCUUUUUCUUUUUUUUUAAUAAAAGGCAAAUUUCUCUUCUUAAUAAAAAAAAGUGAGUAAAAGUUCCUUAUUUAAAAUAAAGCUGAAAAAAAUUAUAUUUCUAAAUAAAUUUGUAGAUAAAUAAAAUUGAAUUGAGAUCUUUUUACAUACAAUUGUAAAAAUAUGAAUUUCAUUUUUUAAACAAAAUAUAAAAUUUUGAAGUUCCUUUUUUGAAUCAAAUAUCAAAUUGAACCUCUUUUAUGAAUAAAACUUGAAAAAUCUUUUUUUUUUCUUAUAAAUUAGAAACCUUUAAAUUGAAAUCUCAUUUUGUAGAAUCAAGGAUUAUUUUAUUUUAUUAUUAUUUUUUGUAAGUCCUAAUGAAAUUGAAUAAACCUUCUUUAAAAUCAAACAAAGAUAAGAUUUCUUUUUCAAUAAAUCUUUUUUUUUUUUAUAAAAUCAAAUAAUUAAUCAUUUUUGGUAAAUAAAUGAGGGAUUGAAACCUUUUUUUUUUAAAUAAUUUUUUAAAAACUUAUUUUCCUAUUAAUAAUAUUUUUUGUAUUAAUAAAAUUGGAUUGGAUUUUAAUAUUUUUGCACAUAAAAAUCUUGUUUAUUUAAUUGAAAUAUCUUUUGUAGAUAAAGUUAUAAAAAAAGAAUCAUUUUUCUAAAUAAUUUGUAAAAAACACUUUUCUAAAUAGAAGUUAAAUUGAAAUACAUUUGUAAAUAAAACUGUAAUAAUUCAUUUACUAACAAAGGUAAAUAAAAGUCAUUUUCCUAUUAAUAAAAUCAAUUUUUUUAAUGCAAUUGUUUUUAAGAAAUUCUUUUAGCAACAAUAAGUGUAAAUGACAUUUUUGAAAAUUGAAUACAAAUAAAAUCGAAUCAAUCAUUUGUUGAAAAUAAAUCAAAACUUUUUUAUAAAUAAAUAAAUUGACAUAUUAAUUCGAAAUUGUUUUGAUAAACUCAUUUGAAAUUUCUUGAAAAGGUAAUUUUUGAAAUAUCUUUAAUUUUUUUAAUUAGCUUAAUAAAUCAAUUUGCUUAUUUCUCGUCAUCUAUCUUGUACAUUCUUGCAACCUACUUUUAGGAUUUUUUUUUUCUUGUAUAUUGGUUUGUAUCCUUUAUUUUGGUAUUGAUGAUUAAUUAAUUAAUUGUCACAAUUCCCCCUAUUCAUUUAGUAGAUAUUGUAGGUAUACAGGUUUGGAGGGGUUCUAUGACUUAUCACUAUACAUUCUCGAUAGGUAACUUGACCCUUGAAUCUAGACUCAGUUUUAGAAACAUGUCUUUUCUAAAUAAGGAGUCACAUAGGGUUUUCUUUCUUAUUUUGUUUUUCAUUUUUAAAAAAUCUAAAAUAAGUGGCGACUCCAAGAUUUUUUCAAAAAAAUCAAAUUUUCAAAAAAAAAAAAAAAAAGUUCUCGUUGUUUGAGUGAGGACACAUAUGAAAAAUGGGAGUCCACAAAAUACAGGUUUGUAAAAAACACAAGUUAGUGGUAACGUUAGGCACAACUAGGUUAACCAAACCUUGAUUGAUGAAGUCCUAAAUAGCAUGUUCAAGAGUGAAACAAUGACCUGUCAAAUGCCUUGGAGUAUAGUGGUAAAGAUAGUGCUCAUGUAGUAAAAAAUAAGGAGGAUAUGGUUGCAUCAAUGCUUUGAGGGUUAAACGGAUCAAAAGACUUGCCUUAGAGAGCUUCUGGAAAACUUAACUUAAUGGCAUCCCUAAGUGUCAUAAUUGUCUCAUAGAUCUGGGUAUAAGGGGUUUCCGAUUUUGUGCAUGACGUGGAUCGAGGUCUACCAUUUGGUUUGGGGUUUGAGCUUGCCCAUCGAGAUCAUGCCUAUGUAGUCUGUUUGCACCAAGCUCACCUCAUGGUUUGAUUGAGACACUUAUCUUUCAAUUAUCCUUUACGGCCAUAUAGUCGAAAUUGGUCAGAUUAUUUUGUUUUUGCUUCUCUUAUUGCUAUAUGUUCUGAGAAGGUAUCAAUUUAUGACUUUUCUACUAGUCCUAAAGCCACUAUGGAGUAGAUGUUUAAGUAGUUACAACUUGUUGACAAAGCCCUAGGUUCCUUUACUUCUUCGAAGAUGGCUCUAUCUCCCCUAGAUAGGGGCAACAUAUUUCCUCUACACUUCCCUUGAAAGAUUGAUGAGUACAAGAGUUUGAAUCCUAUUAAGGGUUUCUUUGAUGGAGUAACUCCCAAGGAUGAUUACUGACAUGAGUUAAACCUAUUUACCAUGAUACAAAUGUCAAGAUCAAUUAAGGUGCCAGUAGUGGGGCUGUUUGACUUGUUUGGUGAGAUGACUAUUGAGGGUGUUGUAGAGACAAAUCCAUCAAUUCCCAAGGUCACCCUACCACUUAGAGCUCAACCAAUGGUACCAAAGAUUUUUAUUGCUCCUAUUUUUUAGACUAUUAAUGUAGGCCCUUCUAUUGAGCAAGAUGUUUCUUGUGAUAUUAUAUUAGGAUUUGUCUAUCAUAUUUCUAAUGAUGUACCUAUUCUUUCAUCUAUGGGUAUGAGUUAUUUUAAGUAUUUUCCUGUGUGUUCUAGUUAUGUGCAUGAUUUUUCUCUUAGCUUGUCACAACAUCCAUCUAUUUCAUUUGUUUUCGACAUAGAUGAUGCCUCAAUCACCUGAUUCGAAUUCAAAUACCCUUUUUGGUCAUUCAAGUUACAAAGUAGAGCCUACAGAUGAAGAUUCCAAGAUUAUUGAUUUGGUACCAAGGAUUAACCUUGAGAGCUCUAGAUUGGUACUUCAUUGUCUACAAAUGAGAGGGUCGACCUUAUUUAGUUGCUUAGAGCAUAUUUAGAUGUGUUUGCAUGUUCAUAUAAGGAUAUGCCAGGAUUGGAUCCAUCAAUUGUACAACAUUGCCUACCUUUACUUCCCCAUAUCAUACCAAUUAAGCAGAGAUUGAGGAUUUACUACACCCCUGAUGGAGUCUUCAACUGGAAAAGGAGAUUCAGAAGCAACUUAAUGACAGAUUCUUAUAAAUGGUUGAGUAUCUUGAGUGGCUAGCCAAUGUCAUCCCUACUUCUAAAAAGAAUAGUAAAAGUAGAGUUUGUGUGGACUUUCGAGAUCUUAAUAAGAGUAGUUCUAAGAAUGACUUUUUUCUUCCUUACAUUGACAUGCUAGUUGAUAGUAUUGUAGGUUAUUCGAUGUUAUCCUUCAUUGAUAGUUUUUCUAGCUAUAAUAAAAUCUUGAUGGCUUCGGAGGACAUGAAGAAGACCUUUUUUAUUACUGAGUGGGGUACUUACUCCUAUAUGGUGAUUCCAUUUGGGUUGAAGAAUGCAAAAGCUACUUAUCAAAGAGCAACGACUACAUUUUCCAUGACAUGAUGCAUCAGGAUGUUGAGGUUUAUGUAAACAACAUGAUAGUGAAAUCUCAAGGUAGAGUAGAUCACUUAACAACUUUGGAGAGAUUCUUUGAGAUAAUCAGACAAUUCAGAUUGAGAUUGAAUCCCAAGAAAUGCACUUUCAAGGUGACUUUUGGGAAGUUGGGUUAUAUGGUUAGUGAGAGAGGCGUAGAAGUAGAUUUGGAUAAGAUCAUAACCAUUCUUGACAUGCCUACAUUGAGGACUAAGAGAGAGAUCAUAAGUUUCUUAGGCUUACUUUAGUACAUUAGUAGGUUCAUUACUAGAUUGACAAACAUUUGUGAGCCCAUCUUUAAACUUUUGAGGAAAAGUCAACCUAUUGUUUGGGAUGAUCAAUGCCAGCACCAAUUUGAGUGGAUCAAAGAGUAUUUCUUAUCACCUCUAGUUUUGGUACCUCCUACACCAAUUCGUCUCAUACUCUAAUACAUUUUAGUUUUAUACAUAGCCUUAAGAUGCAUGUUAGCUUAGCUCAAUGAUUUGUGAAAGAAGAAAGCUAUUUAUUAUAUGAACAAGAAGAUGUUAGAUUAUGAGAUGAGGUACAUCAUGAUUAAGUGCCUUUACUCGACAUUAGUUUGAGCUACUUGAAGAUUGAGACAUUACAUGUCAGAGUAUUCAGUACAUCUAAUAUCUUGUUUGGAUCCUCUGAGAUAUUUGUUUGAUAUACUUGUUUUGACUGGUUGACUCAUGAGAUGGUUAGUGCUUCUAACUAAGUUUGAUAUUCAUUAUGUUACAAAAAAAGUCUAUCAGAGGAAGUAUUGUCACAGAUCACUUGGCUUCAUUGUCCAUUUCAGAUGAUAGAGAAAUUAAUGAUGAUUUUCUAGAUGAUGAGGUUGUUGCAAUGGCUAGCCUGUCAAGUUGGCGUAUAUACUUCGAUGGUGUAGCCAACCAUUCUGGAUAUGGAUAGGAAUCUUGUUGAUAUCCUCUCACGGUGAUCAUAUCCCUAGAUCUGUUCGUUUGGCAUUUUCUGAUCGUCCCUCUGCCAUGAAUAACAUUGUUAAGUAUGAAGCUUUUACCCUGGGAUUAGAGACAACUCUCAAGCUUAAGAUUUGAUAGAUGGAGUUGUUUGGUGACUCAAAUUUGGUGCUCAGAUAGAUUCGGGGUGACUAGAAGACUAUAGACGUGAAACUUAGACCGUAUCAUGCAUAUUUAGAGUUACUAGUUAGGGGAUUUAAUGAUUUGAGAUAUACACAUUUGCCUAGAGUACAAAACCAGUUUGUUGAUGCCUUAGCUACUCUAGCUUCCAUGAUUAAUAUUCCUACUAAUACUAUUAUUCGCGUUUUUACUGAUUGAGUCAAGAUCUGUUAUUGCCUAUUGUUGCUUGAUUAAUAAGAUAGAGUUAGAGGACAGCUUGCCCUAGUACCAUGACAUAUAUUAGUUUCUCAAAUUUGGCAUGUAUUAUGAUGUCGCUACAACCAAGGAUAGAAGAGCAUUGGGAUAGUUAGCCACUUAAUUUGUGAUUGUUGGGGAGACAUUGUAUAGACAUUCAGUUGAUGGCAUGUUACUAUUGUGCUUGGAUUGCACCUUUAUUGAUUGAGUGAUGAGAAAGGUUCAUGUAGGGGUUUACAGACCACAUAUGAGAUCACACAUGUUAGCCUAUAAGAUCAUGAGGACCAGACAUUUUUGGUUGACUAUAGAGACAAAUUGUUGCCAUUUUGUUCAGAGAUGUCCAGAAUGCCAGGUGCAUGAGGAUCUCAUUCAUGUGUCACCCUUACAGUUACAUGCAUUGACUUCACCAUGACCAUUUUCAAUUUAGAGUAUAGACAUUAUUAGGAAGAUUUUGCUGAAAUCUUCUAGUGGUCAUGAGUUCAUCCUUAUUGCCAUUGAUUACUUAACCUAAUGGGUAGAGGUUGCCUCAUAUGAGAUAUUAACAUCAAUUAGAGUUGCUAGUUUUGUUAGAUCACAUAUCAUUUAUCGUUAUGGAGUUCCUCAUAAGUUGAUUUCAAAUAGCAAAGGUUGACACCUUGUUAUAGGGAUAUGGUAUCUAGCAUCAUAGAUGUCUAUGUAUAGGUCAUAGACUAAUGAGGUAGUAGAGGCCACAACUAAAAACAUUAAGAGGAUUUUGCGAAGGAUAGUUGAGAUUUCUCGAGAUUGGUCAAAGAAACUCUCUUUUGCAUUGUGGGCGCAUCGUACCUCCUUUCACACUUCUAUAGGAGCCAUACACACGGAGCCAAUGCUACUUGUUAAGAUAAAAAUGAGAUACUUGAGGGUAGUAGAUCAUGUUCAUGCUUAUUAGAGGAAGAUGACUUGUGCUUUCAAAAAAUAGGCCAAGCCUAGAUAGUUUCAAAAUGGUGAUUUGGUGGUAAGGAUUCUUAGAGGAAUGGUUGGAGACCCUCAUGGCAAGUUCAGGCCUAAUUGGAGUGGACCCUACUUUAUUAGAGAGUUGAACCCAUGGAGGGCUGCAUGACUAAUGGAUUUAGACAGAAAAUCGGUUUUUAAAGCCAACUAAUGCAAAUUAUCUGAAGAAGUAUUAUGUUAAGACCAUGGCUAAAGGAUGGGUGGCCCUCCUUUUAGUUAACCAUAUAUCUGAUCACCUUUAGAUUUCAUAUGAUCCUUUGCUAGCCAUUUGAGCCUCACAAAAGUAGUGGCCUUCCAUUUCUUGUCACCUUGACUGCCUUUUUCACACCCAGUUAGGACCCUAUAGUGAGUGAGAUGUGUGGUUAUAGAUUUUAUGGGCGAUUGGAUCUAGAGUGAUGUUGUGUCAUCCUUGGUUCACAUUUCCAUUUCUUAUCUUUCAGCGUAUACUUUUGUAGAGUUAUUGUCGUCAAGUAUUCCUUUUUCUUCCAGGUUUGUUGUCAUUAGCUUUUUUGCUUCCCUAUUUAACAUUUUUCUCAUUUUUCUUCUUUUACUUUUUUUUUUUCAUCACCUAUUGCCAUGGGUUGGCAGUUGUUCACUCAUCUUUGUGUUGAGGAAGAUCAUAUCACUCAUUUCAAUUUCUUAUGAGUUUGAUCUUAAGACUCUAGGGUUUUAUGAGCUCUUCAUAUCCUUGAGAUAGUAUGAUCAUACUAGGGUGAGAGAUGUGAGUUUUUUUUGUUAUGCCUACCUAGUGGAGGAUUCAUGUUGCUUGUUAUACAUACUUGACUAUGAAGAGUGUUAAAAAGAAAGAAAAAAUAAAUAAAUUUUCAUACCAAAAAUAAAUUCCAGUUUAUUAAAAAAUAAUUUUUGAGAUAAGAUUUUAUUAUGGGUUCAGUCUACAAGUAGAAAAAUAGAACAUUAUAUAAAUAAAUGCAUCAACAACAAAACUAACAAAUGAUGUAUAUUCACAAGAUAUAAAAAUAAAUGAAAUAUUCUAUGUAUAGUGCAAUCCCAAAUCUAGUAGCUUUCCACAAGGUCCUCAACAAAGAGAGAAGAGAAAAAUCUAGAAAACCGUUAUCUUUCUCUUUCUUUUAUUCUAAUCCCCCUUUUUUUUUUUUAUCCCAAAUCAAGUCUCACUAGCUUUAUGCACAUGCCCAUAUAUAAUUUGUCUUCAACUACUCCAACUAAUACAUUGUGCACCAAAUUUGCCUUUUCUUGUCCUUAGUGCAAUGCCAAAACACCAACCCAAAUACAAGCAAACCUAAUCAACAAAAAUAAAAUAAAUUCAAGUAGGCCCAACAACAAUAUCCAAUAACUCAAGCCCAAUUUAAUAUCCAAUAAAUAUAUAGACCCAAAUCAUAUCAAUUAGCAGCCCAAAUCAACAACCAUGCAAGCCCAAUAUCUUUAAAGCCCAAAAACAGUACCCAAGUCUCCAAAAAAAUGCACUAUGAAGAUCUAAAGGAAGAAGAAGAGGGGACUUACCAUUUUUGAAACUUUUGAUAUGACAAUGGAAUGAAUGGGUGUCAUGGUGAAGAAAUGGCAUUAUCGACGUCAAACUGACAAUAGCUAGUUAUGGUGAGCUUCACCAUGGAUGGUGAUGGUGGUGCUCAUAGUGGGGUGGUGGUGUGGGAGUCGUGGGUAUGGUAAGUGAGUGAGAGAGAGAGAGACAGAGAGAGAGAAAUAAAAUAAAGAAAAAAGGAAAGAAAAAAAUAAAAUAAAAAGUGGCAGUAGCAUUGCCAAUGGUGAGAGUGGUAGCCAUCAUGGGUAUGAUGGUAUGGAGAAUGAUGGAAAGAAAAAGAAAACAUAAACACGGAAAGAGAAUAAGAAGAAUGAAGGAAGGAAAAGAAUGAGAAAAUAUGUGGUAAAUGGAGUAAAAGGAUGAUUGGGGCUUUUUUCAUAGGUCUUAGGGUUUCUUUUAGGGUGAAUGAUAGUGAUGAAAGAAAAAAAAAAACAGAGGGUCUAGAUUAGUUCCUUAAAAAUGGGUACAAGUGGGCAUGAAAAUGAGCUAAAAUCAAGAGGAUUAUGCUUAAAACUAACUAACCAAAAGUCCUACAAAAAAAGAAAUAAAUAAAAUAAACAAAAGUAAAAAUAAAUAAAUAAAAACAAAAACAAAAUAAAAUAAAUAAAAGUUUGGGACAAAUUUUAAAGUCUACAUAUGUGCUUAUUGGAGUUACAACCAUAUCAUUUUUAAAAUUAUUCAUUUAUUUUGAUCUUGGACAAUUGAUAAUUAAUUUAUUAAGAGAUAAUAAAUUAAUACAAGUUAAGAUAAUAUUAUUUUAUAUUAUAAAAUUUAUGCAAAUAUUUAAUAGAUGAAAAAUAAUUUAAUAAUAUAUAUUUUUAAAAUAAUCCAAAUAGAAUAUUCAAUAAUAUAAUAGAAUAUUUAUUAUUGCUUGCCUUCAUCUUUUUCAAACCCAAUGCCUUGAUUUUUUUCACCUACAUUUUCUUCGUCUUUUCCUCCAUUCCUCUUGUUCAUCUUUUUAUCUUCUCAUUUUCAUUUUUUACAAAAAAGAAAAAGAAAAGAAUGGAAGCAACAUUAAUGGUGAUGCUACCAUGUCUACAUGCUCAUAUAUAGCAAGUGAAGAUUAUGGAGCGGAAAGGUUUAGAAUUUUUAUGUGGGGGUGUGUGGUUAAAGAAGAUGAAGGUAGAUUAGUAAAAAAUUGUAUACCUUUUUUAUAUUUAAAUUAAGGGUUUAAUACAUUUUACCCUCUCAACCUAUCACAUGUUUUGCACAUUACCCUCUUAAGUUUAAAACUGAACAAAUUGUCCUCCAAGCUUCUUAAAGACCAACACUAUGCCUUUUUUGUUGGACAGAAAUGUCAUGUGUUGUGCACAUGACUUAAUAAACGAGGGUAAAAUUGUCAUUUCAAAUAUCUAAAAUCCUAAAACAUCUUCUUCUUCGUUCUUCUUCCUCAGAGAGCCCUAAAUCCCCAAGCCCUAAAAUUUGGUUUUAGUUUUCUACACAUCAUAUCAUUUGGAUUUCCACAGUUGGAUUUUCUCUUAUUAAUCACCAAUUCUAAAUCAUGUGCUCAACAACUAUAACUAAAAAAUAAAUACACAAAAUGAGAGUCCAAAACUUCUAUUUGGUUGCAUAGAAAAAAAUGAGGUUCUUCAUUUUUUGUGAGGAGAGUGAUUGAUGUUCGGGUUAGGGUGUCAGUGGGGUUCCAUAGAGGAACAAAUUAUGUUUUUGAGAGGGUGAUAAUCUUUGAUAGAAUCUUGAGGACUAAGAAUUGCAAUUGUCAUUAACGAAAAAUAGAAUGCAACAGAGGAAAAUCGGAUGAUGUGAUGAGUAGAAAACUGAAACUUUAAAGAAUUUGAGAUAAUCGAAUUUUAGGUUAGGGGAUUUAGGGCUUUGGAAGGAAGAAGAACAAAGAUGGGAGGUUUUAAAGCUUUAGGUAUUUUAAUGACAUUCUAACCCUCGCUUAUUAAGUCAUGUGCACGACACAACAUUUCCAUCAAAUCAAACUAACACUGUUCAACAAAAAAGGUAUAGUGUUGUCUUUAAGAAGUUUGGAGGACAAUUUGUUCAAUUUUAAACUUAAGGGGGCUAUGUGCAAAACACGCAAUAAGUUGAGGGUGUACGGUGUAUUUAACCCUCAAAUUAAAGUUCAAAAUAUUAGGGAUUUCCAACCUCUUAUCACUUCUUAAAAAAAAUAAAAAAAUAAAAGCCUCCCAAGGAUGAGUCACAAAAUUAAAAAAAAAAAAAAAAGAAAAGAAAAAUUAAAGGAUGUUUGAUAAAUUAAUUUAAUGACUUAAUAUGAUAUGUAACAACCUAUUUUAAGUUAUUAAACAAAUUAAGUAUAUAUAAAUUGUUAAAUAAUUUAAUAUCAUAACUUAAAGUUAAAAGUAAUUUUAAAUAUUAAAUAAAAAUCCUUGCUUUAAAUAAAGCAAAUUGGGGUCAAUUUCUCGUACUUGCUCAAUGUGUCCCAUUUCAUCAAGUGCCUUGCCCAGUUCACUGAGUUGUUGGCCUACCAAGCACUUGCCUACUGCUCUUGCUGCCCACCAAACGGGCGGAGCGCUCGAUAUCCUUACUUUUCUAGGGCCCUUCCCAUUGCUCUAAUCAUAAGUUAUGGCAACUCCAAUUGGUAACCAUAGUGGCUCGCCCUAUGAUGCGAGGCCACAAUAGGCUCAAUGGUCUAAUCAGAGUGAGAUAAACUCUUUCUUGACAUGACUCACCCUUCCCACUCUUGACAUGAUGAAAUAAAUAACUAGCACCAUUAAUUCGGGUGAUGCCUAAGGGUCAUCUCUUGCUUCUUUGAGUGAAUUUUUCAUGAACUAGGCCUUUUCAUAGCUCGGAAUAAAUUUCCAAUCAAUUCAUUCUAAAUUUUAUUUUAUUUUUAUUCCAUUUGCUCACAUAUUGACGAGAAUCUCUUUUAUGUCUCUGAUUUUACAUCCACAACUCAUCUUUUAUGGUAAAUAUUUUAUCAUUAUUUCAUGUACAAUAAUAUUUUUAAUAUGGAUAUUUAACAAAUAAAUUUGAAUUUCAAAAGAUAAUUUAAGUCAAUUAUAUCAAAUAACCUUUAUGCUUACACUAAAAAACUAAGAGUAACAUUUAAAUCAAUAAUUUAAUUUAAACUCAAUUUAAAUAUUUAAAUCAUUAAAUAAUAAUAAUAUUAAGUUUUAUCAAACAUAUUCUUUUCAGGACAGGCAAACUAUCGGAUAAUUUCUAAUUUUCAAUUGUCUCAAAAAUUUAGCUUAAAAUUUUGGGAAUUACAAUUCAUUUAAAAAAAAUUAAAAAUAGAAAAAAUGAUUAUGUAAUUCCCUUAUGUAGUCUCUGCAUGAAUCAACUGUUUCAAGGGCAUUAGAAAAGGAGUGCUGCUGCAUUCAAAAUAUUUACAUGGUACCUCAGAGCUUACUUGGAAAGGCAAAUUAUCCUUUCAUUUCAAAUUCUCAAAUGUCAUUAAUUUUGUUCAUGCUUGGAAAGGACCUGGCAUCCACUGAAUUAAAAUUAUAUAUAAGGCACCAUUUGUUUGCAAAGAACAUGAGAAAAUAGUUGAAUGCUUGGAUAUCUGGCUGCCACUGAAGUUGGAGUAGUAGUUGGAAAGCUCCAAAUUUAAUUUCUUUCCUUUUCCUAAGACUUCUUGACAACCAAACAGUCCGGAUGUAGCUGAAAGCAACCUUAGUGAAAAAGACUUGGAACUGGUGAGUAAAAACUUCAUUGAAAAGGGUUCUUUGCCAGUGGAUGUCCUAGGUUGAUAAGUUCAAAUCAUUUGAUUGGAUUUUUGAUAAAGAGCAUAUCAAGACCAAAAACUUUGUACUGCGGACAGCAGUAUUGGAUUCCGAUGAUAACUCAUUUGAAAAAUUUUCACCUCAAUAUGAAUUAUUGAUCUACUGCCUAGGGAAUCAUUUUUCCUUGAACCUUGCUUCUAAACAAUACGAUGGAGAUGUACUUCUCUAAAUACUCCAGAGGAGUUAUCCUUAUCUCCAGAAAACUGAGUAUAUGAUAAACAAGCUUAUAGUAAUAUGUAUUUUACGUAUUCUUUUGUACUUAAGUACUGUAACAGUACUUCUGGAGUCCGGAUGUUGGAUUUACAAAUCAAACUCAUUCCUGGCCAGAUCUUUCAGUUUCUCUACAAUUUGAGGUUUCUGGUUUUUGGGUUUUCAUUGACGAAUUUUCAUGUAAGUUUACUGAAAUGUAUUCAUGCCCAAGAAUAGUUUGGUUUAAGUCAGUGAAAAUUUGCUUUUUCCAUCCCCAGUUAGAUCUAUCACUAGUAGUCUAUUUUAAUACCAACAAUCAAGGAGCCUAAACCCCAAGAAGGCCCCCCAUCUGGUUUAUGCCUCUCCCAACUUGAGUCAACAAGUCUUUCAUCUUCUUCCAUCAACUCAAUCGCCAAUAAUGCUUACUUUUCUGAUUAAACCAAUCAAGUUUCGACACUAAAACUUUCCAUGCUUUAUGAAUUAUUUUGCCAUGAGAACUGAGUGAUAGCCCCAUAGGGUUGCACUGGUAAUCUCAACCAAAUGGCAUCUAGCUUUAAGAAACUCAUCUUCUGUAAAUGCAAGGCUGCAGUACAGUUAUUGAUGGUGCAAUAUUCGCGUUAUAAGCACUGCCUUCUGGAGAGGCGUAUUGAAUGUAUUUGUUUAUAUAUAUAUAAAGAAAAAUGCUAAGAUUUCAAAGCGAUACUUAUAAAACAAAAGAUUUGAACCAUUGAAUAUGUAUGGUGAGAACUUGACAGUUCAAACGUGGGUAUAAGUGAAUGGAACAAAGGUUCAAAAGUGCAAAUAAAUGGGACCAAAAUUAUAACCAAUGAGAUAUGAAAAUAUAUUCGUGAUAUCACUUGAUUGAUGAAGCAUUUUUUUAUAGAUAUCGAUGUCAUUUUUUAUAUAUUCUAUAGAUAUCGGAAAAAAAUACACUUCUAUAUUAUAACCGCAUCAUAUACAAAACCAUAUCUUGUAGUUCCUUUUGUAUUGAUUAAUAAAGAAUGCUGUUAAACUAUUCUUCUUGGCAUGAUUUAAUUAUAUGAUCAAUAGAGAGAAAAAGCAAACAGCAUGAGCCAAUGAGUAAGUCAGUUAGAACAAUGUCAUUGAUCCCCUUUCACUAGGAUGGUUCCAGAGCAUACAAAAGGGAACUGCAGUAUAUUAAUAAUUAUUUUUCGAACAUUUUCCUCUUUCCUCUUGCCUUAGCAAUCAAUUUCACCCAUGGUUCAUACUAAUGUUUACUCACUAGAUUUUUCUGGUGACCAAAUGAACCCCACAAGAUCAAUCGUGCAUGCCAUGAUUGAAACUAUGAUAAAAAAAAGCUUGGAGGGUGAUUUUGAGAAAAAUAAGUACCAUAUUAGUGGCAAAAUAUGGAUACACAAACAAACUUGAAAUAGCUAGAUGGUUGCAAUGUCUAAUUAACCAGGGAUUCCAGUUUUGGGUAUCGUGCAGAGAUGGGAAUGGAAUGCAGACUAUUACAUCUCAGUAUCAUGUCAUGUCAAAGGCAAUCAGAUUUUGUAGUUUGCAGUUGCUUUAGCAAUAAAAUGUUGGCCUGACAGUAAGCAAAACUGAAUCAACUGAUUCAAGGAGAAAAGACUGAGAAGUAGGAAGAAGGGGGACAAAAGGGAAAAUGGUUUACAGAUUGUACCUUUGCUGAUGUUGAUCCCAAUCUCCAGUACUAUGUGUAAGCACUUAAUGUUGGAUUUCUAGCUAGCCAGAUUAAAGCAACCGAGUAAUUAUAUGUCCCUGUUAAUCAAUCAAAAGGGUCAGUGCUCACUGCAUAUAUCAUGAACUUUAUUGAAGGGAAAUUUUUUUUUUACUCCGCCCCUCAUCAGCAGAUGCUUCCUCUCCUUUCUUCUCUUUAUUUUUGCCUUUUGGCCUUUUGGCAGGUCUGCAAAGGGAGGAUUUCAAGACCAAUCCCCUAUAUCCACAGAGAAGCAGGAAAAAGAAGAGGAUGUGUUGAGAAGAAGAAUACCCCUAUCCCCACACAGAAGCGGGAAAACAAAAAAGGAUGUGGAGAUAAGAAGGAGAAGAAGAAGAAGUCUUAAUUAAUUGAGUACCAAUGGAUACAUUGAAUACAGUGGCUUUUCUGUAUAUAAGGAACACUUAGACAUGGAGGAAAAGGCAACCAGAACACAAUUGUUUUUAGGGCAAAGGUGCAUGGUUAAAAUAUUAAAACCCUCUGCCCGUUCAGUAGAAAGAAAGGAACAAGAUGAAGAAGAAGAAAGCCAAGAACAAAAAAAGAAAGGAUAAAAGGAAAAAACAGUGGCCUCAUAAAUGUUGAAGCUUCCACUAAAAGAUUGAAAUCAUCAUUAAUAUAUAUGCCGGCCGUAGUCAGUACUUCCUUACACACACAGAUGGUCCCAUCUCCGAAGAGACACACAUUGCCAUAACUCAUACCUUGUCAUCAGGUUACAUCUAGAUCCCCAGGAAGGGAACACUUGAAAUUCUUACUUGUGCCAGACUUGCUGGUUUUUCCCCAUACUCGGCUUCACACCAUAAUCUUCCCACAAGUGUUCUUCAUCAAGCAGGAUGUUCAAGCAGCUACCAUGCACUGUGGUACCCACGCUGGAGUUAGAAGGUGAAAGAUGAUCCUCACUGUUCUUCUGAAGUCCUACAUUCUCAGAGCCUUGUUUGGCCAUGAUUUCCUGGCCAUGAUAGGGGUCCAGUGGCUGAAAGUAAGUGCAGGUUCUCAAAUUCUCUUUGCGCUUCUUGCUGUGCUCGGUGGUCUUGUUUAAGUAGAUGUUGAUGUUCUCCCAUUUCUGUUUACACCUCAUUGCACUUCGCUCAUAGCCCAAACAACCCAUUCUUGUGGCAAUCUCCUCCCAUAGGCUUUCUUCUGAAUACCCGCUGUCUUGAAAUCUAGAUUCCAUACUGGUCCUCAGAUGUAUCAAACUUGAGAGCUCUUGUUCUGGCCAUCUACUGUAAGUAGUGUCAUCAGGUACUUCAUUUACAAUGUCCUCCAUGCUUUCGUUCUGGUCUUGAAUUUCCUUGUCCAUUAGCCCGUCUGGAGACGACAAUUUUAGUUCUUUCCCUGUAAAUUUCUUCAGAGCCUCCAUGAGUGCAGCAUCUCGGGCUUCAAUCCAUGCUCUCUCACUAGCCCAGAAUUUAUAUUCUCGAUCGAACCGAGCUGCCUCUUGCUUCCUCCAUUCCUCCUCUCUGGACAACCUUUCCUGCUCUUUAUGCUCGAUAGUUGUCAGCAUCUUCUCCAUCCAUGCCUCUUGUGUGUCCAUUAUCUUCUUCAUGUGGAGGCCCACAAAUUCCUUUAUUUUUCCUUUCAAACUCUUCCUGACCCUCCUGUAACUUUGUCCAUCAUCUACCCCUCUUUUCUUCUCCAUGGAAUGGUUCAUCAUGUAGGCAAUAGCUGAAAGAUCAUCAUCAUUGUUUUCUGAAGAUGAAGUCUCAAAUUCAGAUGAGUUAGAGAAACUAUGGCUCUCACAGAACUUGUGGUCUUGCAAAGCUUCUUGAUUUGCUUGGUUAAUGGUGGUGUUGUUUGUAGUCUGAUAAAGAAGAGUAGUGUUCCCAGCAAGAUGGGUUUCUGAAACUGACGCUUGAUUGCUUGUUUCUCCAUAGAGUGCUUCAAGUUGUCGGAAGAACCUAUAGUGCUUCCCAUCCUGUCUUCCGGCUUUACCUUCUUUAGUUUUCUUAUAAUACUUGUACAGGUUCUCAAACUUCUCUCUGCACUUCUUCCCACUUCUCUGGUACCCAUGUUCCUCAGCCAUUAUCCUGCAACAAUUAACGAAACGAAUAAAGGAAGAAAAGUAACCCAAAAAGGGUAAAUAUAUACAUAUAUAUAUAUAUAAACAGACUAGAGAAGAAUAACCCUAGUUUGUAGUUCUUUGGCCUAGUCCCUCUUGGAAUCCUAAAACAGAUAGUCUAAGUAAUUAUAUUCAAGGAUUUUGAUACCCAAUGCAAACCUCAAAUAGUAAUUAAUGCUAUAGAUGAUAGAAAAUGUGUUUUGGUAUCUCUUUUUUGGGCAUUUCGAAAUAAUAAAAUCUUAAAAUACCCAAAACAUUCCUCUAAUCAUCAGUUAGAUGUCAUAAAAUAUUAUUCUUGUUUCUUCUCCCUUUCUGUUUGAUGGGUAUUUUACAUUAAACCAACUAAGUAAGUAGGUUUCUUGAACGACUCGAGAAUGUUGGGAUUUAGAGAAGCUUCUUGGACUGGCCAUAUCACACAAAACCAAUGUAUGAGUACAACAAUUCAGGGGCGCUGUCAGCCAUUUUUCCAGAAUAAAACCUGUUAAAAUAACUAAAAUAACAGCUGGGUCUUCCAGUUAACUCAAAAAGCUUGUCAUUUUGAAGCGCUAAACUCAGUAAACCAAACAUAAAUUCUAUCAAAAGCUUGUCAUUUUUUGCUUUAAUAAAAUAUAUACAACAUAUAUACAUAAAAACCAGUACGAAAGAAGGAAGAGAGUCAUUUUUGCUAAAGAAAAGGAAAUAGGGUUUCUUGAAAAUCUUGGAGAAAUCAUGUGUAUCAAUGAGAGAAAGAAGAAGAAAAACAAAAAAAAAAAACAUGGGUUGAGUGCAAUUCAGUCA
rnacentral:lncRNA from 1 species